GGUUCUGGCUGCUGAGCGCGGCAAUUGCAAUAGCGGGCUGGUGGGGGUUGGGGUUGAACUGAAAGUGAAUGAGCCCCACGGGGAAGACAAAUACAUCACCUUUGUUGAGCACCUUCGAGAGGAACUUGUUUCUGUUGGGUGCAGGCAGGUUGGAUGUGACAAAUCCGACAUACAGUGUCCCCUCGAGUACCGUGAGGAUCUCAGUGGCGCGAGGGUGCGUAUGUGGCGGGUUCUGACCCAAGGGAGCAUAGUCGAUGCGCGCAAUUGAGAUGCCGAGGGUGUUGAGUCCAGCAAUCUGCAUGACGUUGAUCAAGGUGACGUUGGAGCCAACCUUGUUUGUCACCCUAGGCUUGUCGAGGGCGGCUGCCUUGAAGAAGUCAUCAGCGUUUACAUCCAUAGGGUUCUUGCAAACAAACCCAUUUACACGCACUGGUGAAUAGAGGAGAUGUAGAGUGUAAGCUUGGGUAUUACUAGGAAGUGAUAUGAACAUGCAUAUAAUUUUUAGAAAUUAAUUUCAGCAUAUGUAUUUGGUGAAAGCAUGGUAAGAAGCCGUACUGUACCUGGUGAAUGCAUGUCGGCCACACAAAAGUCUUGGAGUGGGCUAGGGUCGGAGGAAGUGGCCUGCCAUGAGACCAACGCAAGAAGAGCAGCGAGGAGAAGGAAGGAACAGGAGGAUGCCAUCUUAUUGAUUUCCCUGUCUUGUGUUCCUGUUUGUGGUUGUGGCGUGAGUGAUGGUUUGGAUAUGCCGGGAAUGUAUGUGUUUAUAUAGGCGCAGCAAGCAGUGCAUGAACUCGUGAGCAAUAAUAGACUUGGCCAACUGGAACCGACCAACAUAUUGAAAUGGUCUAUGAUGGCUGAUUAAACUAUUUUAUAUAAACUUUAUGAGUUACCUUUUAAGACAUGUUUUCCCUUCAAAGAAGCAAUGCAGGGUAUACAGCCAUAUAAUAGCUACUCUGUGGUGAUGUGUUCGGCUGAGUAGUAAUUAUGAAUGUUUCUCCAUCUCACCUGAGUCCCGAAAUGCAUGCAGGACUGAUUCCUAGAAAAUGCACCACACAUCACUGUCAAGAAAAUGAUAUUUAAUUAAGACAAGAAACAUCUGACACUAGUAAAAUUAGAUAUCAUAUACUUGGUCAUAGUUGGAGCCAAUGCGUACGAAACCAGUCAAAGAGCAGUUGAGAAAAGCCAUGUCAUGUAAAGCAAUCACUCGUUUUCUAACUCGGGGCCGACAUAGACAAAGUCACCUAUUUGCACAUGCGCUUGAUUCAUGUCUGCAUGACUUCUAAAGACAUACAGAGUGACUACUACUACAGGUUCUUUCCAGAAGUUGAUAUAGAAUCAUGUGCGCAGUCCCGCUUUUCAAACUAUGAAACUAUAUAUUAUUUGCCAAUAUAUUUGUCAUGAAAUCCAGCAACAUAAGACGACGGAGUAGUUAGAGGAUUUGUAGCAGCCCCUGUACGUUAUCAACAUGUCAAUUCGAUAUUUACUUUGUCAGAUGUCUCUCAAAGUGGUUGAGUACUUAAUUACAGGAAGAAGCGGCGACAUUAAUGCACGAAAUACCCAACCAAAAGGAGAGUUGAUAAAAAGAUCAUGAUGAUGGAGAGCAGGAAGUUUCCAUACGAUCUUAGCAAGACUAGUCAACACCCUCUUGCUAAGAGUUUUAUCAUGCAUGACCAGUUCAGUGUAUAAAUCUAACAAUCUGGUUUGCCUUCGUGACUAGGUUCACGGCACCAGUAAGUACUCAUCCAAUGACUAGACUAGGUCGGGCAACCAGUCAUAAACUUAUUAAUUUCUUCGAGGUGUGUGUUGGCUGUUUUAGAUAGAAAGAAGUUUUCAUCAAAUGAUUUAAUUACUUCUAUCACAAGCUGGUUACAAAAAGAACUCAAAUAAUAGUUUUAUUGUGGGGUCAAAUAUCUAAAAAAGUUUGCUGGGGAAUGAUCAAUCAAACUUAGAUUUUUGAACCAAAAGGAAGCUAAAACAAAACACUCAAGAAAAAUAGAAAUACCAUAAACUACUUAUGACAUGCACCAGGAAAGGCAGACCAUAACAACGACUCCAGGAAGCAACUUUUGCACAUUCAGCUUGCACAUUGCAACCUGUGAGCACAUUACCAUAUAAUCAUAUAAUUGUCUAUUGGCUUCUGAUUAAUUUUGUCAUAAACUUCUCAAGUUUGCUUUUAAUUUGCUUAAGCGCUACUGAAUCUUUUUAUGUACAUAUCAGUAGUAAUUACGUUAUCCAUCUCAUUCAAGUCAGCACAAUGCAUGCAGGGUUGGUUCCAUGAAAAGGCACCAACCACCACCAUAGUUUAUUAGGUACCAUAUACUUAUACUUGGUCAUAGUGAGAAUUGAUGCGCACGAGAUCAAAGAGCAGUUGAGAUAUGUGAAGUUAUGUAAAGCAAUCGUUUUCUACCUAGAAAAGGUCACCUUGUUAGCUUGGUCUAUUCUCUCCAUUAUUUUAAGUUGCUACAGAAUGCGUGCAAUCAAGCUUUUCAAGAUGUGGCCACUAACAUAAGCAAACUAUAUAUUUGCCACCGGAUUAGUCAUGAACAACACUAUGCACGAGAUAUGUCAUGGGAUAAAAAGAACAUUCACAUAAUUAUACAUUUAGCGAUGUGCGUUAACAACUUAACAUACAUAUGGUAAAAAGCGUGGCCAGAGAUAUAAUGCAAUAUCUUACCAUUCAUCAAAACCAAUGGAAAAAAUAAACUGAAAAACUUUGCAAUUUGAGUCAUCUAGUGAUAUAAAAAAAUAUUAGGUUGGAAGAUGACGCAUGUGUCAAUGAGGAAUAAGUCAGAGGUGUGUUACUCCAUGCAUGAAUGCACCUAAUACACAACUAUUAUAUGUACCGCCCCUGUUAUCAUCACAUCAAUAAGAUAUUACUCGGUCAAAAUUGUGUUAAAAUGGUUAAUUACAUUAAGUGUUGUUGGUAGUUUUGAUACAAAAAAUAUGUUCCCAUCAGACAAAUAAAAUGCAUCCAAAAAAUACAUGACCCAACAUCAUCCUCGUGGACGACAUGAGAGACGAUCUCGGCCGCCGUCCCUAGGACCCCACACUCUCAUCCUUCCCACACCGUCGUCGAUCAACAUCAUGCACAGCAAAGCCCGGGGUUACUUUAGGCAGCAGCGUUGUGUCCCGUCUCUCCACUCCACUCCCUGGUCUCUCUGGGUUGCUCCUAGGACCUCACACUUUUGGCGCUGCUAUCCCUCACAGCCGGAAGCAAGCCGUUGGCAUGAGGUUGCAAGGCGUGGCUUGUGGGAACGUGGUUCACCUGGUUCAUGACUGGGUAACGGAACUCUGCGAAAAGUCGGUGUUUUCCCAGAUCAACCAGCAUCAUGGUCGUUGACUUGUGAGGGGUGACUGUGGUCAGACAUGACGUGGUUGCCCAUCACCUCUCAUGGGAGAGGUUCCGCCACCGAUGAGCUCCUCCCUGCACCCACCCGGAAUGGUUAGGUGGGUUCGUCGGCACUACUAGGCUCGACUGGAUCUGUUCAUGGUCGUGGGCUUGGGCCUGGUCGAGCCUAAUCUGGAGUCUGGGGCCCAUCAUGGUGGAUCUGGUGGCCCAAGUCCCCUUGACUAAGUGUGAGUUGUGGUCCAAGCGAAAGCUCGACGCCUCCGUGCUGGUAACGUGAUGUCUUGGUAGUCAUGUCCCUCUUGGGGUCGUCGCCAUGGCUCUCUCGCCCUCUCAACUCAAGGUGAAAACCCUUAUGCGCACAUACAGAUGGAUGGUGGCGGCGUAUUGCGUCGUGACCCUCUUCGGGGAGUCACUAGUGAGUGCAGUUGUCCUUCAUUUGUGGUGGCUUGUUUGGAACGGUAUGACGAAACAAUUGACCCUACCUCACCUCCCGUGACUCACGGUUUUUCUUGCACCUAUCUUCUACACGCAACAACGUCAUCCUUUCAUCAUGUCUGCUNNNNNNNNNNNNNNNNNNNNNNNNNNNNNNNNNNNNNNNNNNNNNNNNNNNNNNNNNNNNNNNNNNNNNNNNNNNNNNNNNNNNNNNNNNNNNNNNNNNNNNNNNNNNNNNNNNNNNNNNNNNNNNNNNNNNNNNNNNNNNNNNNNNNNNNNNNNNNNNNNNNNNNNNNNNNNNNNNNNNNNNNNNNNNNNNNNNNNNNNNNNNNNNNNNNNNNNNNNNNNNNNNNNNNNNNNNNNNNNNNNNNNNNNNNNNNNNNNNNNNNNNNNNNNNNNNNNNNNNNNNNNCCUUUCAUCAUGUCUGCUCGCAGUCAACGUUCCUUGCUUUAGUUAGAUGGUCCUCUUCGACAUCCAUUGGCUGGCGAUGGCGCGAUGAAGUCCAGCAUUUUCCUCCAACUGGCGCGUGGUUGAAUGUCGCCAGUGGUGCUAGUUGAAUCUUCAGUUGGUCCAACCUCUCAUGUUCUUCCUCUCGAUGGCAUGUUGGAGGCAUCUAAUUGUGCACUUCAUGUGCUUGUUAGCAUGUUUGGCUUGUUUUGCCAAGCUUUCUUCCAUCAUCGUGUAUGAUGAUUUCCUCCACACCUUGUAAGCAUUGGACUUUAUGUAUGGGAAGCAGGCCGAAGUACGUUUUAGGGAUAAAAUACUUCUAUGACAAGCUUGUUACAAACAANUACCGCGAGGAGGAGGAGGAGGAGCGGGCCCGCUGCUGGCGAGUGUAGUCCCAGAUGGCGAUGGCGGCGCUGACAUGGACGUUGAGCGACCGGACGACGCCCAGCUGCGGGAUCUCGACGCACACGUCCACCGCCUCCUGGAUGAUGUCCACCGGGAUGCCCUCCUUCUCCCUGCCCAGCACCACCACCGUCUUCUCCGGGAACGCGAACUCAUCCAGCGACACGCUGUUGGCCGUCUGCUCCAGCCCCACCACCGUGUACCCCUCCGCCCGCUUCCUCUGCAAGAAGGCCCUCACGCUCUCCGCCGGCACCUCCACCAUCGGCACCCACUUCUCCGCUGUCACGCUGAUCAGCCGGAACUGCUUGUCUUGGACCACCCCCAUGUCUCCCACAGCCAGCCCGCCAGCCCUGAAUAUCUCGCACGUCCGGGUCAGCCCCGCCAGGUUUGGGACCCGCUCCACCAGUGACGCCACCACGAUCAGAUCCUGCCGGCUCUGCCUCACCGUCUCCACCGCCUCCUUCCUUGACUCCACCGCCAGGUUGAACGUGUCGUCGUCUUCCUCCAUCUCAAAGAGCAGUCGUGAGAUGUCGUUGUUGCCCAUGACUGCGCCAUUGCUGCUUGGAGCUUGCUCCGAGUUCCGGUUGGGUAUGAUCUUCUUCUGGAAAUCUUGACUGGCUACUAUCUUCUCGUCCGUGCCCUCCACAUGUUUUCUUACCGCCAGGCCCUCAUUCUUGAUUGUUGCUGAAUCCUUUAUCAUAGAAUGCCUCAGCUCCUCCCUCACGUCCUGAUAUUACAUACAUACAGCUAAAUCAUUAGGGAAAUGCAGUUCCAAGCCAACCCAACAAGAUAGCUCAAGUGCAAGUGCUUACAUUCAGAAAGUUAUUUACUCGCUCCAGCACCGACACUGGAACACAUUCAAAGCCAGACGACUGCAUUAAAAAAACAGCAUAUUCAGAAUUAUAACAGAAAUGCUGAAAGGUUCAGUGCUGCAUAAAAAAACAUAAUAACAGCCCUAGAAUCCUCCAUGUUACUCACUUCCUGACAAGAUGAGCAGUGGCCUUAAAUUUCUUGGAGACAGAGAAUACAACGAACCUCAAUGCGAGCUGUAAAUAUUCCCGGUGGAGUCCCAGAUAUAUCAGGAUCAAAAACAUCAAGGAAACCUUCGAUUGAAACUCUUAGCCUGAAAACAAAACAUAUGAUGAUAGAGACAUUCAAGAAGAAAAUUAUAUUAACACCUUGAGGACCUUUUUCUAGAUUUAAAAAAGGAAAUCACGUAGGGUAUAUAAGUUCCUCACUACACUCCUGAUGGUACAUUGAGAGAAGUUUUAAUAGGGUGAUGCCAGUAUAUAUAGCCUAGCUAAUAAACAAAAGAAAACAGAGUAUGUGGAUGUACCUUGCGCAGUCGGUAUUCUCUGCUAGAUACUUUUUCAAAUCUUGAAAGCACCUCCUCUCGAUGGAUGGAUUUUCUGAGCUUUCUAGUUGCAAAAUAUGCCACAACUUGGAAAAAACAGUGUGGACAAGUAGCUGUGGUACAAUAUAGAUCUUCAGUCGACUGGUACAAUAUAACGCUUGAGAAAAAUGUAGCCCCGCAUAAUUUUCAAGUAUAUAGUUUUACCUGAGUGAAACUACGUAGACUGUGAUGAUGGGAUGUUAAAAAUGAAAUUAUUGGAGGAAACAGUUGAUUCAGAUGGUUUCUCUGGACAACCAGCUCCCCUGAAUGGAGGAUCACGUUUGCUGCUAUAAAAACAUAUGAAGAUAGUGCCUGCAAAAAGGAGAUGUAUAAAUAUACAGACCAAAAUGGAAAGGCAUCUCACCAAAUGUUUACCUGUUGGCGCAUUCCGUGGUCAUGAAAAAUAGGAACAAGCUGUGCUUCAGCCUGCAAAUAAUAAUCAUCAGAAAGGUCAAUAGUUGCAGACAAGGAGAUUCUACUGACAUCUAAAGUGUGUACUGGUCACACAGGUCAACAAGCAUUGACAUGAAGGAGCUCUCACCAGUGUUGGAAAUUUUAAGCAAAUAAGUAUAGCAAACGUCUCCAAGUACUGCCGGACAGCAGGUAGGUUAUUUCUCUGCACAGAAGAAAGUGUGUCAUUUGACCUUGCACUGCAGUAAAAUGGCAAUUAUGCAUGGAAAAUCAAUUGAUCUCUAAAUGUUCUAGAUCCUUAAGAAAUUAAACUCGAGACAGGUUUGUAUUAUAUACAAUUGCAUAAAAUAGAAAUUAUGCAUGGAAAACAAAUUGAUCUCUAAAUGUUCUACAUCUCUAAAUUGAUAUCUAAAUGUGCUAAAUCCAUAAGAAUUUAAACUCUAAAGAGAAAAACUAAAGACUAUUCGACCUGUUUGAAGCAAUCUACAGAAAGUCUAGAUAUAUAUAUAUAUUAUAUACAUAAUAAAGUAAAAGUGCAAAGCACAUAAGAUUAAGAAUAUCCUUACGUAAAGACAGGUGUGAACACUAGAUGUCACUUCCUCAACUAUGUCUUCCUCUACAUAGUGUGACAAAACACAUAUCAUCUGCCACACACGAACUUUGCGCCUAUGUACCUGAUAAGUAUGGAUGCUUGAGAAAUAUGGUGCAAAAUAGCAAGGUUUUCAAUACAAAGGAACAUGCUUACACUGCUGUAUUUUUUAUAAAGUUCUUUCGAGAGAUCAUUGUCAUUCACCUGUAGAAACAGAGCAAAUACAAAGCAUCAGAAAUCACUCAUUUAAGCAGGCCUUCAGAACUAAGCAUGAUCGGCAAGUUUGUAACAUCAGACAAGUUUCAGAAUCUGGUUGUAUGUCGUAUAGUUGCUAAAGUGGUAUUUGGCACAUCAAAAUUCACUGGAAAUAUGUAGAAAAAGCAUCCAAAGACUUUGACAUGGUAUAACCAUACUGGUUGUCGAGUAAGGUACAAUGACAGCAUAUAGAAAACUUGAGACAAGAUUGCAUAAGAUGGCAAAUCCUGGCCCACAGAUAGAACUUAUGUCUGAAAACGGUACCGCUGAAUCCAGAAGUUUCAGUAAAAAUAGUUUGCCACAUUGAAGAGCUUCUUCUGUCUCCAGUUUGCUCUUUUCUUUGAUUUGUUUCCAUAGCUGAUGAAAUAGAGCAGCAACUGAAACACGGGCAUACAAUUCUGUAUUAAUGAACACCUGCAAUAGAAUCGGCAAUGUAUUUAAUUGCUAGGUUGGCAAUUUAAAAGAAAGGAAAAGGUUUAAAUUAUUUCAUGCCAUUAGUGUUAUAACAGUUUUAAAAAACCUGUUAAAAACAAAACAAACAAAAUUAGAGCGUACACUACGCCAUAUUCCAUUACAUUGCAAUAUACUAUUCUUAACAAAUGAACAGUUGAAAAGGCACAGUAAUUAUACUGAUUAACUUAUGAAGGUAAUAUAUACGUCUUGUACCCCCAGGUUUCAAGGUUUACCUCUGUGAAUUCACGGUCUGGACUUUGUGCUAGCAUGGAAACUUCAAAUCUUGCCUCGUGAUUUUCGGACAGUUCAGCUUCAAAAUCUUCAUCGAAUGCCACUAUUUUAAGUUCAUAUGAAAAGAAAGUUAGAAUAGACAACAACAUAUCACCAGGCCUUAUUACAAAGGCAUGAGCGAAAAGAAAGAAGACAAGCAUAAAGAAAUUAUUCGAAAAUAAAUUGUAUAACAUACCAGAUCCAUAUAAUGCUAAUAGCUUAAGUUCCUCCAUGUAAAAUCUAAUAGUUUUUGGGUACAUCAACCAUAGACCACUCAAGUGCAAAGCUGCUAGACGAAUAGUUCGAGGACUCUUUGAACCUUCAUUAAGAAGAGUCUCGACAAACUGGGGAAAAAAAAGAGUUACAGUGGUACAUCAUGUCUUAUCAGUUAUAAUAUGAAAAAAAAAGUAGUACUAAAAAGAACAACUUUAUUAUCCAUUGACAAAUUACAUAAAGAUGUUAUCUAAUCUAUUGACAGAACAGAACAAGAUCAAGCUGGGGAACAGGUGAAAUUGAGGUGACGAUAUUUUGUGGACCACCACUUUUGUUACUCAGCAUUCUAGUGUUCUCCUGAUUCCCUCUAGCACACAGGCCAGGCUUUCCAGCCGUUAGGUUUCAUUUAGUCAUUCGUAACAUAUAUAACAAGAAUCAUAUGAGGAGAAGGCUUGCCAGUGAAAAGUAACUAAAAGCAUGCCUGAGUAUUAUGCAUACACAGGUCACGCACAAAACAGUGCUACUUUAGCAGAACAGGCUAUGAAAAGACACACAACAGCAGCAGCAAGUACCCAUUUAUUUUACUGUCCCUUCAAUUAAAAAACAAUAAUAUACUGUCAGGGCCUCCUCUACAGUUUUCAGAGCGGGGGUGUGUUAAGCAAGAAGACAGUGACUUAAUACAGAACAUAUGUGUCAGAACUUACCCAUUUCAAAGGGCCUGGCCCUUUUUCAUUUGUGUGGUGCAUUUCUAAAUUGGGGAAUAUUGAUGGGUGCAAUAUUGCGGACAGUAGUGCAGCAAUUGGUGCCACUCGGCGCUUAUUGCAGCUAAGGUGCAAGACCCAGGAAGACUUUACCAAUUGCAUCAUCAUCUGCAGCAAAUAAACAUGAGAUAUCAAUGCCAUAUAAACAAGCUGAAGUUGAAGAAAAUAAACUUACCCCACACAUCCAAAAUUAUAUGGCGUUUUAUAUUUUAAAACUCGAGCUGUCAAACAGUCCAACUUCCUUAACUUUGACUGUUGAUAUGUUGUAAACUAAUACUCCCUUCGAUCCAUAUUACUUGUCGCUCAAAUGGAUGUAUCCAGACGUAUUUAAGUGCUAGAUACAUCUGUUUAAGCACCAAGUAAUAUGGAUCUGAGGGAGAAAGAUUGUUCAUGUGAAUAUAGUACCACUGGGUGUGACGCUGACGCAUAAAGCCAACCCAAGAAUACACAUGUGAAUACCUUCUAGUGUAAGAGCAACUCCAACCGCGCGACCCAUUUCGUUCGCGCGUGUCCGUUUGGGUCGCUGCGCACAGAAAACACCACCCAACACGUCGACCCAAAGGGACGCGCGUCCGCUUUUUGUUUGCCCCCGACCCAUUCCAGGCUCAAAUUUGGGCCGGAUUUGCGUCGGCACGGACACGGGACGGACGCCCGCCCUUCUCAUCCCCCUGGCCCGCCAGUCGGUGGCACAGCGCCACCAUUUCCCUCCAAUUUCCCAAUAACCUCCCGCCCACUCGCGCGCGCGCCAUAGACGACGACGCGCCGACCCUCGAUGCCGCUGCAGGCCUCGCCUCCCUCGCCUCCGCCGGUCCCGUCUCCGCGGGCGCAAAGGGCUGGAGACGACCAGGAAGAAGAAGGUUCGGACGUCUGAGGAGGGUGUCGUCCAAUCGGCGAGGAGGAAGCACCGCCGGCAUGAGCAAGAGGCCAGGGAGGAGGCCGCGACCGCGUCCAGCAUCACCGCCACCAUAGAUCGGGAGGCCAGAGCCACAAAGAACCACCGGCUCAUCUUUGCCGCCACAAGGCAAACCCUGCUGAUGCUAGGGUUGAACCUAGGCCAACACGGGCUCAUCGUUGCCGUUGUGUCCGCGGCCAGCAACGGCUCAUUGCCGCCGCUGUCGUCGCGCAUGUGACAUGUCCACCGCGCCGCAGGGCAAGGCUUCGAACGACAGCACCCGCAAACCUCCCGGUUGUCCAACUCUACGGGCUCCGGUUUGCCGGAGGUGAGCGUGGUCGCGCCUGCCACGCCAGGGCUCGUGGCCAUCGAUCUCAACGCGAUGCCUAUGGAGGGUGGACCGUCCUCCGGGGGUGCGCGCAAACGGCCUCGCAAGCUCCCAGCCGACACCCUGGGGAACGCCCGCAACCUGUUCGACAGAAUGCCAGCUCCAGAAGAAGAGGCCAACCGCGUGUUCAUGGAGAGCCUCAUCUACGAAGGUGGUGGCAGCGGCAUUCCCUUCGAUCCCGACGAGACGCAAAGCCAGGAUGGCCGCACCCCUUUCAUGGCUGGGCACGAUGGCCGACAUGCUCAACCUCGAUGACGAGUGAUCCAUGCCGUGGUGUGCGGGCAUGAUGACCACGAACGAGAUGGCGUGGUGGAAAUACAUCCUCAUUUGUGUGCUGGCAUGUGUGCCAGCCCACUAGCAAGUGCGCCCAGCUCGAAAAUUGCGGUUUUUUUUGUAGGCUGGCAUAUGUAUGUCGGUCGCUGGCAUAUCACCGGCGUGAAAUCUUGGCGCUGGCAUGGCGGCUGGCCUGAUCUGUGGCCGCGGGCCUUUUUUACCUUCGAAAAAUGUUAAGCGCGGACGAAAAAUGGGUCGGCGCGUUGGGCGCACGGCCAACCCAUUUGCAACAGGGGGCGGACACGCCGACCCAAACGGACAAAAGGCGUACAAAGCGCGCGUCCGUUUGGGUCGUGCGGUUGGAGUUGCUCUAAGCAGCUACGAUUUAGACAUUAAAUAGCUAUAGUGGCAUACACAAAAAAGGCACCACAAAUAAUACCUCAUAACUGAUGCCCAGAGACGAUACAUUUCGAUUGCUCCUAUUUAAGUGUAUAAGCCCCAAAACAGACCUCACGCAUCUAAGGAUAGAAACAACAGAAUUCUCACCAGCAUUUUCAAGACUGCAAAGAUUAAAAAUAAAUAAGUCAGAUACAAGUAAAAAAGAUAAAUCAAUAAGCAUCUCACAAAUAUAAGUUGGAAGUAUUUACAGAAAACAAGAUAAAAAGAAACAAAGAAAAAUAUAACCAUGUUCAAACUUUAAACAAUAACACCAGUAUCUAUUACUAGAAAAAAAUAGACCAAUUGAAUGCUAUUAUUCACUCCUUUAGAUAACUUGGGUACUGAAUUAGUAAAGAAAUGCUAUAAAUAUUCACAAAAUUACGCUCGGGAAACAAGUACUGAAAAUGUUGCAACUAUCAACCAUGCUAGGGUCCCUCAAAUAUAGGUAAAUAAGUAGUGAGUGUGGUUUUGAACAUUUCCUCAGGCAAUACUCCCACAAUUUGGUUUACCAACUAUACAUAUAGAAUAAAGAAACUGCAAAGGAAUGUUAUCUCACCUUUCAGUAAUAUCAAGAAAGAUGGAUUGGAGGGUUGAAUCUGAAUAAAAGGAGCCUAAUGUCUUCAUCUGAGAUUCAUUCUCAUCACAGCAGCAAGAAAUGGAUAAAAGCGAGUCUACACAAAGCCACUAAAUCAAAAUCAAUAAUUAGGAGCUGUUGAAAUUAUGUAUUUUGUAUCUAGAGAACAAAGGCAUGCACACUACAAAGGGAAGCAAGAGUUAUUCUCACCUUCCAACACAUUAAAACAGCUCGUCUGCUUCGUGUUAAGACUCCAUUUGUAAGGAGAUUGUUGAUAUUACCAAGAAAAGUGGUCGCCAGAAGAUCCAAUGAUAAUAUGAUGGUUUGAUUUUUUUGCUUUGUUUCCACAAAAUCCAGAAACUGAGAAAAGGGAGCAGUAGAUAGAGCUGCUAGAACAUAAGCUAGAGCUUCAUAAGCUGCCAGGUGAAGUUCAGCUCCAGUCUUGUCAGGAAAAUAAUAAUUAAUCAGCCAUUAAUACUUGUAUAGAGAAACUGCAAGCCACUGACAAAUAUAUAUUCAGCCAAACAUUAAAAAAGCAACCAACCUCAGUUGCAUAAGUACAAUGCUGGAUCACUUCCCAACAGAACUCCCAGAGGAAUGAAAAUGCUGAAUGAAGAGAAACAUCAGAGGUGUAGUGGUUACACCAUGAAACAACAGAACUAACGCACCUUACAGACCAAAUCUGUGAAAUAUUACAAUAGAAGUUAGCAAAGUUAUAUGAUUAAAUGGUGCGGGGCACUUUAAAGCGAAGGCAAAAUGUGGUACCCUCUGACAGGAGAUCUAGCCACCCUAAAUUACUUUCUCCAGAACAGAGGCAUGGGAAGGGGGGAGGGGGGGUUAUGAACAGUAGUGAUAUUAUUGCAUCGUACAUAGAGAAUAGAAGAGAAACACAAAUUCUGAUCAAUUGAACUAUUGAAGAAUAUACACUCCACAAUUGCAACUUGCAAGAGUUAAGUUUGACAACAUUAGCAUGGUUCAAAAGAACAGUACAAAAAGAAAAAUGUGUUUGAUUAGCACAGUGACAUAGUAAUCCCUUAUCAAAUCAGUUAAUUAUACUAUAUCCCUGAAAAAUAUCUUUGUAUCUUAUUUGCUGCAUAAGUAACAUAACACCAUCUCUGGAAGACAACAUGAACCAUGCUAAAUGGGACCUUUUACAAGCAAUUAAUAUAACCAACCAGAUAGCUAAAUGCUAUCAUCUCAACUAAAAUUAUUAGGAAGGGACAUACACACUGCAACACUGAAGAGGUUAUAACAGUAGCUAAACGACGCUGACUUGGACCUCCGAGCUUUCCUUUGAUAGAACAUGGUAAAUCCAUGUUGUCUGUAUUUUUUAACCAGAAAACUGAGCAAGAUUGCUUGCUGAAGGCCACCAUAUUUUCCUACAGUAAGACAUAUGAAAGAUAAUACAUAAAGGCCCAUUUAGAGAAAGGGUCAGAAGUUACAUUUUAUAAAGAAGAAAAAGGUUACCAGAACUGAAAGCAAAGAUUUUUCAAAAUUCUGGGUGAGAGCACGGUGCUCUAAUCCAUUUGUCAUAUCUGAACCUCCACUAGCGAUGGCAUUAUUUUGGUGAACAAGCUUUUUUUGUCUCACUUCAAGCUCCUCGAUCAAGCAUAUAAUAAUGAUAAAAUACUUAACGUCAACACAUUUUCUCGUUGGAGAAUGUUCAGAAAGCUUGUUACCACAUUCCUUCAGGAACUGCAAAAGAGGAUAUUUUAAGCAAAAGUUAAUUUCAGUUACACAAGAGGGAAAACAUAAGUUCAAUGCAGGUGUAAGUAUCAUAGCCUACUGAUAGGCGACAGACCAGGCCAGCUAUACAUUCAGCUUCCACAAAUGAGCAUAAUAGACAUAUCCAAAGAGAACAUAUUUACUCAAUAGCAUUGUAUGCUUUCUAGAGACAUAAAUGCAGGCGACAAGCAAAUAUACCGUAAAUAUUUGCUCGAAAUGAUGUUCCUCUGAGGUUACAAGAAGAAGGGUCCUGGCCCACCUCCGUGCUUCAGCUUCCCAUGCACCCAUAUCCUCGUCAUCAUAUAAAUACGACCCUUCUACGCCACUUUGUUUCAUGAAGGUGCUCGGGAAAUCAAUAAGCUCGUCCAACAAAGUGUUCCUCUCAGAACAUUCUUUUUUCUGAAGAAGCCAUUUCUGGACUGUAGCCCUCAGUGGUCCUACAAGGAAACCGCAAUGUGAAACAAAGAAUAAGAUGAGAAUAGAAGCAAAUACUACUGUUUAGUUAUCCUCAACAGAUUAUAAUUUCAAAGAAAAUGCUGCAGACAAACAUUUUGCCAUUCUUGUAUGUACCUACCAGUAUAAUCAGUACACUCUCGAGGUAUUGUGGAAAUGAAAUUAAAGAGCUGAUUGAGUGGAAUUUCAGCCGCACUUGUCAGCGAUGCUACGGCUUUGAUAACCUGCUCACAAACUGCAUUUGACUUCAAGUUAACAAUUUGAUAAUGCAUUACUUAACACUACUUCCAACUUUCUUCCAGGAUAAAGAUUUCCAACCUUUCAGACGAUACUUUGGAUUAAAGUGGUGUUUACUCCUCUCACUAAGAAUCCAGAAGGCAUCUAACAAAUCCGCAGUAUUGACUGCUAUAGAUGUAUCUCCAUUGCAUUUUGUCAAUUCGUUGACAGCAGAACCACAUGGUGAGUCAUGUGUAUCUGACUGGCAAGCACAUGACGCAACACAGAAUGCGAGAGUCAUUAAUCCUGCUCGGCCAAAUGAAUCUUGUUUAGCAGCAGAUGCCAGACUCCAAACCAGAUGUAAACGGUCACUGACAAUAUAUGAAGAGAAAAAUAAGGUUUCAGAAGGACACUACAAGAAGCCAGUGAGACUAUUGAAAACAAACUAAACAAAAGGUAUGUGUAGCAUUCAGUCACAAAAUAACACCAAUAGUCCCAUUUGAAAUAGUAACGAGUUCUGGUAGGUCACAAUCAAAAUAUGUGAGUCCUUGCAGCUGCAGUAUUUGAGCAUAGGCUCCAUCUUAGUUAUGUUGCCCAAACUAUAUACUGCACAUAUCUAUAUUGAGUACACCGUAACCUUUCAACCCAAAAAAAAAUACAUAACACUGCAAAAGUCAAGUUUUUCAUUAUGAUACAUGCUGGCAGCCUUCAAUUAAUGUAAAGAUAAAAACUAUAUAACAGAAAGUGUUACACGAGUAAACUAUUUACAAAAUCCAAUUAUCAGGCCAAACCAGUCAGCCUGGAGAGAGGUGUAUUUGGAGAUUGAUAAGGUGUGCCGACACAACCAGGACAUCUAAUUCAGGAAAUAGGGAGAAAUAGUAACAGCAUUGCUCAACAAGUGGCUAAACUCAUUCAGAGCUCCGGAGAGGAGUGGCUGAUCUAACCCCCUCUACCGAUGCACAUUGCUGCUAAGGUGCAACACGACUGUAAUAGCUUGAGAUGCCUCAGAAUAUAAAUAGUUAAAUACUACCCCCCACCCCCUCUCAAAAAAAAUUCAAAUUAUCAGCUCUCAUAUACUCCCUCCGUCCCAAAAUUCUUGUCUUAGGUUUGUCUAGAAAUGGAUGUAUCUAAAUACUAAAACGUGACUAGAUACAUUUAUGUCUAGACAAAUUUAAGACAAGAAUUUUGGGAUGGAGGGAGUAUACUGUAAGUGAAAGUGCAACAAAAUCCUCAAACAGGGACAAAGAGCAGUAGUCAUCCGAGAAGGAGUACCGUGUCGUCAAUUUCCGGGCAUAAUUGCUGAAAAACCUCUCUGCACCUUUUAUGGCUUCUGAAUUAUAAACACCACCAACACCUACAAAUAAUUUAAGCAGACAGCUCAGCACGAAUGAACUGUUGAACACUGCGACAUCGGAAAGCAAAUAUGCCAUAAAAGAAAAGAAUAAGUGGUAAGCAUCACGGAUAACUAAACAAGGACAAGUGGGCUGCAUUGCAAUGCAAACACUGAAAUGUAUAAAACAAUCCAUAACUAGGAAAAGAGGAACUAAUCACAUGCAAUCAAGCUACAAUGCUAACAAAAUUUUAAUCCAAAUCUGCUGCAAAGGCAAACAUAAACAAAGAGAUGCUUCUCAAUGAUUUUGUCUAUUUGGUUCAAAAAUCGCAUUGCCAUUGAGACAUAUGUAUCUUCAUUUACAAAAAAACAGUACUGAUGGUACUUGUAUUUAAGGAGAUCCCUGAAAAGUUUACCAAUAAGAAAUAACUGCACCAUAAAGUGCAAAGUGAAGCGCAUAUUUGAUUUGAACAGAAUAACUAUUGAAUGAAGUGAAAAACAAAUAAACUAACCAAAAUCCUUGUGAUGAACUACAUCGUUCAAACCACGUAUGAGAGGGCCAAGCACAAACCCUCUAGGGACCAUUUGAGCGUAGCCUUUGUAGCGUUCCCAUGCGAUAUCCAAAAAGGAUUGCAUUACCAGGCACCGCACUGCAAAGGGCAUUCGUAAAAGCAGAUUAAGAAAACACUCUAAACAUAUAUGCCCUGUACAUAUCAGUACUGACCUUGAGGAUUAUCCUGAGUAAACCCACGCUCCCACAGUACCGUCAUCCAGUUGAAAAUUCCUUCCACGGAAUCCAUCUGAGCAUGAAAAGCUCUGUAUGAUAUGUGAUUCAAAUAGUAACUCUGUGGCGCAGACUCAAACAAUAGCAGUACCUGAGCAUUAUUCUCAAACAUGUUACCCAGUUGAAGCAAAGAAGUGUGUAGUAAUUGAUUAAUCUAUUGUUGUGUUGUCACUAGUACUGAGCGAAUAUUUAUCUACCUAGGAUUUAACAGAUAUUAAAUUCAGUAUUGCAGGCAAUCAACAUAUCUUUUUGUCAAUAGUCUGAUAAGAGAGACAUGCAGAAAAGAAACUAACCUGGUGUGUCCAGGCUGCCUCAACCAAAUGUGUCCCAAACUCCUGGAGCAUCUCAUAGAGUAACAGAAAGACCUUCCAUCGGUCUUGACCACUUGAACAGUGUUCAUCUGAUUGCUUGAUUUCUUCAACACCUAGGGACUUGGCCUCUUUGUUAGCCCACCUUUCUUUUUUUGUCACAGCGGCAUUUGAUUUGUCUUGAUCAGGCAAAGCAGCUGGGCUCCUGCCAGAGCAUCGCUGGCUCCCAUCAUUUCCAAAAGAAAAUAUGCUUAGCGAUGUUUUCAAGACGUAAAAGGCCUGCUUCCUUACUGAAGAAUCCUUGUCAACCUGUUGUGUUGGGGAAAUCAAGUGUGUUGCCCCAAAUGUGAAACGUGACAGCGUAGAUCCAAAUUUUUGGUACAAAUAGCAAAUUAACUAAAUGGCUUACCAGCCCCCUGCGCAAUUCGUCCCAAAAUUCAGUGGCAUUCCUAAGAUCAAAGUUCUGGACCUCAUCAGCAGUUCCUGGGAUGGCACCCUGACGUCCCGAUUUCAACACCGAGAAGUACAGAGAGAGUAUAUCGUACGCAUCCAGCCGCUCAGGGCGGCCAAGAGAGAACAGAGAGACACAGGAGUUCCAAAUUGACUCCAAGAAACCAGACCUGCGUGCCGGGGAAACGAUUAGCGUGAGCAAACAAUUCAAAUUAACAAGUUUCCCACAGGAAAGGAAAGAAGGCCAACCUAGAUAGCUUAAGGUGGACCGCACCGAACUCGACGGUGACGCAAGAAACAUCUGCUAGUGAAGCAAGCACAGGCUGCAGGAGGACCCGGGUGGCGCAGGACCGAUACUCUUGGCCGAGGUCAAACAUCUUGAGCACCAGCCUGGACAGGUCCCAGGUCAAAUUCUGCACCAGUGCAUCCAGUGAAGAAGCAUCGGCACCCUCCUGAUGGGCCUCCCUUCUACUCUUCAGCGCGUCUCCGAGCAACGACGCAAGGAGCGCGGUGGCCUUGGAGAGCGGCAGCAGCAGCCCUGCGUCCACUGAGGACCGAUCGGCCGCGUCCCAGUGGUAACGGUACACGAUGGAGUCGUCGCCGUCAUACUCGUGGGUGGUGGGCAAAGCCAUUGCAGCGGCACAUGACCGGACGCACAAGGGCAGGAUGGUGGCACCGAGCAGGUCCCAGGACCGGGCGCCGGAGACGGCGUCGCACAUGAGCGCGGCCGCCUGCUGCUGGAGCCGGCUGGGCUGGGCGUCCUCCCGGCGGAGGAGCGGCAGAAAGACCCUCCAGAGCAGCGCGCGCAGGGCGUCCCUGGGGUCGCCGCCGAGGCGGGGGAGCAGAUGGCAGAGCGCGGCGGCGUGGGAGAGCGAGGCGGCAUGGCCGUGGCCGCCCUCCUCCUGCCCCUGCAAGGAAGACGAAGAAGAAAGAGGGGUGAGUGGAAGCUGGUCGGGAGAGAAGAGAGAGGCGCUGGGGAGAAGCGGGCAGUACCUCGGGGAAGGAGUCGAGGAGGGAGCGGAAGAGCUCGGAGGGCGAGGGGGCGGAGGAGGAGGAGGCGAGCACGCAGUCGACGACGGCGGGGACGGCCUCCGGCGGGACGGCGCGGAAGCAGCUCUCGAGAGCGGCGAGCGCCAUGGCUGGACGGAGGGUGGGGUGGGGUGGCGGCGCCGGCCGGAGGGAAGGGAGAAACCAAACCAAAGUCGUCAGUUUUGGAGAGUUUGGGCCGGGCCGGAAAAAUCGGCUGCUAUACUCUACUCUACUGUCGUGCUGCUUCCGGUCACAAACUCUUCUUCCCUAAAUCUUCCUCAAAAGAAAAAAACGUCUUUCCCUAAAUUUGCCUCAAAAGCAAAACUUCUUUACCUGAAAAAACACUUCUCACCUUGAAAAACAUAUUCCUCCGUCCUGAAAUAAAUAUCAUAAAUUUAGUACUCCUUCCGUUCUAAAAUAAGUGACUCAAAAAUAACCCAACUUUACACUAACUUUAGUAUAAAGUUGAGUCACUUAUUUUGGGAUGGAGGGGGUAUUAAAUUUGUACUACCUCCGUCCCAAAAUUCAUGUCUUAAAUUUGUCUAGAAAUGAAUGUAUCUAAAUAGUAAAACGCGACUAGAUACAUUCAUAUCUACAAAAAAUUUAAGACGAAGACCCUUCGUCACAAAUUCUUAUCUUAGGUUUGUCUAAAAAUUAAUGUAUCUAAAUACUAAAACAUGACUAGAUACAUGUAUCUAAACAAAGCUAAGACGAGAAUUUUAAGACGAAGAGAGUACAAUUUUUAUAGUAAAUCACCAAUACUUGUUUUAGGACAGAGGAAGUACUUAUAAAAAAAAAUACUACACCUACCGGCGAUGUCAUGUACUCACUCCGUCUCUUAUGACAGCCAAUAUGGGACAGAGGGAGCACAAUGUAAAAUGUAUAAAGAGAUGUUUAAUAAGAUUAAUUGUAGUUUUCUUAAGCCAAUGUUUAUCUAUAUAUCACGAAGCAUCGGUGCUUAUGCAAAAACUGAUUUAUUUUUCUAAUCAUUUUUUCAAACAUGAUAUAGACGCAAACGCUUACAAACACGCACUCAUUCAUAUGAAUCAUAUGAGCAUCUUCUAAAGACUAAGCCAAAUCAUCCUCUAACUACGAUUAUCAAAAGAAAAAAUCCUCUAACUAUAAUUCUGUAAGAUUUCCCCUUAAAUAUACCAAAGUUUCCUAAUGUUAGAGUUAUAAUAUAAGUCAUGUACUCUUUUGUAUUUAUCCUGAUAUAUAAGGGGUUUUUUGCAUAUAGUCUACUACCUGUACAUGUAUAUAUACUGGUCUAUGGCCUCAUGGGAAUACAAGUUGCUUAUUCCUAACAUGGUAUGAGAGCUAGAUUAACUUUUACACGUCGCAACUCGUGUUGUUGAUCCGCUCCGCGCAGUCGCUAUCCGAUGUGCCUGUUGCGCUCGUCGCCGUGCUUCUGGCCGGUGUUCUCCUCGUCUCUGCAGCACAUCAAAGCUGCUCGUUCCCCGUCAGCCNGGGGGGGGGGGGGGGCAUCCUCAUGAAAGGUAAGAAGAAAUCCCAAAAACUAGACUCGUUUUUCUCUUGUGACAUUAGAAUAUUAUACUCCCUCUGUCACGUAAUGUAAGAACUUCUCUAACACUAGUGUAGUAUCCAAAACGCUCUUAUAUUAUGGAAUGGAGGGAGUACAAAAUAGCCUUAUGCAUUUCGUGUUCUAUUUUUUUUUUUCAUUUUUGUGUUCUAUUUGUUCCAGAGCUUUUACUUAACUCCAAACCUGCUCAAGCCAACCAAGUUUACAGCAUCAUUUAGCCAGCUUUCCUAAGAGCAAUCACAUAUUUGGCAUUGGAUUUGGAUGGAAUUCAACUACCCAAUUGACAGUCCUCCUUACACAAUGUGAUAUCGAUUACACUAGCAAAUAGCCUAGCCCUACUUACCUGACAAGUACAGCGUAUCUGAACACCCAUAGUUCAGAGGAACUCCUCUUCCAAGACCUCACUUCACUUGACCAGAACAGUAGAAGUUGAUGCUAUGAGAUCAUGCUGGGACACUUGGCAUCCAGAAACUCCUUGAGCGUGCGGGCGCCCUUCUGGCUGCCCAUCAGCUCCGCUAGCCUCUCUACCGGUAGCAGCGCGAGCUCCGCCAGGCUAUUGCAUCCGUCCAUUAUCGCUCUGUAGUUGGAGUCCGUCACGCCAGGGAGCCUUCUCAGGAACUCGAUCGCGGAUGUGUUGUAGUUCUCGGCCCUGAAAACCCCAAAUUUUACCGUUAGUGGCCAUAACAUAAUCAUCCAUGGUAAUUACAUAUCUGCUCUGCCAUGCCAGACACACAAGUUGGUUCUACCUCACGUCGUCUUCCACGACCCCAUCCUCCGACGGCACACCCACCCUCAUCGCCUUGUUCUCAUCGGGUUCGUCCUGGUUUGAUUUCAGCGACAUGAAUAUGUCUGCUGUCGCGUGUAGGCUGCGGGACCACACGAUGCGAAGCCGGGGGAAAUGCAGGACUAGCAGUGACAGCUUCGAGAUUAUGUUUGUUGGGGACACGUCAUCCCCAACUUCGCUUGCAGACUGCGUGAAAAAUGAGCACACCAGUAGUAAGCAUACCAUCAGGUGCAACCAAAAAAUACAAUAUUGGAGUAUGAAGUAUGAACAUCGAUUUGCUCAUACAAAUAGGACAGUCAUUUGUAGAGACCAUCUGUAAAUGACAAAUUAGCAUGAAAAAUACCUGAAAGGAGAAGCUCUUAUCUUGUGAGAACUCUAUCAGAAGCACUGGGAUCUUGUAAUACCUAAUCAUGAUCUCGACCUGAUUGUAGAGACGACCAGAAGCAAAGCUCUGGUACAAGUCUGCAAUACUUUUUCUUUCAACGCAUAUCAAGGGAGAAAGAACAUAGUCACCAACUUCCAGGGUCACCGGUAUAAUUCGAAUACCCUUCUGGUGCAGUACAUUGGGAAGACUGCUCAUGAACUCCCGCAUGUCUACAAUAACCUGGAAGAAUACAGUGCUGAACAAUUUAGGAAUUCAGCCAGAAACAGACAUGUGGUUUCUUUAUCAAAAUAAAAAUAAGGCCCAGUAGCGUCACCUGCAUAUCCUUCCCUGUUGCCUUUCUACCACCUGCCUUUCUUGUCAGUGAAUUCUGAGAAAAAAGAGGUUCUGGUUCAUUUGCCGGAGUUGGUCCAAUGCAACGGCCACUCUGAAGAGAAAUAAGACAGACGUGUGAUGUACCAGAACCAUAUGAAACAUUCAUAAAGUGUAAGCCAGCAUUUUCUGCCCAUGCAAAGGUGGUUAGAAGUUAAAAUAAACAUCAUGUCUGCUUGAUCAAUAGCAGCCAUUUCAUGAAACCAUUAUGCAGCAUCAUUCACAUGGUAAAUGCUUGGCUAAGGCCAAGCAGAAGUUACUCCUAGGGUACAUAUAUUUUUUGUUAAUGGAGAGAUUCAACUGAAACACUACCUGAUCAACAGGUAUCAUCAUCAGGGACUUCUGUCUGAUCAAUGAUUCAAAGGCUUCAUUUUCUCGGCGGAUACUGGACUCGAACUUUUGCACCUCAGAAGAUUCCUCGUAAAAAAGAAAGUAAACUUUCAACUUCUUUGAUGGGUUUUCUGCCUUGUAUACCUCAAUUUCCCUGACAAAGGUCAUAUCUGGAUGAUAGACAAUAAUUACGGAUGGUUUCCAUAUGUCUAGUACAUGCUGGUCACUGUCUAGGGCAUAAAAUUGCACAGGAGGUAGCAUUUUGGGAUCAAUUAAGUCUUCAGCAUUGUCAGGAGUGGAGGCUGGAGCAGGAGCAUCUUCAGCAGACACCUUAGAGACAUUAAUGUCAGACUGUUCAACUGUUUUGCCUGAUGCUUCCACGUCAGUACCUUGGCAAUUAUCAUUUUCUGUAGUACAUUUAUUUUUCCUUUUACUGGCUUGUCUCUUUGCCGUGAUUUUCUUUUGUACUCCCUUUCCUUUUCCCUUUACAGAACCUUUCUUGCUGCAGCUGGGAACUGGAUCCUCCUUGGCAUCUGCUUCCUUAGUUAAAUUGCUUAUACCAGAGGCGGCAGCAAGUAAGGCAUUAGUCUCAAGCUUGCUAAUGCUUACUGGCCCUGCAUUCUCGUUCUCAUUCUCAUUAGACCCUGUAGGAAAUUGCCCAUCCAGGACACCAAAACCUUUUGGUUGCUGAGAUCGUUUUUUCUUCUUUUUAUGUAAUCCGAACAGCUCGGCUUUCCCGAGCAAGUACUUCUCCCACUCUUCUCGCAUGACCUUGUUAAAACAAGUUAAAAGUGUUAUGGAGGGUUCACUAACAAGUUUUAGCUAGUAAUAAAGAAACUUGCAUUUAAGAAGAAAUAGAUGCAAAGGUGCACAAAGGAGAUAAAAAGUAAAUAGCAACUGCUCAUUAGAUUGAUCCAACUGCAUUCAAGACACACUGCAGUUACCUGAUGGGGGCUUCUCAAUAUACAUUCCUGCAGCUGCAAGCAUGAGCGCUCAUCUUUGCAUGCUACUAAGACUAUGCCACAUUCAUUAUUUUCAUCUUCAUGUACAACAGCAUCUCCCUUUCUCUGUUCUUCGGCUAUCUCUUGCAACAGUUCCUGCAAGGAUGUGUGUAGGAUAUCAGGUAAAGACAUUCGUAAGAAGCAAAGAGUGUCUAGAUGAUGCAUAAUCUACUUGAACUAUGUAAUAACUAGGGGGCAGUUUCUACAAGAACAGAACAAGGAAAGUGGAUUACAGUUUAUUGUAACCCCUAUCUUUCUCUUUGAUAUACCAUAGGGGCUCACCUUUGGUGUUUCAGUCAAAAAAAUAUUUAGUAUAAAAUGUAGGUGCAAAUGGAACAGAAGCGUCAAGUAGGUAAAAGAUUUUUCUUCUGAAAUGUGUGAAAUAAAUAGUUAAUGCUGACUGUUGCUUGGAAGAAAAUUGAGGAACAAGAACGGAGCCUCUCACCCGUAAUACUUUCCAUUUUGGUGCUUCCUCCAAAACCUCCUCCAGUAGAAAGGAAGCCUCUGCAUUUACCUUCUGAGCGUCAUCCUUGUUAGAAGCAGAAUCCUCAUUUUCUGCAGGAAAAGACCAUGUGUUAUACUAAAUGUUUUCUUUAGAAUAAAAAUGCAGGCCACAUGAAUGGAAACCAAGGGACUAAUAGCCGCUACCAGUUUCUUUUCCUUUCUUGCUCCUACUGGGUGUCACCUUCCUCUUCUUCGUUGGUGUGCCCUUGGCAAUUGAAACCCUUGUGCCGUCCGGUCUCACAACCUGAUAAACACGCCUUUUUGCAAGUUCAAAUAUCUUGUGGCUUGAUUCAGCCAACAUCCAAACCGAUCGAACACCUUCAGAUACUCUCAGGGUGUCUAGAUACUUCAAGUAUGUCACGGCAUCAUACCUAGCCAUCAUCUAAAUAGCAUAAAGAGUAUGCCCAACUGUCCAUUGAUGCGCACAAUUUGUGUUGCUACACCAAACAGAACAAUAACCCUGUUGAAUGCCAUGGAUUAAUAGUAUGGAUUGCUACCUGCCAAGGUAAUCGAGCAGCUUCCGUAGCGUCCUGAGGUCGGCGACGAGCUGCUUGGUCUUCUUGCCGAGGGUGUGCCAGAUGGGGUCGAGCUGCCUCCUGACAAUCUCGUCGAAGGACUUGAAGAGGCCCUUGUCAAUGGUGAGGUCCUCGACAUCGACCUUGUAGGUCCGCCGGAGCUCCUUGAGGCAGGCAUCCAUGGCGUCGAGGAUGGCAGCCUGGAUGCCCGCCAUGGGGUUCGUCAUGGGGACGCGGACGUCGAUGACCUCCGGCGGGGAGCGCUCGAGGUCGGCGGCGGCGAGGACGUGGAAGCGCGGCCAGAGGUGGAGGCGGCGGAUGUAGAGGCUCUUCAUGGUGCGCUCGGCCUUGGCGAAGCCGGCGACCAUGGCGUGGGGGCGGUCGGAGAAGGCGUAGACGGGGAGGAGGCGGUGCUGGCGCAGGAGGCGGGCGAUGAAGGCGUCUGCGGAGACGUCGGAGGAGCGGUGGGCGGCGAGGAGGAGCAGGGCCCGGACGCGGGAGGGGAGGAGGUGGGAGGUGAGGAGGUCGGCGGCGAGCACGCGCGCGGUGAGGAAGAGCGCCGCGCCCUCCCCGGAGGAGUAGAGCGCGCGGCGGUUGGCGGCGGGGACGUCGGAGGCCACGUCGUGGACCUGCAGGAGCUGGGAUUCGACCAGGCGGCGCCGGAUUUGGUCCUUGAGCGCGUCCGGGGCGGAGAGGAUGAGGAAGCAUCCGCCGCCCCCGCUGCCGCCGGAGGAGGAGGGGGAGGGUGAGGAGGAUGUGGAUUGGUGGUGGAGGUGGAGCAGGAGCGCAGCGGCGAGGGAGGCGAGCGGGAGGCCGGCGGAGACCACCACCAGCCCUCCGUUGGGAUCCUCCAGGAGGUCCGCCACGGCCUGCUCCUCGAACGGAAGCAUCGUCGGCAACGGCGGCGGCGAGCUGGUUCCGUUCGUCUGCUCUUGGCUGCCUCUCCUUCAGACCUCCACGGCGACUUCCCCUUUCUCCAUGUAGGCCUGUACCGCCAUGGCCCGUGGGCCGUCUCAAUUUUGGUGCCUACCCAGCCCAUCAAACAACAUGAUUUCUUUCUAAAAAAAAAAUUCAAAGCAAACAUUCCUCAUCAUUCAUCGACAGAAAAUUCCCUCAAAAUAAUCAACAACAACAAAGCCUUUAGUCCCAAACAAAACAAAUUGGAAUAGGCUAGAGGUGAAACUUAUAAGAUCUCGCAACCAACUCAUGGUUCUGACAAACGGAUAGCAAGCUUCCAAAAUUCCCUCAAAAUAAUCAACAGAAAAAAAACUCAAAACAAGCAACAAAAAAAAAGGAAUUUUUCUUCUAUAAAAUGGCUUGCUGACAGGCACAUAAAUCACAGGUGUAACAGUUUUCUUCCAAACCUUCUCUAUUUUCUUUCAUUCUUUCUUUGGACAUGUAAUGUGUGUUCUCAUCUUUCGGCACUACUGCUACAUCAUGAGAAAGAAUAAGAAGAAAAAGAACAAAAUCGCCGGCCAGCUUAAUAGGCAGUCGUGUUGCUUCUCCUCUUCACCUUCAAAUACACCGGGUCCUUCAGCAGCCUGACGGUCACGCCACUCCAGACGUCUGUGCUGGUCGGGAGCAUCGCCAUCUCCUCCGCGACGGCCAUGUCCUCCGGCAUCACGGACCCGAACACCGUGUAGGCGUCUCUCCACUCGUCGUGGUCUGCUAGGCUGAUCAGGAACUCUGGCCCUGACCCAAUCCACGCCACGGACCCUCUUCUCACAGCCGAGCACCCUUCUUUCGGCAUCUCCUGGAAGGCUACGCCAUCGACUUCCAGUGUCCCUUGUAGCAGCGCGUAGGGUGGACCAAAUGCAGCCUAGUUGCACCCAGAAGAAACAUUCGUCAGUAGGCCGACAGCCCUUACAUACAAGCAAUUCCAGAAACACAAAUGUCACUUUGGGCUCCCUCUUAUGCAAGAAGCAAGAUGGUUAAACAGCCAUAGACCCCAUACAUUUUUUACGUGCUCUCCUUUUGCAUCCCACAGGUGGCCACGGCCUUCCGCGCGGUAGAAUCUGCAUCCGGCGUAGUUGUGCAGGCCCAACAGCUCGAUGAAGUAAUCCACAGAAUGGGGUGCACAAUCAGGCAGCAACUGGGUGGAAUGGAAGUAUAUGUAUCAGAGAAAGGAACAAGAAUGCGGUAUAUGAUACCCGUGGAAAACAAAAAUUAUACUAGAAUAUUUCCAGUCAGCUCAAAGUACAAGCUGCCUUUUCAGUAUGAAUAUGAAGCACUGAAAUGGAUCAUGCAGGGGAAUAAGCUUUUAUUAUGACUAAAUACGAAUUUAUGGGAAUCAUCAAGACAUAGUUAGCUCUGUGACAAAACGAAAUGUAUUAUCGGCUACACUGCUUAAGAGCCUAGGCUAGCAACAGAACAAUCACUUAGAAUGGAUGUUUACUUGGCAUAUUCUUGCUGGGAAACUAUUUGUAGAAAUAAGAACCAACCGAUAAAUGAAUAUUCAGGAACUGGACAUGGACAUGUUAAACGCAUAAAUCCAAGCCAGAGAAGCGAUUGAUCUCAGGAUAUUAAGAAAAAAUAUUUGGUGGGGCUCUGCCACAAUUGUUUCCCCAUUUUAAAAUAGGAAAUUUGCAUGGCAAAGCAUUUGUCUCGAUAAGCCGAAACAGCAUGCUGUAACCUCUGUUUAGAACUUGCAGCUUUAGCGGCUUGAAAAUAUGCUUGUAAGUAAUGAAAUAAGUGUGAACACCACUCUAACAUCUUUGGGUUGGCAUGAAAGGAAAACUAAAGGGCCAAACACUGAAGGUGUUCUAGAAAUGGUCCCUCAGAAUACUUUAACAGCUUGAAAGUAUUCUUAACCCAGCUGUAGAGACAGAAUACAACUUACUUGGACACGAAGCGUGCCGACACUUGUUUCCAGCCCCACGAUUCCCUACAUUAAGUUUGAGACCUUUGAUUAUCGAUGAGAUUCAUACCAGGGAAGAUCAUAAUAAGAAGAAUCAGCAGAUAUAGUUUCUAAACAAACAAAAAAUGCUUGAUUCUAGUUUCCUUUUUAAUCACAUUCCACCAUGUGAGGCCUGAUUCCUGUUUCUCUUUUAAGCACUCCAGCAUGUGAUGAUUGAUUCUUCUUUCUUUUUGAAGCAAGGAAUAUAUGAUAUUAUUACAAAUAUUUGUCUGCAUUAUACACAACAUGGUCAGCCAGCUGAGCCGAAAAUUCGUCAGCGGAACAUCCCAUGACAUGCUACGAGCUUCUCUGGCUCCAUGAUGCCAAGCGGUUAACAGACCUGUGAUGAUUUUCCGAAGACGAGGCCAGAAGUCCACAUGACAUCCUCCCCCCUCGCGAUCACAGCGGGAGCCAUGGCGUCAUUCUGCUUCUUCAGCCAGCACUGCAGCCACAGUUCGCAGGCGCUUGAUUGAUAAGAUGAGGAUGCAGAAAUAUGUACAUACAGAGGUGUAGGGGCGGGAGUCGGCGAGGGGACGGACCUCUCCGAAGCGGUUGCCGCAUCGGCGGCGGUCCCCGCAGAAGACCCAGGAGUCGCAGCGGCGGUGGGCCUUGCAGGAGGCGCAGCAGGCGGCGGCGGAGGGCUGGCGGUGGUCGGAGCCCCAGUUGACCGCGGGGCCCCAGAGCUCGAGGCCCUGGAUGCCCCCGCAGCGUGCGCGACCGGGCUCCGCGGCGGCGAGCCGUANCGCGGCGCCGGGGGAGGAGAUGUAGGCGGCGAGGGCGAGGGCGGCGAGGAGGAGGAAGAGGGCGAGGGUGAGGAGGCGGCCCCGGCGGCGGGCGUCGGACGGCCUGCCGCCGCGGAGGGCGGCGGGGAGCGGGAGGGCGAGGGUGGGGGGAGGAGGCAUUGGAGGACCUGGCCGGCGGAGAGAGAAAAGGAGGGAUUUUUGGCCAGUCGUCGUCUUCACGACUGAAGCGUUGAUUUCACCUCGUCUCAACAAAUUAAGGAGAGAAAAAAAAGAACUGUCCCCCACUCCCUCGGUCCCUCACUCCUACCACUGCAGUAUCCAACAUUCAAAACUACCAUAGCACGUUUUUAAAUGUUUGGAAAAUUCUGGAAAAAUGGUAACUCAUCCACGCAAAAUCAAUGUAUGUUGUUGUAAAAUUCAGAACCGGAUUCCGAAACAUGAAAUAGUACUUUCUCCGUUCCAAAUUUUCCCAAGUGCGUAUAGAAAAUUCGGCAAAGAUCUACUCCCUCCGUUCCUAAAUAUAAGUCUUUGUAGAGAUUUCACUAGUGAACUACAUACGGAUGUAUAUAGACAUAUUUUAGAGUAUAGAUUCAAUCAUUUUGCUCCGUAUGUAGAUCCUUAACGAAAUCGCUUAAAAGACUUAUAUUUAGGAACGGAGGGAGUACAUGACAAAUGCAUGUGAUACGAAAAUACAUAUUCAUGAUGAAUCGCAUGCGGUGAGCUUGAUUUUGUAGGUGUUGACACUACCAGAAACUUUGGGUGUAUUUGAUGAAAAUUGACUUACGGGUUAAGAGAAUCACAAACUUAGACUGUUUUGAAACGGAGGGAAUACAUGACAUAAGUUGGGCUUUAGAUUUGGGCCAUUAUUACAUUAAUGUCAAGAUUUUUAUCUUUGCAUGUCGGGCAAGGUUUUCAGUUUUGAUAUGAGAUUUUAUGACAAUGUGCAUAUUUUGUCAGAUAUUUUAAAGAAUGCUAUGACAUUCGGUGCGUAACAACGGUGAAAACUCUGCCGGCGGUUAGAGACUCACGCCCAUGUUCUUUUCCACUAUAUCUUCACCAAAACCCUACCAACAGUUCAAACACUAUCAAGAGUGACACAUGCGCUUAAAAUAGUAUUAAAAAAACUGGCCACAAUAGGCUAAGUAUGUGAGUUUUCAUGAGUUCCUCGUAACCGAACCCCGGGGAUUCCCGAACAUUCGGAUCGCAACGGGACCAAAAAUCAGUGAGUAAUAGUAUAAAAACUAGCCAGAAUAGGCUAAAACUGCGAGAUUUGACGAGUUUCCCGUAACCGGACCUCGGGGUUCCCCGCAUGUUCAGGUCGCCCUGGGAUAAAAAAUGAGUGAGUAAUAGUAUAAAAAGGUGGCCGGAAUAGGCGAAAGCUAUGAGUUUUGACAAGUACCCCGUAACCAGACCCCGAGGUUCUCCAAACAUUUGGAUCGUAGCGGGACCCGAAAUCACUGAGUAGUAGUAUAGAAAACAGGCCAGAAUAGGCCAAAUCUAUGAGUUUUGACGAGAUCCCCAUAACCGAACCGCGGGUUUCUCCGGACGUUCGGAUUGCAGCAGGACCCAAAAUNNNNNNNUAAUAGCAUAGAAAAUUGGCUAGAAUAGGCCAAAACUGCCAGUUUUGACGAGUACCCCGUAGGUGGAUCCCGGGGUUCCCCGAACGUUCGGAUCGCAACGGGACCCAAAAUUAGUGAGUAAUAGCAUAGAAAACUCACUAGAAUAUGCCAAAACUGCAAGUUUUGACGAGUUCCCCGUAACUGGACACCGGGGUUCCCCGAACGUUUGGAUUGCAGUGGGACCCAAAAUCAGUGCGUAGUAGUAUAGAAAACUCGCCAGAAUAUGCCAAAACUGCGAGUUUUGACGAGUCCCCCGUAACCAGACCCGGGGGUUCCCGGACGUUUGGAUCCCAACGAGACCCAAAAUCAGUGACUAAUAGUAUAGAAAACUGGCCAAAAUAGGCCAAACCUGUGAGUUUUGACGAGUUCCCCGUAACCGGACGUUUGGUUUCCCCGAACGUUCGGAUCGCAGCGGGGUCCAUAAAUAAGUGAGUAAUAGUAUAAAAAAACUAGCCAGAAUACACUACUAGGGAAAACCCUAGUAGUAGCGCUGGUUUUACCCUUAGUAGUAGCGUUGGGGCCAGCGCUACUGCUAACACGCUACAACUAACUCUUAGCAGUAGCGCUGGAUUGAAAGCGCUACUGGUAUCUACGUUAGCAGUAGCGCUGGAAUAAGUAGAGCACUACUGCUAAUACUCCAGCGAUACUGCUAAUAUUCCUGCUUUUAAUAUUUAAUUCGCAUCGUAUUUAUGCCCCCCUUGCGUAUUUGUGCACGCUCUAUACAGUGGUUUCAUCAUAUCAUAAUAAACAUGCAUAAUUUGCAUCACAUCAUACAGAUAAAGUACUCCCUUCGUCCCAAUAUUCUUGUCUUUAGAUACAUCCAUUUCUAGACAAAGCUAAGACAAGAAUUUUGGGACGGAGGGAGUAUCAUGUCAUAUAACUCAUCAUCAUCUUAUGUACUCAUCUAACAACUCAUCAUCAUCUUAAUCAUAUACCAAGUUAUCAUAUGAUACACAUAAAGUAAAACAGAGAAACAUCAUAAUAGUCAUCAUAUGCAUGCAUCCUAAUCGAUCAUGUCAAGUUAAUAUAAAUCAUAAUAACUUCUCUCUCAUAAGACCUAGUCCUCGCUCUUAGGUAUAAUGUCAUAAAACAGAAUAACACUUAUGUCUCCACGAUGAAGCACAGAGACCCAACGGUCUCCAACUCGUGGCUUGCGCUCCUUCUUUAUUUCUCUCCAUGCUUCAAUUUGGAGCCUUUUUAUUUUGAUUUGAGGUUACUAGAGUAUGGAGCAUCGAACUCACCCCUCAGCAGGCUUUUAAUUUUUAUUUGACCUUCUAGGUGCAUCAACAGAGACACUACAUCAUGUGGCAGUUGCUGUUGAAGAACAUAAUAAUAAUCUAGUUAGCAAUGUAAUCAACAUCAUUUAUGCAAUAGUAGAGCGUACUUAAUUAGGAAACUCUUACCAAGAUAUUUCGGCGAAUGUCAUCUGGCCUCAACCUAUGCACUAGUGGCAUGUAAAAUGUAUAAUUUUGGCCAAUUCCAAAAUUAUACGGGAAGGUAUCCCUAGAAACCAGAACACCAACAAGAAAGUAGAGAAGAACAUCCUUCUCCUCCAAAGUUAGAUGUGAUCCACACGUGUAGUGUGUCGCGUCAAUUAAUUUCCAUAAUUCACUCGAAGAAACGAAAUAAGAUGUAAAUUAUAAUUUAACAAAUUUAGUAUAUGGAUGAACACCAACUAUUUCUAAAUAUAGAAUGCAAAUUACUUGACAAAUAUGGUUGAGGAACUCACAUGGAGGUAAAACAGGAAGCAUAUCGACAUAAUCGUGCUUUUACAUGUGCGCCAAUGCUUUUCAAAGGAGCUUAUUAUGCAAUGAACAUAAUCGAUCAUAUUGCAAAAUCAAUGUCUUACUUCAUAGAUUCGAGAGAAUAGGAGAAUAGAAGCCUGACAAACAGUCAGUUCAGUCCGAUUCAGGUGCCAAUUCAGGUGCCUAAUCAAAUAGAACCAGACCCUGGGGUUCCCCGAACGUUCGGAUCGCAACGGGACCAAACAUAAGUGAGUAAUUGCACACAAAACUGGCCAGAAUAGGCCAAAUCUAUGAGUUUUGACGAGUUCCCCAUACCGAGACCGCGGGGUUCCCCGAAUGUUCGAGUUGCAGCGGGACCCAAAACUAUUGAGUAAUAGCAUAGAAAAUUGGCCAUAAUAGGCCAAAACUGCGAGUUUUGACGCGUACCCCGUAGCCGGACCCCAGGUUUCCCCGAAUGUUUGGAUCGCAGCGNNNNNNNNNNNNNNNNNGUAAUAGCAUAGAAAACUAGCCAGAAUAGGCCAAAACUAUGAGUUUUGACGAGUUCCCCGUAAUCGGGCCCUCGGGUUCCCCGAACGUUUGGAUCACAGCAGGACCCAAAAUUAAUGAGUAAGCUUACAAAACUGUCCUGAAUAGGCCAAAUUUGUGAGCAUUGACGAGUUCCCCAUAACCGGACCCCGGGGUUCCUCGAACGUUCGGAGUGCAGCGCGACCCAAAAUUAUUGAGUAAUGGCAUAGAAAAUUGACCACAAUAGGACAAAACUACGAGUUUUAACGAGUACCCCAUAGCCGGACCCCGGGUUUCCCCGAACGUUCGGAUCGCAACGGGGCCCAAAAUUAGUGAGUUUUGACGAGUUCCCAACAAUCGGACCGCGGGGAUCCCCGAACGUUUGGAUUGCAGCGGGACCCUAAAUCAGUGAAUAAUAGUAUAGAAAACUUGACAUAAUAGGCAAAAUCUGUGAGUUUUUAUGAGUUCCCCGUAACCGGACCCCGAGGUUCCCCGAACGUUCGGAUCGCAGCGGGACCCAAAAUAAGUGAAUAAUAUUAGACAAAACUGGCCAUAAUAGGCCAAAUCUGCGAGUUUUCAUGAGUUCCCCGUAACCAAACCCGGGGGUUCCCCGAACGUUCGGAUCAUAGCGGGACACAACAUAAGUGAGUAAUAGCAUACAAAACUGGCCAGAAUAGGCCAAAUCUUUGAGUUUUGAUGAGUUCCCUAUACCUGGACCACGGGGUUCCCCGAACGUUCACAAUGCAGCACGACCCAAAAGGAUUGAGUAAUAGCAUAGAAAAUUGUACAAAAUAGGCCAAAACUGCGAGUUUUGCCGAGUAGCCCGUAGCCGGACCCCGGGCUUCACUGAACGUUCGGAUCGCAGCGGGACCNNAAAUCAGUGAGUAAUAACAUAGAAAAAUGGCCAGAUGAGGCCAAAACUGCGAGGUUUCACAAGCACCUCGUAGACGGACCCUAGGGUUUCCCGAAAUGUCGGAUCGCACCGGGACCAAAGUUAGUGAGUAAUGGCGUUGAAAAUUGGCCAGAAUAGGCCAAACUGCAAGUUUUGAUGAGCUCCCCAUGACGGGACACCGGGGUUCCCCGAACGUUUGGAUAGUUGUGGGACCCAAAAUCAGCGAGUAAGAGUGUAGAAACUGGCCAGAAUAGGCCAAAUCUGUGACUUUUGACGAGUUCCCCCUAAAUGGACCUCAGGAUUCCCCGAAUGUUUCGAUCACAGCAGGACCCAAAAUUAGUGAGUAAUAGUAUAGAAACUAUCGAGAAUAGGCCAAAACUGCGAGUUUUGACGAGUACCCCGUAGCCUGACCCCGGGCUUCCNCGAACGUUCGGAUCGCAGAGGGACCCAAAAUUAGUGAGUAAUAGCAUAGAAAACUGGCCUCGGGGUUCCACGAACGUUUGGAUUACAACAUGACCCAAAAUGAGUGAGUAAUAGUAUAGAAAACUUGCCAGAAUAGGCCAAAUCUAUGAGUUUUGACGAGUUCCCUAUAACCGGGCCCCGGGGUUCCCCGAAUGUUCGGGUCGGCCCGGGACCCAAAAUAAGUGAGUAAUAUUAAACAAAACUGGCCAAACUAGGCUAAAUCUGCGAUUUUCACGAGUUCCCCAUAACCGGACCCCGUGGUUCCCUGAACGUUCGGAUCGCAACAGGACCCAACAUAAGUGAGUUAUAGCAUACAAAACUGGCCAGAAUAGGCCAAAUAUGUGAGUUUUGACGGGUUUCCCAUACCCGGACCAAGGGGUUCCCGGGACGUUCGGAUUGCAGUCGGACCCAAAAUAAUUGAGUAGUAGCAUAGAAAAUUGGCCAGAUUGGACCAAAACCGUGAGUUUUGACGAGUUCCCCAUAACCGAACCCCGGGGUUCCCCGAACGUUUGGAUCGCAGCGGGANNNNNAAUCAGUGAGUAAUAGCUUACAAAAGUGGACAGAAUAGGCCAAACCUGUGAGCUUUGACGAGUACCACACAAUUGGACCGCGUGGUUCCCCGAAUGUUCGGAGUGCAGCACGACCCAAAUUGAUUGAGUAAUAGCAUAGUAAAUUGGCCAGAAUAGGCCAAAACUCCGAGUUUUGACGAGUACCCGAUAGCCGGACCCCGGGNNNNNNNNAACGUUCGGAUCGCAGUGGGACCCAAAAUNNNNNNGUAAUAGCAUAGAAAACUAGCCAGAAUAGAUCAUAACUGCGAGUUUUGGCGAGUUCCCCAUAACCAGACCGCAGGGUUCCACAAACGUUUGGAUCGCAGCGGGANNNAAAAUCAGUGAGUAAUAGUAUAGAAACUCGCCAGAAUAGGCCAAAUCUAUGAAUUUUGACAAGUUAUCCCUAAAUCGACCACGGGGUUCCCCGAACGUUCGGAUCGCAGCGCGACCAAAGAUAAGUGAGUAAUAGCAUAUAAAACUGGCCAUAAUAGGCCAAAUCUAUGAGUUUUGACGAGUUCCCCUAAAUGAACCUAGGGGUUCCCCGAACGUUUGGAUCACUGCGGGACCUAACAUAAGUGAGUAAUAGCAUAUAAAACUAGCGAGAAUAGGCCAAAAAGUGCAAGUUUUGACGAGUUCCCGGAACCGGACACUAGGGUUCCCCGGACGUUUGGAUCGCACAAGGACCCAAAAUCACUGACUAAUAUUAUAGAAACUAGCUAGAAUAGGCCAAAUAUGUGACUUUUGACGAGUUCCCCUAAAUGGACCUCGGGGUUCCCGAACGUUCGGAUCGCAGCGGGACCUAACAUAAGUGAGUAAUAAAAUAUAAAACUGGUCAUAAUAGACCAAAUCUGUGAGUUUUGACGAGUGCCCCAUACCCGGACCGCGGGGUUCCCUGAAAGUUCAGAUUGCAGCGGGACCCAAAAUUAUUGAGUAAUAGCAUAGAAACUUGGCUAAAAUGGGCCAAAACUGCAAGUUUUGACGAGUACCCCGUUGGUGGACCCCGGGCUUCCAUGAACGUUCGGAUCGCAACGGGACCCAAAAUNNNNNNGUAAUAGCAUAGAAAACUGGCGAGAAUAGGUCAAAACUACGAGUUUUGACGAGUUCNNCGUAACCGGACCCCGUGGUUCCCCGAACAUUUGGAUCAUAGCGGGAUGCAAAAUCACUGAGUAAUAACUUACAAAACUGGACAUAAUAGGCCAAAUCUGUGAGCUUUGACGAGUUCCACAUAACUGGACCACGGGGUUCCCCGAAUGUUCGGAGUGCAGCAGGACCNNNNNNNNNNNNNUAAUAGCAUAGAAAAUUGGCGAGAAUAGGCCAAAAUUGCGAGUUUUGACGAGUACCCCAUAGCCGGACCCCGGGCUUCCCCGUACGUCCGUAUCGCAGUGGGAUCCAAAAUGAGUGGGUAAUAGCAUACAAAACUGGCCAGAAUAGGCCAAAUCUAUGAGUUUUGACGAGUUUCCCAUAACCGGGACCGCGGGUCUCCCCGAACGUUCGGAUUGCAGAGGGACGCAAAAUGAUUGAGUAAUAAUAUAGAAAAUUGGUGAGAAUAGGCCAAAACUGCGAGUUUUGACGAGUACNNNNNNNNNNNNNNNNNNNNNNNNNNNAACGUUUGGAUCGCAGUGCGAUCAAAAAAUCGGUGAGUAAUAGCAUCGAAAACUAGCCAGAAUAGGUCAAAUUUGCGAGUUUUGACGAGUUCCACAUAACCGGAGUGCAGGGUUCCCCGAACGUUUGGAUCACAGCGGGACCAAAAAUCAGUGAGUAAUAGCAUACAAAAUUGGCCAGAAUAGGCCAAAAUUUGUGAGUUUUGACGAGUUCCUCGUAACCGGGACCGUGGGGUUCCCCGUACAUUCGGAUUGCAGAGGGACCCAAAAUGAUUGAGUAAUAGCAUAUAAAAUUUGCCAAAAUAGGCAAAAACUACGAGUUUUGAUGAGUACCCCGUAGUCGGACACCAAGCUUCCCCGAACAUUCGGAUCGCAGCGGGACCCAAACUCAGCCAGUAAUACCAUAGAAAACUGGCUAGAAUAUGCCAAAACUGUGAGUUUUGACGUGUUCCCCGUAACCGGACCCCGGGAUUCCCCGAACAUUUGGAUCACAGCGGGACCCAAAAUCAGUGAGAAAUAGCUUACAAAACUGGCUAGAAUAGCCAAAACUGCGAGCUUUGACGAGUUCCCCAUAACUGGACCGUGGGGUUUCCCGAACGUUCGGAGUGCAGCAGGACCAAAAAAUAUUGAGUAAUAGCAUUGAAAAUUGGCGAGAAUAGGCCUAAACUACGAGUUUUGACGAGUACCCCGGAGCUGGACCCCGGGCUUCCACGAACGUUCGGAUCGCAGCGGGACCNNNNNNNNNNNNGUAAUAGCAUAGAAAACUGGACAUAAUAGGCUAACACUUCGAGUUUUGACGAGUUCCCCGUAACCGGACCCCAUGGUUCCCCGAAUGUUUGGAUCGCGGCGUGACCCAAAACCAGUGAGUAAUAGCUUAAAAACUAUACAGAAUAGGCCAAAUCUGUGAGGUUUGACGAGUUCCACAUAACUGGACCGCGGGGUUCCCCGAAUGUUUGGAAUGCAGCAGGACCCAAAAUCAUUGAGUAAUAUCAUAGAAAGUUGGCGAGAAUAGGUCAAAACUGCGACUUUUGAAGAGUACCCCGAAGCCAGACCCGGGCUUCCCCAAUGUUUGGAUCGCAGUGGGAUCCGAAAUCAGUGAGUAAUAGCAUAGAAACUAGCCAGAAUAGGUCAAAACUACAAGUUUUGACGAGUACCACAUAGCCGGACCGCAGGGUUCCCCGAACGUUUGGAUCGCAGCGGGACCCGAAAUCACUGAGUAAUAGCAUACAAAACUGACCAGAAUAGGCCAAAUCUGUGAGUUUUGACGAGUUCCCCAUAACCGGGACAACGGGGUUCCCCGAACAUUCGGAUUGCAUAGGGACCCAAAUUGAUUGAGUAAUAGCAUAUAAAAUUUGCCACAAUAGGCCAAAACUGCGAGUUUUGAUGUGUACCCCGUUGUCGGACCCCGAGCUUCCCCGAACGUUCGGAUCUCAGUGGGACCCAAAAUCANNNNGUAAUAGCAUAGAAAACUGGCCAGAAUAUGCCAAAACUACGAGUUUUGACGUGUUCCCCGUAACCGGACCUCGGGGUUCCCCGACCAUUUGGAUCGCAGCGGGACCCAAAAUCAGUGAGAAAUAGCUUACAAAACUGGCCAUAAUAGGCCAAAACUGCGAGCUUUGACGAGUUCCCCAUAACCGGUCUGUGGGGUUCCCCGAACGUUCGGAGUGCAGCAUGACCCAAAAUGAUUGAGNNNNNNNNNNNNNNNNNNNNNNNNNNNNNNNNNNNNNNNNNNNNNNNNNNNNNNNNNNNNNNNNNNNNNNNNNNNNNNNNNNNNNNNNNNNNNNNNNNNNNNNNNNNNNNNNNNNNNNNNNNNNNNNNNNNNNNNNNNNNNNNNNNNNNNNNNNNNNNNNNNNNNNNNNNNNNNNNNNNNNNNNNNNNNNNNNNNNNNNNNNNNNNNNNNNNNNNNNNNNNNNNNNNNNNNNNNNNNNNNNNNNNNNNNNNNNNNNNNNNNNNUGAUUGAGUAAUAGCAUUGAAAAUUGGCGAGAAUAGGCCAAAACUACGAGUUNNNNNNNNNNNNNNNNNNNNNGACCCCGGGCUUCCACGAACGUUCAGAUCGCGACGGGACCCAAAGUCAGUGAGUAAUAGCGUAGAAAACUGGGCAGAAUAGGCCAACACUUCGAGUUUUGACGAGUUCCCCGUAACUGGACCCCGUGGCUCCCUGAACGUUUGGAUCACGGCGGGACCCAAAAUCAGUGAGUAAUAGCUUACAAAACUGGACAGAAUAGGCCAAAUCUGUGAGCUUUGACGAGUUCUGCAUAACUGGACCGCGGGGGUUCCCCAAAUGUUCUGAGUGCAUCAGUACCCAAAAUGAUUGAGUAAUAGCAUAGAAAAUUGGCAAUAAUAGGCCAAAACUGCGAGUUUUGACGAGUACCCCGUAGACGGACCCAGGGCUUCCCCGAACGUUUGGAUCGCAGUGGGAUCCAAAAUCAGUGAGUAAUAGCAUAGAAAACUAGCCGGAAUAGGUAAAAACUGCCAGUUUUGACGAGUUCCACAUAACCGGACCCUAGGGUUCCCCGAACGUUUGGAUCGCAACGGGACCCAAAAUUAGUGAGUAAUAGCUUACAAAACUGGCUAGAAUAGGCCAAAUCUGUGAGCUUUGACGAGUUCCCCAUAACCGGACCGCGGAGUUCCCCGAACGUUCGGAUUUCAGUGGGAACCAAAAUGAUUGAUUAAUAGAAUAGAAAAUUGGCCAGAAUGGGUCAAGACUUCGAAUUUUGAGGACUAGCCCGUAGCCUGACCUCGGGCUUCCCCGAACGUUCGGAUCGCAGCGGGACCCAAAAUCAGUGAGUAAAUGCAUAGAAAACUGGCCAAAAUAGGAACAAAACUUCGACUUUUGACUUGUUCCCAAUAACCGGACCUCGGGGUUCCCUAAACGUUUGGAUUACAACAAGACCCAAAAUGAGUGAGUAAUAGUAUAGAAAAUUUGCCAGAAUAAGCCAAAUCAGUGAAUUUUGACGUGUUCCCCGUUACUGGGCCCCGGGGUUCCUCGAACAUUUGGAUGGCAGCGGGUCCCAAAAUCAAUGAGAAAUAGCUUACAAAACUNUACCCCGUAGCCGGACCACGGGCUUCCCCGAACGUUUGGAUCGCAGUGGGAUCCAAAAUCAGUGAGUAAUAGCACAGACAACUAGCCAGAAUAGGUAAAAACUACGAGUUUUGACGAGUUCUACAUAGCCGGACCCCGGGGUUCCCNNAACGUUUGGAUCGCAGCAGGACCCAAAAUCAGUGAGCAAUAGCUUACAAAACUGGCCAAAAUAGGCCACAUAUGUGAGCUUUGACGAGUUCCCCAUAACCAGACCGCGGGGUUCCCCGAACGUUCGGAUUUCAGUGGGAACCAAAAUGAUAUAGUAAUAGCAUAGAAAAUUGGCCAGAAUGGGCCAAAACUGCGAAAUUUGAGGGGUACCCCGUAGCUUGACCCCGGGCUUCCCCGAACGUUCGGAUUGCAUAGGGACCCAAAAUGAUUGAGUAAUAGCAUAUAAAAUUUGCCAGAAGAGGCCAAAACUGCGAGUUUUGAUGAGUACCCCGUAGUCGGACCUCGAGCUUCCCCGAACGUUCCGAUCACAGCGGGACCCAAAAUNAGUGAGUAAUAGCAUAAAAAACUAGCUAGAAUAUGCCAAAACUGUGAGUUUUGACAUGUUCCCCGUAACUGGACCCCGGGGUUACCCGAACAUUUGGAUCGCAUCGGGACCCAAAAUCAGUGAGAAAUAGCUUACAAAACUAACCAGAAUAACCAAAACUGCGAGCAUUGACGAGUUCCCCAUAACUGGACCGUGGGGCCCCGAACGUUCGGAGUGCAGCAGGACCAAAAAAUAUUGAGUAAUAGCAUUGAAAGUUGGCGAGAAUAGGCCAACACUACAAGUUUUGACGAGUACCCCAUAGCCGGACCCCCGGGCUUCCACGAACGUUCGGAUCACAGCGGGACCCAAAAUUAGUGAGUAAUAGCAUAGAACACUAGACAGAAUAGGCCAACACUUCGAGUUUUGAUGAGUUCCCCGUAACCAGACCCCAUGGUUCCCCGAAUGUUUGGAUCGCGGCGUGACCCAAAAUCAGUGAGUAAUAGCUUACAAAACUGGACAGAAUAGGCCAAAUCUGUGAGCUUUGACGAGUUCCACAUAACUGGACCGCGGGGUUCCCCGAAUGUUCGGAAUGCAGCAGGACCCAAAAUNNNNNNNUAAUAGCAUAGAAAAUUGGCGAGAAUAGGUCAAAUCUACGAGUUUUGACGAGUACCCCGAAGCCGGACCCCGGGCUUCCCCAACGUUCGGAUCGCAGUGGGAUCCGAAAUCAGUGAGUAAUAGCAUAGAAAACUAGCCAGAAUAGGUCAAAACUGCGAGUUCAGACGAUUUCCACAUAACCGGACCGCAGGGUUCCCCGAACGUUUGGAUCGCAGCGGGANNNNNNNNNNNNNNNNNAUAGCAUACAAAACUGGCCANNAUAGGCCAAAUCUGUGAGUUUUGACGAGUUCCCCAUAAUCGGGACCACGGGGUUCCCGAACGUUCGGAUUGCAUAGGGACCCAAAUUGAUCGAGUAAUAGCAUAUAAAAUUUGCCAGAAUAGGCCAAAACUGCGAGUUUUGAUGUGUACCCCGUUGUCGGACCCCGAGCUUCCCCGAACGUUCGGAUCUCAGCGGGACCCAAAAUCAGUGAGUAUUGCAUAGAAAACUGGCCAGAAUAUACCAAAACUGCGAGUUUUGACGUGUUCCCGUAAUCGGACCUCGGGGUUCCCUGAACAUUGGGAUCUCAGCGGGACCCAAAAUCAGUGAGAAACAGCUUACAAAACUGGCCAGANUAGGCCAAAACUGCGAGCUUUGACGAGUUCCCCAUAACCGGUCCGUGGGGUUCCACGAACGUUCGGAGUGCAGCAGGAUCCAAAAUGAUUGAGUAAUAGCAUUGAAAAUUGGCGAGAAUAGGCCAAAACUACGAGUUUUGACGAGUACCCUGUAGCCGGACCCCGGGCUUCCACGAACGUUCGGAUCGCGACGGGACCCAAAAUCAGNNNNUAAUAGCAUAGAAAAUUGGCCAGAAUAGGCCAACACUUCGAGUUUUGACGAUUUCCCCGUAACUGUACCCCGUGGCUCCCUGAACGUUUGGAUCGUGGCGGGACCCAAAAUCAGUUAGUAAUAGCUUACAAAACUGGACAAAAUAGGCCAAAUCUGUGAGCUUUGACGAGUUCUGCAUAACUAGACCGCGGGGUUCCCCAAAUGUUCUUAGUGCAUCAGGACCCAAAAUGAUUGNNUAAUAGCAUAGAAAAUUGGCGAGAAUNNNNNNNNNNUGCGAGUUUUGACGAGUACCCCGUAGACGGACCCAGGGCUUCCUCGAACGUUCGGAUCGCAGUGGGAUCCAAAAUCAGUGAGUAAUAGCAUAGAAAACUAGCCAGAAUAGGUAAAAACUGCGAGUUUUGACGAGUUCCACAUAACCGGAACCCGGGGUUCCCCGAACGUUUGGAUUGCAACGGGACCCAAAAUUAGUGAGUAAUAGCUUACAAAACUGGCUAGAAUAGGCCAAAUCUGUGAGCUUUCACGAGUUCCCCAUAACCGGACCGCGGGGUUCCCCGAACAUUCGGAUUUGAGUGGGAACCAAAAUGAUUGAGUAAUAGCAUAGAAAAUUGGCCAGAAUGUGCCAAGACUUCAAAUUUUGAGGACUACCCCAUAGCCUGACCCCAGGCUUCCCCGAACGUUCGGAUCGCAACGGGACCCAAAAUCAGUGAGUAAAUGCAUAGAAAACUGGCCAGGAUAGGAAGAAAACUACGCCUUUCUACUUGUUCCCAAUAAUCAGACCUCGGGGUUCCCCGAACGUUUGGAUUACAACAAGACCCAAAAUGAGUUAGUAAUAGUAUAGAAAACUUGCCAGAAUAAGCCAAAUCAGUGAAUUUUGACGUGUUCCCCGUUACUGGGCCCCGGGGUUCCCCGAACAUUUGGAUCGCAACAGGACCCAAAAUCAGUGAAAAAUAGCUUACAAAACUGNAGUACCCCGUAGCCGGACGCCGGGCUUCCCCGAACGUUCGGAUCGCAGUGGGAUCCAAAAUUAGUGAGUACUAGCAUAGACAACUAGCUAGAAAAGGUAAAAACUGCGAGUUUUGACGAGUUCUACAUAACCGGACCCAGGGUUCCCCGAACGUUUGGAUCGCAGCAGGACCCAAAAUCAGUGAGCAAUAGCUUACAAAACUGGCCAGAAUAGGCCAAAUAUGUGAGCUUUGACGAGUUCUGUUGGGUAACGUAGCAUAAAUUCAAAAAAAUUCCUACGCAUAUUCAGAUCUUCCUAUGGAGAGACCAGCAACGAGAGAGGGGUGAGUGCAUCUUCAUACCUUUGAAGAUUGCUAAGCGGAUGCGUUGCUAGAGCGCAGUUGAUGGAGUCGUACUCACGGCGAUUCAGAUCGCGGUGUGAUUCCGAUCUAGUGCCGAACCACGGCACCUCCGCGUUCAACACACGUGCAGCCCGGUGAUGUCUCCUACACCUUGAUCCAGCAAGGAGGAGGGAGAGGUUGGGGAAGAUCUCCGGCAGCACGACGGCAUGGUGUCGAUGGAGAGACGAGGGCUCCCGGCAGGGCUUCGCCAAGCACCGUGGGAGGAGGAGGAAGGAGGGGAGCAGGGAUGCGCCGAGGGGAGAAGAAACGGUGUGUAAAACAACCCCAAACCCCUCCCUAUAUAUAGGAGGAGGGGAGGGGGGUUGCCACUCCUAGGGUUUCCCCCUAGGUGGUGCGGCAGCCCUCCCAGAUGGGAGGUGCGGCGGCUAGGGCAGGGGGAGGGGUGGCGCACCCCUAGGUGGGCCUUAGGCCCACCAGCGCCUAGGGUUUCCCCCCCCCUCUCCACCUCCUGCACCUUGGGCCUCUUGUGGGAGUCGCACCAGCCCACUUUGGGCUGGUUUCCCUCCCCCUCUUGGCCCAUGCUACCUCUUGGGCCUGGUGUCCCCUCCCGGUGGACCCCCGGGACCAUUUCCGGUGGUCCAGGUGGUCCCGGUACGCUACCGGUGACGUCAGAAACAUUUCCGAUCUCCAAAACCAUCCAUCCUAUAUAUCAAUCUUUACCUCCGGACCAUUCUGGAGCUCGCCGUGACGUCCGGGAUCUCAUCCAGAACUCUGAUCAACUUUCAGUAACCUCGUAUAACAUUUCCCUAUAACCCUAGCGUCAUCGAACCUUAAGUGUGUAGACCCUGCGGGUUCGGGAAACAUGCAGACAUGACCGAGACGCUCUCCGGCCAAUAACCAUCAGCGGGAUCUGGAUACCCAUGGUGGCUCCCACACGUUCCACGAUGAUCUCAUCGGAUGAACCACGAUGUCAAGGAUUCAAUCAAUCCCGUAUGCAAUUCCCUUUGUUUGUCGGUAUAGAACUUGCCCGAGAUUCGAUCGUCGGUAUACUUAUACCUUGUUCAAUCUCGUUACUGGAAAGUAUCUUUACUCGUUUCGUAGCACAUAAUCCUGUGAUUAACUCCUUAGUCACAUUGAGCUCAUGAUGAUGUUCUACCGAGUGGGCCCAGAGGUACCUCUCCGUCACACGGAGUGACAAAUCCCGAUCUUGAUUCAUGCUAACCCAGCAAACACUUUCAGAGGUACCCGUAGUGCACCUUUAUAGUCACCCAGUUACGUUGUGACAUUUGAUACACCCAAAUCACUCCUACGGUAUCCGGGAGUUGCACAAUCUCACGGUCGAAGGAAAAGACACUUGACAUUAGAAAAGCUUUAGCAUACGAACAAUACGAUCUAGUACUAUGCUAAGGAUUGGGUCUUGUCCAUCACAUCAUUCUCCCAAUGAUGUGAUCCCAUUAUCAAUGACAUCUAAUGCCCAUGAUCAGGAAACCAUGAUCAUCUAUGGAUCAACGAGCUAGCCAACUAGAGACUUGCUAGGGACACAUUGUGAUCUAUUUGUUCACACAUGUAUUACUAUUUCCUGUUAUAACAAUUACAACAUGAACAAUAGACGAUUAUCAUGAAUAAGGAAAUAUUAUAAUAACCAUUUUAUUAUUGCCUCUAGGGCAUAUUUCCAACAAGUUCCCUAUAACCGGACCACGGGGUUCCCCGAAUGUUCGGAUUUCAGUGGGAACCAAAAUGAUUGAGUAAUAGCAUAGAAAAUUGGCCAGAAUGGGCCAAAACUGUGAAUUUUGAGGAGUACCCCGUAGCUUAACCCCGGGCUUCCCCGAACGUUCGGAUUGCUUAGGGACCCAAAAUGAUUGAGUAAUAGCAUAUAAGAUUUGCCAUAAUAGGCCAAAACUGCGAGUUUUGACGAGUACCCCGUAGUCGGACCCCGAGCUUCCCCGAACGUUCGGAUCUCAGCGGGACCCAAAAUCAGUGAGUAAUAUCAUAAAAAACUGGCCAGAAUAGGCCAACACUUCGAGUUUUGACAUGUUCCCCGUAACCGGACCCCGUGGUUCCCCAAACGUUUGGAUCGCAGCGGGACCUAGAACUAGUGAGUAAUAGCUUACAAAACUGGCUAGAAUAGGCCAAAACUGCGAGCUCUGAUGAGUUCCACAUAAGUGGACCACCAGGUUCCCCAAAUGUUCGGAGUGUAGCAAGACCCAAAAUGAUUGANUAAUAGCAUAGAAAAUUGGCGAGAAUGGGCCAAAACUGCGAGUUUUGACGAAUACCCCGUAGCUGGACUCCGGGCUUCCCCGAACGUUUGGAUCGCAGUCGGAUCCAAAAUCAGUGAGUAAUAGCAUAGAAAACUAGCCAAAAUAGGUCAAAACUACAAGUUUUGACGAGUACCACAUAGCCGGACCGCAGGGUUCCCCAAACAUUGGAUCGCAGCGGUACCCAAAAUCAGUGAUUAAUAACAUACAAAACUGGCCAGAAUAGGCCAAAUCUGUGAGUUUUGACGAGUUCCCCAUAACCGGGACCGCGGGGUUCCCCGAACGUUCGAAUUGCAUAUGGACCCAAAAUGAUUGAGUAAUAACAUAUAAAAUUUGCUUGAAUAGACCAAAACUGCGAGUUUUGACGAGUACCCCGUAGUUCGACCCCGAGCUUCCCGAAUGUUCGGAUCUCAGUGGGACCCAAAAUCAAUCAGAAAUAGCUUACAAAACUGGCCACAAUAGGCCAAAACUGCGAGCUUCGACGACUCACCAUAACCGGACCGAGGGGUUCGUCGAACGUAUUGAGUGCAGUAGGACCCAAAAUAAUUGAGUAAUAGCAUUGAAAGUUGGCGAGAAUAGGCCAAAACUACCAGUUUUGACGAGUACCUCGUAGCCGGACCCCGGGCUUCCACGAACGUUCGGAUCGCAGCGGGACCCAAAAUCAUUGAGUAAUAGCAUAGAAAACUGGCCAUAAUAGGCCAACACUUCGGGUUUUGACGAGUUCCCCGUAACCGGACCCCUUUGUUCCCCGAAUGUUUGGAUCGCAGCGAGACCCAAAAUCAGUGAGUAAUAGCUUACAAAACUGGACAGAAUAUGCCAAAUCUGUGAGAUUUUACGAGUUCUCUGUAACCGGGUCCCGGGGUUCCCCGAAUGUUCAUGUCGACCCGGGACCCAAAAUAAGUGAGUAAUAUUGUACAAAACUGGCCAGAAUAGGCCAAAUCUGCGAGUUUUCACGAGUUCCCCGUAAACGGACCCCGUGGUUCCCCGAACGUUCGGAUCGCAGCGGGACCCAACAUAAGCGAGUAAUAGCAUACAAAACUGGCCAAAAUAGGCCAAAUGUGUGAGUUCUGCCUGUACCCGGAGCGCGGGGUUCCCCGAACGUUCGGAUUGCAGCCGGACCCAAAAUGAUUGAGUAAUAGCAUAGAAAAUUGGCCAGAUUGGCCCAAAACCGCGAGUUUUGACGAGUUCCCCGUAACCGAGCCCCGGGGUUCCCCGAACGUUUGGAUAGCAGCGGGACCUAUAAUCAGUGAGUAACAGCUUACAAAACUGGACAAACUAGGCCAAAUGUGUGAGCUUUGACGAGUACCACAUAACUCGACCGCAGGGUUCCCCGAAUGUUCGGAGUGCAGCAGGACCNAAAAUGAUUGAGUAAUAGGAUAGAAAAUUGGCGAGAAUNNNNNNNNNNUGCGAGUUUUGACGAGUACCCCAUAGCCGGACCCUGGGCUUUCCCGAACAUUCGGAUCGCAAUGGGAUCCAAAAUCAGUGAGUAAUAGCAUAGAAAACUAGCCAGAAUAGGUCAAAACUGCGAGUUUUGACGAGUUCCACAUAACGGGACCGCAGGGUUCCCCGAACAUUUGGAUCGCAGCGGGACNNNAAAUCAGUGAGUAAUAGCCUACAAAACUGGCCAUAAUAGGCCAAAUCUAUGAGUUUUGAAGAGUUCCCCAUAACCGGGACCGAGGGGUUCCCCGAACGUUUGAAUUGCAUAGGGACCCAAAAUGAUUGAGUAAUAGCAUAUAAAAUUUGCGAGAAUAGGCCAAAACAACGAGUUUUGACGAGUACCCCGUAGUCGGACCCCGAGCUUCCCCGAACGUUCGGAUCUCAGCGGGACCCAAAAUCANUGAGUAAUAGCAUAGAAAUCUGACGAGAAUAUGCCAAAAGUGUGAGUUUUGACAUGUUCCCCGCAACCGGACCCAGGGGUUGCCCGAACAUUUGGAUCGUAGCGGGACCCAAAAUCAAUGAGAAAUAGCUUACAAAACUGGCCAGANUAGGCCAAAACUGCGAGCUUUGACGAGCUCCCCAUAACCGGGCCGUGGGGUUCCCCAAACGUUCGGAGUGCAGCAGGACCNNNNNUGAUUGAGUAAUAGCAUUGACAAUUGGCGAGAAUAGGCCAAAACUACUAGUUUUGACGAGUUCCCCGUAGCCGGACCCCGGGAUUCCAUGAAAGUUUGGAUCGCAGCGGGACCCAACAUAAGCGAGUAAUAGCAUAGGAAACUGGCCACAAUAGGCCAACACUUCGAGUUUUGACGAGUUCCCUGCAACCGGACCCCGUGGUUCCCCGAACGUUUGGAUCGCAGCGGGANNNNNAAUCAGUGAGUAAUAGCUUACAAAACUGGACAGAAUAGGCCAAAUCUGUGAGCUUUUACGAGUUCCCUGCAACCGGGCCCCGGGGUUCACCGAAUGUUUAGGUCAGCCCGGGACCCAAAAUAAGUGAGUAAUAUUACACAAAACUAGCGAGAAUAGGCCAAAUCUGUGAGUUUUCACGAGUUCCCCGUAACGUGACCCCGUGGUUCCCCGAACGUUCGGAUCACAACGGGACCCAACAUAAGUGAGUAAUAGCAUACAAAACUGGCCAGAAAGGGACAAAUCUGUGAGUUUUGCCCGUACCCGGACCGCGGGGUUCCCAGAACGUUCGGAUUGCAGCCAGACCCAAAAUGAUUGAGUAAUAGCAUAGAAAAUAGUCCAGAUUGGCCCAAAACCGCAAGUUUUGACGAGUUCCCCGUAACCGAACCCCGGGGUUCCCUGAACGUUUGGAUCACAGCGGGACCUAACACAAGUGAGCAAUACCAUAUAAAACUAGCGAGAAGAGGCCAAAAGUGCAAGUUUUGACGAGUUCCCCGGAACCGGACACCGGGGUUCCCUGAACGUUUGGAUCAUAGAAGGACCCAAAAUCAGUGAGUAAUAUUAUAGAAACUAGCCAGGAUAGGCCAAAUAUGUCACUUUUGACGAGUUCCCCUAAAUGGACCUCGCGGUCCCCCAAACAUUCGGAUCGCAACGGUACCUAUCAUUAGUUAGUAAUAAAAUAUAAAACUGGCCAUAAUAGACCAAAUCUGUGAGCUUAGACGAGUGCCCCAUACCCGGACCACGGGGUUCCCGAAUGUUCGGAUUGCAGCGGGACCCAAAAUGAUUGANUAAUAGCAUAGAAAAUUGGCUAAAAUGGGCCAAAACUGCGAGUUUUGAUGAGAACCCCGAUUGCCGCGACCUACCCCCUGGCCGCGACAACAGGGCUAGUGGGCACCCUGGUGGCCCACUGCCCCCCCCUCUUUUGCUAUAUGAAGGGUUUCGUCCGAGAAAAAAAUCAGGGUGGAGCUUUUUUAUGGACUCUCCGCCGCCAUGAGGCGGAACUUGAGCAGAUCCAAUCUAGAGCUCCGGCAGGACGAUCCUGCCGGGGAAACUUCCCUCCCGGAGGGGGAAAUCGCCGCCAUCGUCAUCACCAACACUUCUCUCAUCGGAGGGGAGGCAUCUCAAUCAACAUCUUCAUCAGUACCAUCUCCUCUCCAAACCCUAGUUCAUCUCUUGUAACCAAUCUCCGUCUCGCGACUCCGAUUGGUACUUGUAAGGUUGCUAUAGUGUUGAUUACUCUUUGUAGUUGAUGCUAGUUGGAUUACUUGGUGGAAGAGUUUAUGUUCAGAUCCUUGAUGCUAUUCAUUACACCUCUGAUCAUGAUUACGAUUAUGCUUUGUGAGUAGUUACUUUUGUUCCUGAGGGCAUGGGAUAAGUCAUGCUAAUAAUAGUCAUGUGAAUUUGGUAUUCGUUCGGUAUUUUGAUACGCUGUAUGUUGUUUUUCCUCUAGUGGUGUUAUGUGAACGCCGACUACAUAACACUUCACCAUACUUGGGCCUAGAGGAAGGCAUUGGGGAGUAGUAAGUAGAUGAUGGGUUGCUAGAGUGACAGAAGCUUAAACCCCAGUCUAUGUGUUGCUUUGUAAGGGGCUGAUUUGGAUCCACUAGUUUAAUGCUAUGGUUAGACAUUGUCUUAAUUCUUCUUUCAUAGUUGCGGAUGCUUGCGAGAGGGGUUAAUCAUAAGUGGGAUGCUUGUCCAAGUAAGGGCAGUACCCAAGCGCCGGUCCACCCACAUAUCAAACUAUCAAAGUAACGAACGCGAAUCAUAUGAACAUGAUGAAACUAGCAUGACAGAAAUUCCCGUGUGUCCUCGGGAGCGUUUUUCCUCUUAUAAGACUUUGCUCAGGCUUGUACCUUGCUACAAAAGGGAUUGGGUCACUUUUUUGCACCUUGCUACUACUUGUUACUUGUUACUUUUCGCUUGCUACGUUUCACCUCACUACACCAUUACUUGUUACCGCUACUUUCAGUGCUUGCAGUUAUUACCUUGCUGAAAACCGUUUAUCAGAGCCUUCUUCUCCUCGUUGGGUUCGACACUCUUACUUAUCGAAAGGACUAUGAUUGAUCCCCUAUACUUGUGGGUCAUCAACCCUCUGGCUCCUCUCUUUUGCUAUAAGGAGGGUUUCGUUCCAUAAAAAAUCAAGAGGAGGUUUUCGGGAUGAAUCGCCGCCGACACGAGGUGGAUCUCGAGUAGAACCAAUCUAGAGCUCCGGCAGGGUCGUCCUCGCGGGAAAACUUCCCUCCCGGAGGGGGAAAUCGUCGCCAACGUCAUCACCAACACUCCUCUCAUCGGAGGGGACUCAUCACCAUCAACAUCUUCAUCAACAUCAUCUCAUCUCCAAACCCUAGUUCAUCUCUUGUAACCAAUCUCCGUCUCGCGACUCCGAUUGGUACUUGUGACCACCUCGUGUGCCUCCCAGACUCCGUUUUCUUGCGGAGUACUCCUUCUGGUCGGAAAAAAACAUUAUAUAUUCUCCCGAAAGGUCUGACCCUCGUAUCACGUAAAUUUCCUCUGUUUUCAUUUCGAGCUGUUGUGCAGACAGAUCUAGAUCGCUAUGGCGUCCCCAAAAGCUCCGAAGGACAAGUUCUUCGAGAAGGUCAUCAAUCCCUACCUCGCGGGAGUGCUGCAACACCCUCAAUCUGUCGAGAUGCGUGAGGGGGUGCUGCACAUCCAUGAUGUUGAGGGGACCAAGAAGACCGGAAGCGUGGAGGCAAGGCGUGAAGCAAUGGAGCAGCAAGUCUUUAAGUGCCAAGGGAUGGUGGAACACGGACUCAACGCCAACCACAUGAUGAUCAUGGAGUUCACCAACACUUCUGCUUUCUAGACGGUUAUUCUGGUUUCUCCCAAAUACCAGUUGCACAAUCUGAUCAGGAGAAAACCACUUUCACCUUCCCUUUCGGUACCUUUGCUUAUAGACGUAUGCCUUUUGGCUUAUGUAAUGCACCUGCCACCUUUCAAAGAUCUAUCAUGGCUAUAUCCUCUGACUUUUGUGAAAAGAUUGUUGAGGUUUUCAUGGAUGACUUUUCCGUUUACGGGUCUUCUUUUGAUGAUUGCCUCAGCAACCUUGACCGAGUCUUACAGAGAUGUAGAGACACCAAUCUUGUCUUGAAUUGGGAGAAGUGCCACUUUAUGGUUAAAGAAGGCAUCGUCUUAGGACAUAAAAUUUCUGAAAGAGGUAUUGAAGUCGAUAAGGCUAAGGUUGAUGCAAUCGAGAAAAUGCCAUACCCCACAGAUAUCAAAGGUAUAAGAAGUUUCCUUGGUCAUGCUGGUUUCUAUAGAAGGUUCAUUAAAGACUUCUCUUAGAUUUCUAGGCCUCUUACCAAUCUCUUGCAAAAGGAUAUUCCUUUUGUUUUUGACGAUGAUUGUGAGGAAGCCUUCGAAAUACUUAAGAGGGCUUUGAUAACUGCACCUAUUGUUCAAUCACCUGAUUGGAACUUACCUUUUGAGAUCAUGUGUGAUGCUAGUGAUUAUGCUGUUGGUGCUGUCCUAGGGCAAAGAGUUGAUAAGAAGUUGAAUGUUAUUCACUAUGCUAGUAAAACUCUAGACAGUGCCCAGAGAAACUAUGCUACUAUGGAGAAGGAAUUUUUAGUAGUCGUGUUUGCAUGUGAAAAGUUCAGGUCUUACAUAGUUGAUUCCGAAGUCACUAUUCACACUGAUCAUGCUGCUAUUAAGUACCUCAUGGAGAAGAAGGACACUAAACCGAGACUUAUCAGAUGGGUUCUCUUGCUACAAGAAUUUGAUUUGCACGCUGUUGACAGAAAGGGUGCUGAUAAUCCAGUAGCAGAUAACUUGUCUAGGUUGGAGAACGUUGUUGAUGACCCACAACCUAUUGAUGAUAGCUUUCCGGUUGAGCAAUUGAAUGUCAUCAAUGCUUCACGUAGUGCACCGUGGUAUGCUGAUUAUGCAAACUAUAUCGUUGCCAAAUACAUACCACCUAGUUUCACGUACUAGCAAAAGAAGAAAUUCUUCUUUGACUUGAGACAUUACUUUUGGGAUGAUCCUCACCUUUAUAAGGAAGGAGUAGAUGGUGUUAUUAGACAUUGUGUACCUGAACAUGAACAGGGACAAAUCCUACAGAAGUGUCACUCCGAGGCCUACGGAGGACACCAUGCGGGAGAUAGAACUGCACACAAGGUAUUGUAAUCAGGUUUCUAUUGACCCACUCUCUUCAAGGAUGCCCGUAAGUUUGUCUUGUCUUGUGACGAAUGUCAAAGAAUAGGUAAUAUUAGCAAACGUGAGGAAAUGCCCAUGAACUAUUCACUGGUCAUUGAACCAUUUGAUGUCUGGGGCUUUGAUUAUAUGGGACCUUUUCCAAAAUCCAAUGGGUAUACUCACAUCUUAGUUGUUGUUGAUUAUGUCACUAAGUGGGUAGAAGCUAUCCCCACUAGUAGUGCUGAUCACAACACCUCUAUCAAGAUGCUGAAAAAAGUUAUCUUCCCUAGAUUUGGAGUCCCUAGAUAUCUAAUGAUCGACGUUGGUUCACACUUCAUUCAUGGUGCUUUCCGUAAAACGCUCGCUAAGUACGAUGUCAACCAUAGAAUUGCGUCUCCCUAUCACCAUCAGUCCAGUGGUCAAGUAGAGCUAAGCAAUAGAUAGAUUAAACUAAUUCUACAAAAGACUGUCAACAGGUCUAGAAAGAAUUGGUCUAAGAAGCUCGAUGAUGCACUGUGGGCUUAUAGAACUGCCUAUAAGAAUCCCAUGGGCAUGUCUCCGUACAAAAUGGUAUACGGUAAAGCAUGUCAUUUACCUCUUGAGCUAGAGCAUAAAGCUUAUUGGGCAAUCAAAGAGCUCAACUUUGAUUUCAAACUUGCCGGUGAGAAGAGGUUAUUUGAUAUUAGCUCGCUUGAUGAGUGGAGAACUCAGGCAUCCGAGAAUGCCAAGUUGUUCAAAGAGAAGGUUAAGAGGUGGCAUGAUAAGAGAAUACAAAAGCGUGAGUUCAAUGUAGGUGAUUAUGUCUUGCUAUAUAACUCUCGUUUAAGAUUCUUUGCAGGCAAGCUUCUCUCUAAAUGGGAAGGUCCCUAUGUUGUUGAGGAAGUAUAUCGUUCCGGUGCUAUCAAGGUCAACAACACGGAAGAUAAUUGUCCGAGAGUGGUAAAUGGGCAGAGAAUCAAGCAUUAUAUCUGAGCUACUCCCAUAAAUGUUGAAAGCAAUAUCAUCAAUACCAUAACUCCAGAAGAAUAUCUAAGGGACAUUUAUUAGCCUGUUUCAGACUCCAAAAACGAAGAGGUAUGUGAUUCGGUAAGAAAACAUAGUCCAAAACUUUUACAGUAGGAAAUUUUCUCCGUUUUGGAAUAUUUGAAAAAAUACAAAUAUUGGAAGUAGUCCGGAAAGUGCGCGAGGAGGCGACAAGCCUGCACGGCGCGGGCCCACCCCCUGGCCGCGCCGUGAGGGCUUAUGGCCACCUCGUGCGCCUCCCGGACUCCGUUUUCGUGCGGGGUACUCCUUUUGGUCUGGAAAAAAUCAUUAUAUAUACUUCCGUUUGGUCUGACCCCUGCAUCACGCCGAUUUCCUCUGUUUUUCGUUUCGAGCGUGUUUUUGUUGCACAUUUAGAUCGCCAUGACUUCCCCAAAAGCUCCGAAGGACAAGUUCUUCGAGAAGGUCAUCAAUCCCUACCUCGCGGGAGUGCUGCAACACCCUCAAUCUGUCGAGAUGCGUGAGGGGAUGUUGCACAUCCGUGAUGUUGAGGGGCCCAAGAAGACCGGAAGCAUGGAGGCAAGGCUCGAAGCAAUGGAGCAACAAGUCUUCAACUGCCAAGGGAUGGUGGAGCUUGGACUCAAGGCCAACCACAUGAUGAUCACGGAGUUCACCAACAAGCACAUGAUCGAUGCCAAUGACAUCGGGAAACACCUCUCCAGGCUCUAUGACAGAAUUGAUCACCUCCAAGCCCAGAUCUAUGACCUGCAGAACCAAAACUGUGAGUAUGAGUAUAGAUUUAAAUCAAUACGGUUGGCUGUAGAUUUGAGGAUUCUGGAGACUCGAUCAUAUUUCCAUGAUGGAGCAUCUAUGCCUUGGAAGACGGAGGAUCAAACCAAGGUUGCAAUAACUCCACCACCAUCACCAAAGGAAGACAAUUGAGCAUUGAUAUGGGCAAUCCCCUUGGCUUGUGCCGACCUUGGGGGAGUUGCCCCGGCAUCGUAUCACCAUCACAUCUUUUGCCUUUACCUUUGUUUUAGUUUUCCUUUUCAGCUUUCUCUUUCUCUAGUAGUUUAAAAGUCUUAGUGUUUUAGUCUUGAGUUUUGUUUUGUGUCACCCCCGAUGUAUUCUUGCUCGUGAGCCAUAUAAUAAAGAAUGUCUUAGUUGAAGGGCUUUGCCUCUUGCCAUGAUCAAAAGAGUGAGAAUAGAACAAAAGCAUGAAAGAUCAUGUAAUGAUCUUAUGGGAAGUGAUGGCUUCACAUAUAAAAGGGAUGAUGAUUGAAACUUGUUGAGGGUAGACAAAUGUAGACCUUGGUCAUAGUUGCAAUUAAUAGGAAGUGAUAAAGAAGGAGAGGUUCACAUAUAAAUAUAUCAUCUCUGACACCACCUAUGAUUGUGAAUACUCACUAAACUAUUGCAUGCCUAGAAGUAGAUGUUGGACAAGGAAGACAACAUAAUGAAUUGUGUUUGCUUGGCUUCGAACAAUGUUAUAUGAUUAUAGAUCCCUUAGCAUGUGACGAUUGCUUCCACCUCAUAUUAGCCAAAACUCCCGCACCAAGUAGAGAUACUACUUGUGCAUCCAUAAACCUUCAAACCAGUUUUGCCAUGAGUGUCCACCAUACCUACCUAUGGAUUGAAUAAGAUCCCUCGAGUAAGGUGUCAUCGGUGCAAGCAAUAAAAAUUGCUCUCUAAUAUGUAUGAUCUAUUAGUGUGUCGAAAAUAAGCUUUGUACGAACCUGUGAUGAGGAAGACAUAAAAGCGACAGACUGCAUAAUAAAGUUCUUUAUCACAGGAGGCAAUAUAAAGUGACGUUCCUCCGCACUAAGAGGACACGCAUCCAAACCUCAAAAGCACAUGACAACCUCUGCUUCCCUCUACGAAGGGCCUAUCUUGUACCUUUACUUUUUGCCCUUGAAAGAGUCAUGGUGAUCUUCACAAAUUCCUUAUUUUGCCUUUAUCUUGGCUACCAUCAUAUGCUUGGGAAAGAUCUAUAUUCAUAUGUCAACUUGGAGGUAGGCAUUCAUGAAUUAUUAUUGUUGAUAUUACCCUAGAGGUAAGCAGUUGGCAGGCAAAACUGUAACCCCUAUUUUUCUUUGUAUCCAGCUGAAACUUUGAUCUCAUGAGUACCACGUGAGUUGUACCAAUUGUAGAGAACGAAAGAAUGAUUGAGUAUGUGGAUUUGCUUUACAAGCUCUUAUUUGACUCUUUCUGAUGUUGUGAUAAAUUGCAAUUGCUUCAAUGACUAAAGGCUAUCGGUUGUUACUUCUCGGUAAGGUUCUUGAUCCAUGCUUUACUUUGUGAAGGAAUUAUCACUUUAGCAUGAGGGAUUAUAUGUUGGUAUUGUUGUUCUGAUCUUGAUCAUGAUGCAUGCAUGUUCGCAUCUUGUUUUGUCAACAUCUCUCUCCCUAAACAUGUGGACAUAUUUAUUGAGCUAGGCUUUCGCUUGAGGACAAGCAAGGUCUAAGCUUGGGGGAGUUGAUACGUCCAUUUUGCAUCAUGUUUUCAUGUUGAUAUUUAUCACUUCUUUGGAUGUUAUUUCACUUCACGGUACAAUUCUUAUGCCUUUUCUCUCUUAUUUUGCAAGGUUUACAUGAAGAGGGAGAAUACUGGCAACUGGAAUUCUGGCCUGAAAGUGGAGCAAAGUUGAGAUACCUAUUCUGCACAACUCCAAACGUCGUGAAAAUAAAUGGGGAUUUUUUUUCCCGAUUUAUCAAAAAUACUGGGCCGAAGAUGUGCGAGAGGGGCACCAGGGGGUGCCCACAAGCCUGCACGGCGCGACCACCCCCCAGGCUGCGCUAUGGGGGCUUGUGGGCAGCCCACUGGCCCACUGGCCCCCCUCUUUUGCUAUAUGGAGGGUUUCAUCCAGGAAAAAAAAUCAAGGAGGAGCUUUUUCGUGGUUUCGCCGCCGCUACGAGGCGUAACUUGAGCAGAACCAAUCUAGAGCUCCCGCACGACGAUCCUGCCGGGGAAACGUCCCUCCCGGAGGGGGAAACCGUUGCCAUCGUCAUCACCAACACUCCUCUCAUCGGAGGGGACUCGUUACUAUCAACAUCUUCAUCAGCACCAUCUCAUCUCCAAACCCUAGUUCAUCUCUUGUAGCCAAUCUCCGUCUCGCGACUCCGAUUGGUACUUGUAAGGUUGCUAGUAGUGUUGAUUACUCUUCGUAGUUGAUGUUAGGAGGAUUAUUUGGUGGAAGAGUUUAUGUUCAGAUCCUUGAUGCUACUCAUUACCUCUCUGGUCAUGAAUAUGAUUAUUCUUUGUGAGUAGUUACUUUUGUUCCUGAGGACAUGGGAUAAGUCAUGCUAAUAGUAGUCAUGUGAAUUUGGUAUUCGUUCGGUAAUUUGAUAUGUUGUAUGUUGUUUUUCCUCUAGUGGUGUUAUGUGAACAUCGACUACAUAACACUUCACCAUUAUUUGGGCCUAGAGGAAGGCAUUGGGAAGUAGUAAGUAGAUGAUGGGUUGCUAGAGUGACAGAAGCUUAAACCCUAGUUUAUGCGUUGCUUCGUAAGGGGCUGAUUUGGAUCCACUAGUUUAAUGCUAUGGUUAGACUUUGUCUUAAUUCUUCUUUUGUAGUUGCGGAUGCUUGCGAGAGGGGUUCAUCAUAAGUGGGAUGCUUGUCCAAGUAAGGGCAGUACCCAAGCGCCGGUCCACCCACAUAUCAAACUAUCAAAGUAACGAACAAGAAUCAUAUGAACAUGAUGAAAACUAGCAUGACAGAAAUUCCCGUGUGUCCUCGGGAGCAUUUUUCCUCCUAUAAGACUUUGUCCAGGCUUGUCCCUUGCUACAAAAGGGAUUGGGCCACUUUGCUGCACCGUUGCUACUUUUGUUAAUUGUUGCUUGCUACGAAUCAUCUCACCACACAAUCACUUGUUACCGACAAUUUGAGUGCGUGCAGAUUUUACCUUGCUGAAAACCACAUGUCAAAUCCUUCUGCUCCUCGUUGGGUUCGAGACUCUUACUUAUCGAAAGGACUAUGAUUGAUCCCCUAUACUUGUGGGUCAUCAGUUCCCCGAACGUUUGGAUCGCAGCGGGANNNAAAAUCAGUGAGUAAUAGUAUACAAAACUGGCCAGAAUAGGCCAAAUCUGUGAGUUUUGACGAGUUCCCCAUAACCUGGACCGCGGGUUUCCCCGAACGUUCGGAUUGCAGAGGGACCCAAAAUGAUUGAGUAAUAGCAUAUAAAAUUUGCCAGAAUAGGCCAAANCUGCGAGUUUUGAUGAGUACCCCGUAGUCGGACCCCGAGGUUCCCCGAGCGUUCUGAUCGAAGCGGGACCCGAAAUCAGUGAGUUAUAGAAUAGAAAACUGGCGAGAAUAUGCAAAAACUCCGAGUUUUGACAUGUUCCCCGUAAUCGGACCCCGGGGUUCCCCGAACAUUUGGAUCACAGCGGGACGCAAAAUAAGUGAGAAAUAGCUCACAAAACUGGCCAGAAUAGGCCAAAAUUGCGAGCUUUGACGAGUUCCACAUAACUGGACCGCGUGGUUCCUCGAAUGUUCGGAGUGUAGCAAGACACAAAAUGAUUGAGUAAUAGCAUAGGAAAUUGGCGAGAAUAGGCCAAAACUGUGAGUUUUGACGAGUACCCCACAGCCGGACCCCGGGCUUCCACGAACGUUCGGAUCGCAGCGGGACCCAAAAUCAGUGAUUAAUAGCAUAGAAAACUGGCCAGAAUAGGCCAAUAAUUUGAGUUUUUACGAGUUCCCCGUAACCGGACCCCGUUGUUCCCCGAACGUUUGGAUCACAGCGGGACCCAAAAUCAGUGAGUAAUAGCUUACAAAAGUGGUCAAAAUAUGCCAAAUCUGUGAGUUUUGAUGAGUUCCACAUAACUGGACCGCGGGGUUCCCCGAAUGUUCGGAGUGCAGCAGGACCNNNNNUGAUUGAGUAAUAGCAUUGAAAAUUGGCGAGAAUAGGCCAAAACUACGAGUUGUACGAGUACCCCGCAGCCGGACCCAGGGCUCCUACGAACGUUCGGAUCGCAACGGGACCCCAAAAUCAGUGAGUAAUAGCAUAGAAAACUGGCUAGAAUAGGCCAACAUUCAAGUUUUGACGGGUUCCCCACAACUGGACGCCGUGGUUCCCCGAACGUUUGGAUCACAACAUGACACAAAACCAGUGAGUAAUAGCUUACAAAACUGGACAGAAUAGGCCAAAUCUGUGAGCAUUCACGAAUUCCACAUAACUAGACCGCGAGGUUCCCCGAAUGUUCGGAGUGUAGCAGGACCCAAAAUGAUAGAGUAAUAACAUAGACAAUUGGCUAGAAUAGGCCAAACCUGCGAGUUUUCACGAGUACCCCGUAGCCGGACCCCGGGCUUCCACGAACGUUCGGAUCGCAGUGGGAACCAAAACCAGUGAGUAAAAGAAUAGGAAACUGGCCACAAUAUGCAAAAACUCCGAGUUUUGACACGUUCCCCGUAACCGUGCCCUGGGGUUCCCCGAACAUUUGAAUGGCAGCGGGACCCAAAAUCAGUGAGAAAUAGGUGACAGAACUGGCUAGAAUAGGCCAAAACUGCGAGUUUUGACGGGUUCCUCAUAACUGGACCCCGUGCUUCACCGAACGUUUGGAUCGCAAGAUGACCCAAAAUCAGUGAGUAAUAGCUUACAAAACUGGCUAGAAUAAGCCAAAUCUCUGAGUUUUGACGAGUUCCCCAUAACCGGGACCGCGGGGUUCCCCGAACGUUUGGAUUGCAGAGGGACCCAAAAUGAUUGAGUAAUAGCAUAUAAAAGUCGCCAGAGUAGGCCACAACUGUGAGUUUUGAGAAGUACCCCGUAGUCGGACCCCGAGCUUCCCCGAAUGUUCGGAUCGCAGCGAGACCCCAAAAUCAGUGAGUAAUAGCAUAGGAAACUGGCCAGGAUAUGCCAAAACUGCGAGUUUUGACCUGUUCCCCAAAACCGGACCCCGGGAUUCCCCAAACAUUGGGAUAUCACCGGGACCCAAAAUCAGUGAGAAAUAGUUUACAAAACUGGCAAGAAUAGGCCAAAAUUGCGAGCUUUCACGAGUUACCCAUAACCGGACUGAGGGGUUCCCCGAACGUUCAGAGUGCAGCAGGACCCAAAAUGGUUGAGUAAUAACAUUGAAAAUUGCCGAUAAUAGGCCAAAACUACGAGUUNNNNNNNNNNNNCCGUAGCCGGACCCCGGAGUGCAGCAGGACCCAAAAUCAGCGAGUAAUAGCAUACAGAACUAGCCAGAACAGGCCAAAACUGCGAGUUUUGACAAGUACCCCGUAGUCGGACCCCGGGCUUCCCGAACGUUCGGAUCUCAGUGGGAUCCAAAAUCAGUGAGUAAUAGCAUAGAAAAGUAGCAAGAAUAGGUCAAAAGUGUGUGUUUUGAUGAGUUCCAUAUAACCGGACCGCAGGGUUCCCCGAACGUUUGGAUCGUAGCGGGACCCAAAAUGAGUGAGUAAUAGCAUACGAAACUGGCCAGAAUAGGCCAAAUCUGUGAGUUUUGACGAGUUCCCCAUAACCGGGACCGUGGGGUUCCCCGAACGUUCGGAUUGCAGAGUGACCCAAAAUGAUUGAGUAAUAGCAUAUAAAAUUUGCCAGAAUAGGCCAAAGCUACGAGUUUGAUGAGUACCCCAUAGUGAGACCCAGAGCUUCCCCGAACGUUCGAAUGGCAGUGGGACCCAAAAUCGUUGAGUAAUAGAAUAGAAAACUGGCUAGAAUAUGCAAAAACUUCGAGUUUUGACAUGUUCCCCAUAACCGGAUCCCGGGGUUCCCCGAACAUUUGGAUCGCAGCGGGACCCAAAAUCAGUGAGAAAUAGCUGACAAAACUGGCCAGAAUAGGCGAGAAUAGGCCGAAAUGGCAAGAUUUGACGAGUACCCCGUAACAGGACCCCGGGCUUUCCCGAACGUUCGGAUCAUAGUGGGAUCCAAAAUCGGUGAGUAAUAGCAUAGAAAAUUAGACAGAAUAGGUCAAAACUGUGAGUUUCGGUGAGUUCCACAUAACCGGACCGCAGGGUUUCCCGAACGUUUGGAUCGCAGCGGGACCCAAAAUCAGCGAGUAAUAUCAUACAAAACUGGCCAGAAUAGGCCAAAUCUGUUAGUUUUGACGAGUUCCCCAUAACCGGGACCGCAGGGUUCCCCGGACAUUCUGAUCACAAAGGGACCAAAAAUGAUUGAGUAAUAGCAUAUAAAAUUUGCCAGAAUAGGCCAAAACUACGAGUUUUGACGAGUACAUAGUAGUCGGACCCCGAGCUUCCCCGAACGUUCGGCUCGCAGCGAGACUCAAAAUCAGUGAGUUUUGACGUGUUCCCCGUAACGGGACCCCGGGGUUCCCCAAACAUUUGGAUCGUAGCGGGACCCAAAAUCUGUGAGAAAUAGCUGACAAAACUGGCCAGAAUAUGCCAAAUCUGUGAGCUUUGACGAGUUCGACAUAACCGGACCGCGGGGUUCCCCGAACGUUCAGAGUGCAGCAGGAAGCAAGUUGAUUGAGUAAUAGCAUAGAAAAUUGGCCAGAAUAGGCCAAAACUGCGAGUGUUGAUGAGUACCGCGUAGCCGGACCCCGGGAUUCCCUAAAAGUUAGGAUCUCAGUGGGACCCCAAAAUCAGUGAGUAAUAGCAUAGAAAACUGGCCAGAAUAGGCCAACAUUCGGGUUUUGACGGGUUCCCCAUAACCAAACCGCACGGUUCCCCGAACGUUUGGAUCGCAGCGGGACCCAAAAUCAGCGAGUAAUAGCAUACAAAACUGGCUAGAAUAGGCCAAAUCUGUGAGUUUUGAGGAGUUCCCCAUAACCGGGACCGCGGGGUUCCCCGAACGUUCGGAUUGCACAAGGACCCAAAAUGAUUGAGUAAUAGCAUAUAAAAUUUGCAAGAAUAGGCCAAAACUGCUAGUUUUAAUGAGUACCCCGCAGUCGGACCCCCCAGCUUCCACGAACGUUCGAAUCGCAACGGGACCCAAAAUCAGUGAGUAAUAGAAUAGAAAACUGGCCAGAAUAUGCAAAAACACUGAGUUUUGACACCUUCCCCAUAACCGGACCCUGGGGUUCCCCGAACAUUUGGAUCUCAGCGGGACCCAAAAUCAGUGAGAAAUAACUGACAAAACUGGCCAGAAUAGGCCAAAACUGCGAGCUUUGACGAGUUCCCCAUAACCGGACCGUGGGGUUCCCAAAACGUUCAGAGUGCAGUAGGACCCAAAAUGAUUGAGUAAUAGCAUUGAAAAUUGGCGAGAAUAGGCCAAAACUAUGAGUUUUGAUGAGUACCCCGUAGCCGGACCCCGGGUUUCUACGAACCUUCGGAUCGCAGCGGGACCCCAGAAUAGACCAACCUUCGAGUUUUGACGGUUUCCCCAUAACUGGACCCCGUGGUUCCCCGAACAUUUGGAUCGCAACAUGACCCAAAAUCAGUGAGUAAUAGCUUACAAAACUGGACCGAUUUUGGAUCCCACUAUUGUGGCGAAAACUGCGAGUUAUGACGAUUACCCCGUAGCUAGACCCUGGGCUUCUACGAACGUUCGGAUCGCAGCAGGACCCAAAAUCAGUGAGUAAUAGUACAGAAAACUGGCCAGAAUAGGCCAACACUACGAGUUUUGACGAGUUCCCCUUAACCUGACCCCGUGGUUCCCCGAAAGUUUGGAUCGCAGCGGGACCCAAAUCAGUGAGUAAUAGCUUACAAAACUAGACAGAAUAGGCAAAAUAUGUGAGCUUUGACGAGUUCCACAUAACUGGACCGCGGGUGUCCCCGACUGUUCGGAGUGCAGCAGGACCNNNNNNNNNNNNNUAAUAGCAUAGAAAAUUGGCAAGAAUAGGCCAACACUGCGAGUUUUGACGAGUACCCCGUAGCCGGACCCGGGCUUCCCUGAACGUUCGGAUCUCAGUGGGAUCCAAAAUUGGUGAGUAAUAGCAUAGAAAAGUUGCCAGAAUAGGUCAAAACUAUGUGUUUUGACGAGUUCCAUAUAACCGGACCGCAGGGUUCCCCGAACGUCUGGAUCGCAGCGGGACCCAAAAUGAGUGACUAAUAGCAUACAAAACUGGCCAGAACAGUCCAAAUCUGUGAGUUUUGACGAGUUCCCCAUAACCGGGACCACGGGGUUCCCCGAACGUUCAGAUUGCAGAGGGACUCAAAAUGAUUGCGUAAUAGCAUAUGAAAUUCAGAAUAGGCCAAAACUGUGAGUUUUGAUGAGUACCCCGUAGUCGGACCCCGAGCUUCCCCGAACGUUCAGAUCGCAUAGGGACCCAAAAUCAGUGAGUAAUAGAAAAGAAAACUGGCCAGAAUAUGCUAAAACUCCGACUUUUGACAUGUUCCCCGUAACCGAACCCUGGGGUUCCCCAAACAUUUAGAUCGCAGAGGGACCCAAAAUUAGUGAGAAAUAGCUGACAAAGCUGGCCAGAAUAGGCCAAAACUGCGAGCUUUGACGAGUUCCCCAUAACCGGACCAUGGGGUUCCCACAACGUUCGGAGUGCAGCAGGACCCAAAAUGAUUGAGCAAUAGCAUUGAAAAUUGGCGAGAAUAGGCAAAAACUACGAGUUUUGANNNGUACCCCGUAGCUGGACCACGGGCUUCUACGAACGUUCGGAUCGCAGCGGGACCCCAAAAUCAGUGAGUAAUAGUAUAGAAAACUGGCCAGAAUAGGCCAACACUUCGAGUUUUGACGGAUUCCCCACAACCGGACCACGUGGUUCCCCGAACGUUUGGAUCGCAACAUGACCCAAAGUCAGUGAGUAAUAGCUUACAAAACUGGAUAGAAUAGGCCAAAACUGCGAGCUUUGACGAGUUCCCCAUAACCCGGCCGUGGGGUUCCCCGAACGUUCGGAAUGCAACAUGACCCAAAAUGAUUGAGUAAUAACAUUCAAAAUUGGCGAGAAUAGGCCAAAACUACGAGUUGUGACGAGUACACUGUAGCCAGACCCCGGGCUUCCACAAACGUUGAGAUCUUAUUGGGACCCAAAAUCAGUGNGUAAUAGCAUAGAAAACUGGCCAAAAUAGGCUAACACUUCGAGUUUUGAUGAGUUCCCAGUAACCGGACCCUGUGGUUCCCUGAACAUUUGGAUCGCAGCGGGACCCAAAAUCAUUGAGUAAUAGCUUACAAAACUGGACAAAACUGGCCAAAUUUGUGAGCUUUGACGAGUUCCACAUAACUGGAUUGCGGGGUUCCCCGAAUGUUCGGAGUGCAGCANNNNNNNNNNNNNNNGAGUAAUAGCAUAGAAAAAUGGCGAGAAUAGGCCGAAACUGCGAGUUUUGACGAGUACNNNNNNNNNNNACCCCGGGCUUCCCCGAAUGUUGGGAUCAUAGUGGGAUCCAAAACCGGUGAGUAAUAGCAUAGAAAACUAGACAGAAUAGGUCAAAACUACGAGUUUUGACGAGUUCCACAUAACUGGAGCGCAGAGUUCCCCGAACGUUUGGAUCCCAGCGGGACCCAAAAUCAGCGAGUAAUAGCGUACAAAAUUGGCGAGAAUAGGCCAAAUCUGUUAGUUUUGACGAGUUCCCCAUAACCGGGACCGCGGGGUUCCCCAAACAUUCGGAUUGCAGAGGUACCCAAAAUGAUUGACUAAUCGCAUAUAAAAUUUGCGAGAAUAGCGCAGAACUGCGUUUUUUGACGAGUACCCCGUAGUCGGACACCAAGCUUCCCCGAACGUUCGGAUCGUAGCGAGACCCAAAAUCAGUGAGUUUUGACGUGUUCCCCGUAACCAGACCCCGGGGUUCCCCGAACAUUUGGAUCACAGCGGGACCCAAAAUCUGUGAGAAAUAGCUCACAAAACUGGCCAGAAUAGGCCAAAACUGUGAGUUUUGUCGAAUUCCACAUAACUGGACCGCGGGUUUCCCCGAAUGUUUGGAGUGCAGCAGUACCCUAAAUGAUUAAGUAAUAGCAUAGAAAGUUGGCGAGAAUAAGCCAAAACUGCGAGUUUUUACAAGAACCCCAUAGCCGGACCCCGGGCUUCCCCAAACGUUCGGAUCUCAGUGGAAUCCAAAAUUAGUGAGUAAUAGCAACGAAAAGUAGCCAGAAUAGGUCAAAACUGUGUGUUUUGACGAGUUCCACAUCACCGGACCGCAGGGUUCCCGAACGUUUGGAUCGCAGCGGGACCUAAAAUCAGUGAGUAAUUGCACACAAAACUGGCCAGAAUAGGCCAAAUCUGUUACUUUUGACGAGUUCCCCAUAACAGGGACCGCGGGGUUCCCUGAACGUUCGGAUUGCAGAGGGACCCAAAAUGAUUGNGUAAUAGCAUAUAAAAUUUGCCAGAAUAGGACUAAAUUGCGAUUUUUGAAGAGUACCCCGUGGUUGGUCCCCGAGCUUGAGCAAAUUUUCGCAUCGUAGCGGGACCCAAAAUCAGUGAGUACUAGCAUAGAAAACUAGCCAGAAUAUGCCAAAACUGCGAGUUUUGACGUGUUCCCCGUAACCGGAUCCUGGGGUUCCCCGAACAGUUGGAUCGCAACGGGACACAAAAUCAGUGAGAAAGAGCUUACAAAACUGGCCAGANUAGGCCAAAACUGCGAGCUUUUGUGAGUUCCCCAUAACCGGACCGUGGGGUUCCCCGAACGUCUGCAGUGCAGCAGGACCCAAANUGAUUGAGUAAUAGCAUUGAAAAUUGGCGAGAAUUGGCCAAAACUACGAGUUUUGACGAGUACUCGGAGCCGGACCCCGGGCUUCCAGAAACGUUCGGAUCGAAGUGGGACCCAAAAUCAGNNNGUAAUAGCAUAGAAAACUGGCCAGAAUAAGCCAACACUUCGACUUUUGAGGAGUUCCCCAUAACCGGACCCCGUGGUUCCCCGAACAUUUGGAUCACAGCGGGACCCAAAAUCAGUGAGUAAUAGCUUACAAAACUGGACAAAAUAGGCCAAAUCCGUGAGCUUGGACGAGUGCCACGUAACUGGACCGUGGGGUUCCCCGAAUGUUUGGUCUGCAGCAUGACCCAAAAUGAUUGAGUAAUAGCAUAGAAAAUUGGCGAGAAUAGGCCGAAACUGCAAGUUCUGACGAGUACCCCGUAGCCGGACCCCAGGCUUCCCCGAACGUUCGGAUCGCAGUGUGAUCCAAAAUUAGUGAGUAAUAACAUAGAAAAGUAGCCAAAAUAGGUCAAAACCGUGUGUAUUGACGAGUUCCACAUAACCGGACCACAGGGUUCCCCGAACGUUUGGAUCACAGCGGGACCUAAAAUUAGUGAGUAAUAGCAUACAAAACUGGACAGAAUAGGCCAAAUAUGUGAGUUUUGACGAGUUCCCCAUAACUGAGACCACGGGGUUCCCCUAACGUUCGGAUUGCAGAGGGACCCAAAAUGAUUGAGUAAUAGCAUAUAAAAUUUGCGAGAAUAGGAUAAAAUUGCUAGUUUUGUAGAGUACCCCGUAGUUGGACCCCGAGCUUCAUCAAACGUUCGGAUCGCAGUGGGACCUAAAAUCAGUGAGUAAUAGCAUAGAAAACUGGUCAGAAUAUGCCAAAACUGCGAGUUUUGACGUGUUCCCCGUAACCGGACCCCGGGGUUCCCCGAACAUUUGGAUCGCAGUGGGACACAAAAUCAGUGAGAAGGAGCUUACAAAACUGGCCAGAGUAGGCCAAAACUGUGAGCUUUUACGAGUUCCCCAUAACCGGACCAUGGGGUUCCCCGAACGUCCACAAUGCAGCAGGACCCAAAAUGAUUGAGUAAUAGCAUUGAAAAUUGGCGAGAAUAGGCCAAAACUACGAGUUNNNNNNNGUACCCCGUAGCUGGACCCCGGGCUUCCACGAACAUUCGGAUCGUAGUGGGACCCAAAAUUAGUGAGUAAUAGCAUAGAAAACUGGCCAGAAUAAGCCAACACUUCGACUUUUGAUGAGUUCCCCGUAACCGGACCCCAUGGUUCCCCGAACGUUUGUGUACGUGCAUCUAGUGCCCCUUAGUGAUUUUGGUGGUUUGAAGACUUAUAGGUUAAGUAUCUGAUGUGUUUGUGAGUGUACACAGGAUCUAUAAGUCAUUGAGGAGUUUGAGAUAUUUGAAGAAUAUCGACCCCUAAAAAUAUAUGUCUUCAGUUGAAGAAAUUGGUCUGAAGCUGAAGAAAUGAAUCGCGAGGAAUCUGCGAUGAAAUUGAUAUUCCUCAUGAAGAUACUGAUAUUGAGAAGUCCGGUGGUUCCUGAAGAAAAUCAUUCUGAAGAAUUUGAAGCAUGAAGAUCUACACUUUCUGUUUUACUUUCUUCGCAUUUGAGUAAUAGGAACACCGUACUGUUACAGGGGGUCGAAGUUACACUAUGGAAUGAAUUUCCUCAUGAUGCUCAACCCAAGCCUAAUCCUAUAAAAAGCCUCAAGUGAGGAAUAUGAGUGACAUGAGGACUCUCACAGUUGAGGGUUCCGACCGUUUCGAUAACCACACCAAGUCACUGGUCUUAUCCACUCCAACGGUCAUAUUAUUUAAGGGCAUUAGUGUCAAAUCAUGUCGGGAUGCUCCCAGGCUAUAAAUAGCCACCCCCACAACCACUAGCUGGUUGGCUGCUCCGUUAGAAAUUGACACUUGUCAUAAGAGCAACCCAAAUUCCUCAGAGCUUUCGAGAGUAAUUCAUCAGUGAGGAAAUACACCACCCACCGAAACCACAAACCAAACCUAGUGAUUGAGCAUCACUGAAGAAGUUGUUCUUGUGUGGGACUGAAGCCUUUUACCUUUGAGGACUGUGCAUCCUCCAGACGGUUAGGUGUCAUGGUCUAGAGCAAUCCAGCAGUCAAUUGUGGAUCGCCGGGUGACCAAGUUUGUGAGGGUUUGGAAGUCUGCCCUGAAGACUUACCACGAGUGUUGGGCGAGGACUGUGUGUUCUUAGCUCAAGGAGAAUACGGUAGGGACUGUGUGUCCCGGGACUGGGUGUCCGUUGGUUUCAAUACCAAGCCGCUCCAAACCAGAUGUACAACUGUCACAGCAGUUGGAACUGGGUCAUCAACAACAGUCUUCACUGAGAAACGGGUUCUAAUUCCUCAACUCUUUACUUUUCUUGUAUUGUGUGUUGAUGACUUUCACUGUGACUGUUUGAAGAAUUUGCUGAAGACUUUCUCUAAAUUUCCUCAACCCCAAAUUCUUCACGAUAGUUAAUCAUCAUCUGUAUUCUGCGUGCCUGCUUACUGUGCAAUCUGUUUUCACAUUCUGCACUCUGAAAUACUGCUGUUGUGAACGUUUGCACGUCUGAUCCUAUACUAUUUCCGCUGUAAGUUAGUCAUCAGUGAGGAAUUUCCUCAAAAGGAAUUUCCUCAGUGAUGAAAUUCUAAAAAUCUCCUAUUCACCCCCUCUAGUCGAUAUAACGCACUUUCAAUUGGUAUCAGAGCAAGGUACCCCCUUGUUCUGUGUGAUUUUGGUUUAACCACCUGGAGUUUUAGUUAUGUCGACUGCAGGCAUGUUUAAGGUGACUUCAGCAUGUCCUACCUACGAAGGAAAGAACUUUCCCUUCUGGAAGAACAAAAUGCAAAUGCAUUUACAAGCUAUUGAUAAUGAUCUCUGGUAUAUUGUGGAAAAUGGUGUCCCCUUUAUCUCUGCCAGUGUCACUACGGCUGAUGUGAAGAAAUUCAAGCAACUCGAUUCUCAAGCGAAGAACAUCAUUUGUGGCCAUCUGAGCCCAGGCCAGUUUGGAAGAGUAAGUGCUUUGGGCUCUGCAACACUGAUCUGGGAGAGACUGUGCAAGGUAAAUGAAGGAGUAUCAACCCAGCGUGACUCUCGUGUUGAUAUUCUUCGCAAUCUCUUCAAUCGCUUCAAGAGACAUGACAAUGAAAGCUGCCAAGACACUUUUCAUCGCCUCAUUGACAAAUCAAAUGAACUGCAAGCACUGGGAGCUCGAGACAUCACUGAUCACGAAGUUGUGAAGAAACUGCUGAGAUCUUUGGAUUCUUCAUUUGACACUUUAGUUCUCAUGAUUCAAGAAAGACCAGAUUACAAGAUGCUUGAUCCAGCUGGUAUACUAGAAAGGCUAAAUACUCAUGAAUUCCAACUAGAAGAAAAGAGAGAUCUAUAUGGACCAAGCUAUUCCAGACCAGGUGCACUGAAGGCUAGAGCAAUUUCCUCAUCUGAAGACGAAGACACAGAUGACAGUAUUUGUGACCCUGAAGAAUUUGGACAGGAGCUUGCAAUGCUCGUGAGGAAAUUCCAGAGAUUUACACGACGUGGUAAGUUCGGUAAAUCUUCAAGAAGAGACAUGAGGAAAUCAGAAUCUUCAUCUGAGGACUACAAAAAACGAACCUGUCACAAGUGCAAGAAAUCAGGUCAUUACAUUGCUGAUUGUCCCCGUUGGGGAAAGGAAUCAAAGAAGAAGAAAUACAAGGAUGACAGUUCUGAUGACUCGAAGAAGAAGAAGAAAUCUUCAAAAUCCUCAUCUUCAAAGCCCUCAUCGCACAAGAAGACUAGUUUCAGAAAGGCUCGGGCACUUAUUGGCAAGGAAAUGGACUCCGAGGCAGAAUCAGAGGAAUGUGAUGAAGAAGAGGGCUCUGAUGAAGACUCAGAAUCCGGAUAGGCUAGUCUUGCACUAGCAACCACUUUCGUCAGCAAGUCAAUCUUCAAUCUUGAAGAAAAUGACUAUGCUGAUGACUUUGCUCCAACCUAUUGCUUCAUGGCAAAAGGAUCAAAGGUAUUAAAUAAUGCCUCCUCCUCUGAUUCAAGUGGCUGUGAACCUAAUGAUUAUAAGAAACCCAGUUACAGUAAACUUGCUAUCAUUGCCACUAAACAACAAACUGCUCUGGAAAAGCUUCAGAAACUGCUAGACAAAAGUGAUGAUCUGUUGAAUGAUGAAAUGAACCUUACCCAAAUCCUCAUUGAUGACAUGAAAAGUCUUCAGUCUAGAUUUGAUAAUCUUCAGGAUCAUUAUGAUACACUCCUCACUAAUCAUGAGAAGCUUUCCUAUGAAUUUCUUCAAAGGAAGCUUGAUCUUGAGAAGCUGAGGAUGUCUCAUGAUGAUCUUCGUAUGGAAAAUGAUUCAUUACUAGCUCAACAGAUCAGCGCUAGUCAAGUUGAAUUUGUUCCUCCAUGUCUUAAAUGCAUUGAACGCGAAACUGCUAAUUCCUCACCAGAAUCAUCAAAUGCUACCAUUGCUACAAAUUCUUCAACUACACCUGUUGUGUCUAUUUCCUCACUUGAGGAAAACACAAAUGUUACUGAUGAAAAUGCAGGGUUGAAGGAAUUGUACGUGACAGGCAUGUACAAAAGCCUCAAAGGACAUCAAACCCUUUGGGAUGUGCUUAAAAAGCAGAUCUUGAACAGGAACCCGAGGAAAGAAGGAAUUGCCUUUGAGAGGAAAUUAAAUGCUGAUUGAUCUUAUUGGAAACCUGAGCAGUAUCCCAAAACCUCAUGGGUUGCUGCUACUGGGCCUCCUUUUGAUCCAUCUAAUCUAACUGGCUUUUCAUGUGAACUAUCGUAUUCCUCGGAUGAGUCACUUGAUUCCAACUAUAAACUGUUCAAAAAUCAAUCUGGUGAAGUAUUUGCUCGAUAUGUUGGAACUAAGUGCAGGAAUGGCCCUCCUCUGAGGAAAAUCUGGGUUCCCAAAAGCUGUCUUGAAAAUCUUCAGGUGAAUGUCCUCAUGACACCACCACUGAAGAAUCUGAACCCCAGAUCAAAUUCCUCAGGAGGACCAAAGUCUUCAAGAGGAUCAAAAUCCUCAACUGGUCAAAACUAUGCUCGUACCCAUGCUUAUGCGUCUAACAUGCAGGGAAACUACAAGGUAUAUGAAUAUGAGCGUUACUCCUCAAAUCAUUAUGUUCAUAAAUGCUCAAACCAGUUCUCUGCAUAUUCAUAUGAGUACUUUAAUCCCCCUACUGUUAAGAGAAGUGCAUUAGCUUCAAUGCCACCUUUCUCAUAUGGUGCUCGCAGGAUGAUGAACGCUUUGCCACCCCUUCAGAUGUGGGUGGUGAAGAAAUCAAACUAAUCACUUCUGCAGGUCAGGUCUCCAGAUGAAAAUCAUCAUCUGAGGAAUUUGCUGGAGACCUGAAGAAAUGCUUGAUAGGACGCAAGCUAAUGAUUGAUGAAAUAGAGAUAUUUCACUCGUCCUCACAUUUCUGUUAUGAUGAAAUUACUGAUCUGAUGAAAUUAGUAUCAUAUUCUUCAAAUCUGAAGCAUAUGAGAUGGUAAGCAGUACUAAUUCAUCUGCAGGAUGACAAACCCAAGAAUACUGAGUGGGUUCUUGAUAGUGGUUGCACACAUCACAUGACUGGUGAUAAAAGCUUACUGAUGAAUAUGCCACUAACUCCAUCACCUCUGAAGCAAAUCACAUAUGCUGACAAAGGUAAAAGCAAGGUAUUGGGACUUGGCAAAGUGGCUAUUUCCAAGGAUAGGCAUAUGGACAAAGUGAUGCUUGUUGAAUCCCUUGGUUUUAACCUUAUGUCAUUCUCAAUGCUUUGUGAUCUUGAUAUGAUUGUUAUCUUUGGUAGAUAUAUAUGUGUAGUCAUCAUGGAAUCUGACAGAUCCAAAGUCUUCGAAGGUGUAAGAAGAGGGGAUUUGUACAUUGUUGAUUUCUCUACAUGUCCUCAACCAGCCACUUGCUUACUAGCAAAAACCUCAGAAGGAUGGCUGUGGCACCGAAGACUAGGUCAUGCAGGCAUGAGGAAUUUGCACACGCUCGCGAAGAAGAAGCAUGUCAUCGGCAUCGAAUCAGUCAAAUUCCUCAAGGAUCAUCUCUGCGGUGCUUGUGAAUCUGGGAAAAUGACCAGAUCCAAGCAUCCCUCUAAAACCAUCAUGACCACCACACGUCCAUUCGAAUUGCUUCAUAUGGAUUUAUUUGGACCUACUCACUAUGCCACACUAACCAAUGCAGCAUCUCUAUAUGGCUUCGUCAUAGUUGAUGAUUAUUCCAGAUACACUUGGGGUGCAUAUCAUAGUGUAUAAAACUGAAGUGCAGGAAAUCUUCAAACGAUUUUCUUCAAGGGCCUCGACGAACUUUGGCAUCAAGAUCAAACAUAUCAGGAGUGAUAAUGGAACCGAGUUCAAAAACACUGGUCUUGAUGAUUAUCUUGAUGAACUUGGUAUUACUCACGAAUUGUGUGCUCCUUAUACUCCUCAGCAGAAUCGUGUCGUCGAAAGGAAGAACAGGACUCCGGUUGAAAUAGCGAGAACUAUGCUUGAAGAAUAUCCGACUCCUCGUCGCUUUUGGCGUGAAGCAAUCAACACCGCAUGCCAUAUCAUCAACAGGGUAUAUCUUCACAAAUUCCUCAAGAAAACCUCAUAUGAACUCCUCACUGACAAGAAACCCAAUGUAAGUUAUUUCAAAGUCUUCGGUGCAAAAUGCUGGAUUAGAGAUCCUCACUAUAGCUCAAAAUUUGCACCUAAGGCACAUGAAGGUUUUAUGCUCGGUUAUGGAAAGGACUCGCACACUUACAGAGUCUUCAACAACUAUCACAACAAAGUUGUUGAGACUGUAGAUGUGCGGUUCGAUGAAACUAAUGGCUCGCAAAGAGAGAAAUUGCCUUCUGAUCCAGAUAAGCUGUCUCUUGAGGAAGAAAUAAAGCUCAAGCCUACUGAAGACAUUGUCCCAUCUGAGGAAAUUGAUGAAGAAACAAUCCCCAUCGCUGAUAAAAACCAAGAAGAUGCUCCUGAGGAAAUUGCAUCAGCACCACUUCCUCAGCCCAGACAAAAUCCUCAACCAGCUCAUCCGAGGAUUGCAAACGAAGUAGAACUGGACAAAAUCCUCAAUGACAUCAACGCGCCAGGUCCUCUCACUCGCUCAAAAGCUUCACACUUAGUUAACUUUUGUGGGCACUUUUCCUUUGUAUCCAUCACAGAACCCUCAAAAGUUGUUGAGGCUUUUCUGGAACCGGAGUGGAUUUAAGCUAUGCAAGACGAACUUCUUCAAUUCAAGCUGAAUGACUUAUGGGAGCUCGUCAAACGACUAGAUCCUCGCAAGCACAACAUCAUCGGCACCAAGUGGAUUUUCCGAAACAAGCAAGAUGAGCACGGUCAAGUGGUGAGGAACAAGUCACGACUUGUAGCCCAAGGCUACACCCAGGUUGAAGGAAUAGAUUUCGAUGAAACUUUUGCACCUGUUGCUAGACUUGAAGCUAUUCGAAUACUACUUGCUUAUGCUAAUCAUCAUAACAUCAUCUUAUAUCAAAUGGAUGUGAAAAGUGCAUUCCUCAAUGGUAAGCUUGAGGAAGAAGUAUAUGUUGCUCAGCCCCCAGGUUUUGAGGAUCCAAAGAAUCCAGACAAAGUCUUCAGACUCAAAAAGGCUCUUUAUGGCCUCAAGCAAGCCCCUAGGGCGUGGUAUGAUACAUUGAAGGAAUUCCUCAUGAAGAAAAGCUUCAAACCUGGUUCACUCGAUCCAACUUUUUUCAUAAAAUCCUAUGAUAAUGAGCUGUUUGUAUGUCAAAUAUAUGUCGAUGAUAUCAUAUUUGGCUCUACUGACAAAAGAUACAGUGAUGAAUUUGCCUACAUGAUGAGUGAAGAAUAUCAGAUGUCCAUGAUGGGGGAGCUGAAAUUCUUCUUAGGUCUUCAAAUUCGUCAACAAAGCAAUGGAAUCUUCAUAUCACAGGAGAAAUACCUCAAGGAUGUUCUGAGGAAAUUUGACAUACACGAAUGCAAAGGUGCCAAGACUCCAAUGCCUACCAACGGCCACCUCGGCACUGAUGAAAAUGGUAAAGAUUUCGAUCAGCAGGUAUACCGUUCUAUGAUUGGCUCCUUAUUGUAUCUAUGUGCACCUAGGCCAGAUAUAAUGCUUAGUGUUUGCAUGUGUGCACGUUUUCAAGCAAAACCGAAGGAAUCACACCAUAAGGCUGUGAAACAUAUUCUUCGAUACUUAGCUCACACACCAACACUAGGAUUAUGGUAUCCCAAGGGCUCCAAUCUUCAUCUGGUAGGGUAUUCUGAUUCAGACUAUGCUGGUGACCGUGUGGAUCGCAAGUCAACUUCUGGCACAUGCCAUUUCCUCGGAAGAUCACUAGUUUGCUGGUCCUCAAAGAAGCAGAACUGCGUAUCACUUUCCACUGGUGAAGCUGAGUACAUUGCUGCUGGUUCUUGCUGUGCUCAAUUGCUAUGGAUGAAGCAAACCCUCAAGGGCUACGACAUCAACAUGAAGAAUGUACCUCUCUACUGUGACAAUGAGAGUGCUAUCAAGAUUGCAUACAACCCAGUACAACACUCGAAGACCAAGCACAUCCAGAUUCGUCAUCAUUUUCUUCGAGACCAUGUCCUCAAGGGCAAUAUCCUCAUCGACCGUGUGAAGACUGAUGAUCAAUUGGCAGAUAUCUUCACUAAGCCCUUGGAUGAGAAAAGGUUUUGCAAGUUGUGGUGUGAGAUAAAUAUCUUAGUGUCUUCAAAUGUUUUGUAAAAACAUGCACACAACCUAACACUUAUGCAAAGUUGAUGACUUAGAUGUGCAACACAUGAUGAAUCGAUUUUCUUCAACUUAUGAAGAAUGUCACUCUGAAUGUGAAGAAAUUAAUGAAGAAAUUGAUUCUCACGGCCCUACGACAAUUGUACGCGGCGUCUGUAAUCAACGUUCUUAUAUGGUGGGUAACGCCACCGCCCUAUGUGAAAUUCCUCAAGUUGAUUUUCUUCAAAUGAUCAAUUUCCUCACAAUGCGUUUUUCUUCAAAACAGUUGUUCUUCAUUGUGAUCAUUUAUUACAAAAUCUUCAAAAACACUUGAUGACUUUCAUUUGACUAGAUAGACUGUGGUUUCUAGUCCUCAAUAGCAUUCACUUUUUGCUAUUUCUUCAAGUUGAUGUUUCUGCUAAGUGAAUGUGAUCGGACCCUACUUUCCCUCUAUGCUAUACUUAUCCAGUCUAUUCAAAUCUUCAUAUGCGUUAUAUUUGAAACUUUGUUCAAAAUCCUCACUGCGUCCUUGUCAGCUGAUGAUUUUGUAACGAAAAUCCUCAAAUCUUCAAAAAUUGUUUCUUUAAAAGACACAGUAACUGAACCCCCACUUCCCACGAUCGGAUAACCACGAUCUCCACUAUCUCCACCGCAUCGUACGGGAGCUACACGUGUCUUGCGGAGACGUAGAGACAGGGGCUAUUUGGUCUGACAUUUUCGCGCCAAACAGUAACUUUUGGCUAUAAAUAUGUCCUUAUCCCCCUCGGCAUCCUCUUCUUCGCCUCAUCGCUCUCGUGCCACAGCACACUCCACCGAACCCUAACGCCACCGCUGGUAGUCUCGUCGCCGGUGAGGAAGAGCUUCACUGCCUCGACUUCUUCGUCGCCAGAACCACGCCGGAGUCGGACCAUCUUUGUCCGCCGCCGCCGUAGACGUCCUUUGUCGCCAAGUUAGGGUGCAUUGGACACUCGAACGAAGAGCCUCUCCACACACAACUUUCUGUGUUCUUCGUUCGCACCUUCCAGGGUAAAUAUAUCCCAUUUUUAUAGCAAGUUAGAUCUAAAAUUUUACAUCAUCUAUGUGAAAUCUGUUUCUCCUCAAGAUACGAUGCGCACUUGAUUCCUCAAACACUACCUAUCACCACAAUCAUUGAUGAACUAUGCUAAGCAUCUAAGAUUAUCACGAGAUUCCUCAAUUAUGCGAAUUUUCGGAUCUGUACAACUCUGGAACCCAAGAACAGUAUGCUUAGGCAAAUUCCUCAACCACUGGUUAUAUUCCUCAAACUGUCAAACUUUUUCAUUUUCCUCAAAUCUGAGAACGCAUAUGACAUCUCCAAAUUCCUCGCAACCAUACUCUGUUCACAGGUACACACAUGUCAGCUGAUGAAUCUCUCGGUUCUCAUCACAUUAACUCAUUUGCAGCGUUUCUGGAAGAAACUCUUCAAGGCUCAUCAGAAUCCUCAAGAGUUCAAAAUCAUCAGCAAAAUCCUCAACUGAGGAAAAUGGAGGAAGACAGAAAACAGAAGGGAGGAAAUAAGCUUGAUCAAAACACAGCUGCUGAUAUCCCUGAGGACAUUUACUUGGACUAUUGCACGCCUGAUGAACAUGAGACAAUGGCCAGGAGAAAGAUAUGACUGCAGAAGAUUGAACGCCGAUGGGCGAAGGAAUGGAAGGAGUACAGGUUUGUGACUCCCAAAUAUGCGAAGAAAUUCGCUUUGAAGCCUCCUGGCAGAAGGGCCCCACUUGAGGAUCAUCAAGUAGCACAUCCCUCAAGCCUCAAGACCAUUGAUGACUAUCCAGAUGAAAAGGAAAAGCAUCUGGCUAAGCUCAAGAAGCAGGCAGAAGCUGCAGUGAGGAAAUUUAAUGAAUCCUCAGCUGCUGCCUCCGGUGCUGCUAAUUCCUCAGCUGCAGAAACCUCAGGCUCAGAAAUUCCUCAAAUGCAGUCUGUGCCAUCAAAGCCAAGGGCUCCAAAGCCUCAAGAGAAGUCUGCUCAGGCUUCUGUCACAAAACCCUCAGCACCAAAACCCUCAUUACCAAAACCAUCAGCGCCAAAGCCCUCACCACCAAUCUCCUCAGUAUCAAAAUCCUCAACUCCAACCCCAAAGCCUCAAGAGAAACCAGUACAGAAGCAAGUCGUGAAGCCUACGACCGCCAGCUCCAGCUCCUCACUCCCAGCUGCAACUAGCUCGGAGACAAAGUCUUCAACACCUCCUGUGAAGACUUUGGCAACUGCUGAACGUGCACCUCUGCCCAGCCCCAGCAAAAUCAUCGCAAUCCCUUCUGCAUCAGAGGGAAGUGAUGAAUAUGAUGAUGAAACCCUGCAAGCCAUCAUCAGAAACAAGCAAGAAAGAGUAGCUCAAGCAUUAGGCAGUGCUAUUCCUCUGGCCAUGGACCCCAAGGUCCUCCUUGACUACAUCAAUAUCUGGUAUGAGGACCCAAACACUCCUAUUGAUGAUUUGAAGCUUCCCCCUGGCAUCAGCCACAUGGUGGUCACCUUCAUAAAUGAAGCCAAGUGGAAAGAACAGCAGGCCAGGCAGGCAAAGGUUGCAAAGAUCAAAAAGGAGAAAUUCCUCAGGCAGAAUCUCGUCAAACUGACUCCUGAUGCACUGUUGACUACACAGGCAGAGUUGCAAAAAUUGACUGACAAGUAUGCCAAGCUGUCAGAUCGCAAAAACCUCAAGAGCAAUUUCAUCAAGCUGGCCACUAGUGUUGUUGAUGACUAUAACAAGAGAACCGCACCCCCAGCACCAACUCCUCAGCCCUUGGUUGAGGAAGUACACCAAGAGCGCCGUGAUGAUGAACCGGCCAUUGAAGAAAUCAUCACGGAAACUCCAACUGAUGAAAAUACUGCCACUGAUGAGACUGCUCCUGAUCCAGCUGCUUCAUCAAAGCAGGCUGAUGACUCUGUUCCAGCUGGUUCCUCAAUACCAGUUGAAGAAACUGUAGAGAGAACACCUUCACCAACAGCUUCGAAGGUGAAGAAGAUAAUUCCGUCUGCAUCAGACGUAAAGAAAACAAGGGCUGCUGAAAAGGAAGCCAAGAAGAGAAAACCCUCCUCAGCAGUAGAUGAAACAGAGGCAAAGCGCCUCAAAGAAAUUGAAGAAACUGCUCCUCUGGACCCGGUGCCUCUCAAUGUCGCCCAUUCCUAUGAGAUGGUCGUCAUUGAUGACCCAGCUACAAAGGCAGAUGAGGAAAUGAAGGAUGUCGCUCCUGAGGAACACAUUGAUGAGGAAAUUCAGAUUGACGACAGUCCUCAACCUCUUAUUCCUCAGACAGAAACUGCUCAAGCAUCAGCUGCACCAGCUGAUGAAACUGCUUCUGCCACAGAACCAGCUGAGGAAGAACAAGUUGAAAAUCCUCAAGCUGACGAAAUCCAACACUCUGAGCAACAUCCUCAAGAUGAGGAACAGGCUGAUCCAACUCCUCCAACUGAGAAAGAAGCAGAAAUUCCUCCAGCCUGAAGCUCAGUUAGAGAAAGCACCAUCUCCUCAGCAUGAAGUACCAGCUGAUGAAAUUCCUCACCCUGAGGAAAAUGCUGAAGAAAAUGUACCCGCCCAAGACAAUGCAUUCAUUGUGCUCAACCCAGAGACUGCUAUUGUUGUCUCUACCCCUAUUCUUCAGCAAAAUCUUCAGCCAGUUCAGCGUCAACCAUUCUCCAAGCGUCCACAGUUUCAGAAAGAAAAUUUCUUUGAGGAACGCAUGUACUUCAUCAGGGAGAACCCUUAUGACAAGCCUCAAAUGAGGCAUCUGAAGUUUUGGACAAGGACUCAGAUGAACUACUAUGCCUCUGUGCUCUGUGGACGCAACAAGAUUUUCCAGCACAGGCAUAUUCCUCAUGUUAAGCUUGAAGCAAUACCUUGCCUAGAGCCAGUCCUAAGUGUACUCCACGAUGCAGGUUUGCCACCAAUGUGCUCAGACAUAUCAGACUGGAACAACGAGCUUAUUCUUCAGUUCUAUGCCACUUUUAUAUAUCUGGCAACCCUGAAGACAUCAACACUUGGGUGUUUGACUGGAUGUCACAAAACACUCACUACAAGGCUCCUGCUUCUGAACUCAUCAGAGAACUGCCAGUACCAAUUCCCUCAGAUGGGGCAGUGAAGCUUUACGGUGAGCGUGAGCUGCCAAAUGGAAUGUUGGAAGUCCUCAUGAAGCCUUUGGCUGCAGGCAAAUCUUCAAGAACAACCUUCCUCGUCCACGAGCUCAAGUACACACCCCGGUCUGUUUACAGAAUUCUCUGCAGUGUGCUAGCACCGAUCAAAGGCCAUGACGAUGAAGAAGAUGUUGUAGGCCUCAUGAAGAAUAUCCUCUUCAACAUCAUUCACAGUAUUCCUAUCAAUAUCCAUGAUUUCUUCUUGAGGACUUUGGCCGACAAUGCCAUGUGCCCUUUGAUCACAAGAUAUAUGCCCCGUGGAUCAUGAGAUUCAUCAGGACAAGGACAUGCAUCAACUUUCACGCUGAUUGUCAAAACCAUGUUGGUUAUAUGCCUCCUAUUCGGGUAAACAAGAAGACUUUCGAGCCCAUUGAAGGAAAAGGAAAAUCUGUGAUUGAAGAAGGCAGCAGGCCCCUUGAUGGCCAGUUUAGAGAGCCAGAAGCAUAUUCUUCAUGGGACGAUACUGAGACUCGUCCAGCAAGCCCAGUUCCUCCUCGCGUGCUGAAUACCAGAGAGCUACUCCUCAGUCUUCACCAGAAGGUGGAUCGCAACCACGAAUGGGUCAAACGCCAGUUUGGUGCCAUUGUGAAAACCCUCAGUGAAACACAGAACUCUGGGAAGAUUAACCAUCACUAUCUGCAUGAGGUUUUCGAUCGCACCUGGGCUACACUUGCACAUCUGAAGACUCAGACUGAGCUUGAAUAAAUGGACUUUGAGCGAGACUUUGACUAGUCGUGGCCUCCCAAGAAGAAGUUCAGGCCCAUUCCAGUGCCAGACCUUGAAGACAACUCCUUUUCUUCAUUCCACUCUGCUGAAUCUGAUGAAGAACAGCUCGACACUGCAACCGGCCCAAGGAAGAAGACUACUCCCAAGAAGCAUCAUGACUCUUCCUCGACCGCCAAGAAAUGAAGUCUUCACGGGCGUUAGUCCUCAGUUUGUCCCUUUUUGUCACUUGAUGACAAAGGGGGAGAAACUCGAGAAGUUAGUCUUCAAGCGGGAUAUUUUUGGGGCUUAUAAACUAUAUUUAAGUUACAAACUCUUGGCUCUUCUGAAGUUUUUAUGUAAUGAGUUGUAACUUAAGCCCGAUGGUACUCUGACGCUUUUGAACGUUUCUCUUCGCAUUCUUAUUCCUCAAGUUUUAAUGCACGCAUGUUGGAAUUCGUCAGAUACCAUUUGUCAUCAUGCAUCUUCAUUUUAUUCAUAUGAUAUGUUAUAUGUAUGCAUGAUUUACAAGACUCAGGGGGAGAUCUCCAUGAUAUAAAUCAUCAAUGUGCAUUUGCUGUGAAAAGCAAAAUCCUCAAGAUAUGCACAUCUUCAGGGGGAGUCUCUCUGAAUCUUGUUUUCAAAUUCCUCAAAUGAGUAUUUACACUUCAUAUUUUUAAUCCCUGUUGAAGACUUAACCUAAUUGUCAUCAACCACCAAAAAGGGGGAGAUUGUAAGUGCAUCUAGUGCCCCUUAGUGAUUUUGGUGGUUUGAAGACUUAUAGAUUAAGUAUCUGAUGUGUUUGUGAGUGUACACAGGAUCUAUAAGUCAUUGAGGAGUUUGAGAUAUUUGAAGAAUACUGACCCCUAAAAAUAUAUGUCUUCAGUUGAAGAAAUUGGUCUGAAGCUGAAGAAAUGAAUCACGAGGAAUCUGCGAUGAAAUUGAUAUUCCUCAUGAAGAUACUGAUAUUGAGAAGUCCGGUGGUUCCUGAAGAAAAUCACUCUGAAGAAUUGAAGCAUGAAGAUUUACACUUUCUGUUUUACUUUCUUCGCAUUCGAGUAAUAGGAACACCGUACUGUCAAAGGGGGUCAAAGUUACACUAUGGAAUGAAUUUCCUCAUGAUGCUCAACCCAAGCCUAAUCCUACCAAAAGCCUCAAGAGAGGAAUAUGAGUGACAUGAGGACUCUCACAGUUGAGGGUUCCGACCGUUUUGAUAGCCACGCCAAGUCACUGGUCUUAUCCACUCCAACGGUCAUAUUAUUUAAGGGCAUCAGUGUCAAAUCAUGUCGGGAUGCUCCCAGGCUAUAAAUAGCCACCCCCCACAACCACUAGCUGGCUGGCUGCUCCAUUAGAAACUGACACUUGUCAUAAGAGCAACCCAAAUUCCUCAGAGCCUUCGAGAGUAAAUCAUCAGUGAGGAAAUACACCACCCACCGAAACCACAAACCAAACCUAGUGAUUGAGCAUCACCGAAGAAGUUGUUCCUGUGUGGGACUGAAGACUUUUACCUUUGAGGACUGUGCAUCCUCCAGACGGUUAGGCAUCAUGGUCUAGAGCAAUCCAACAGUCAAUUGUGGAUCGCCGGGUGACCAAGUUUGUGAGGGUUUGGAAGUCUGCCCUGAAGACUUGCCACGAGUGUUGGGUGAGGACUGUGUGUCCUUAGCUCAAGGAGAAUACCGUAGGGACUAUGUGUCCCGGGACUGGGUGUCCUUUGGUUUCAAUACCAAGCCGCUCCAAACCAGAUGUACAACUGUCACAACAGUUGGAACUGGGUCAUCAACGACUGUCUUCACUGAGAAACGGGUUCUAAUUCCUCAACUCUUUACUUUCCCGUAUUAUGUGUUGAUGACUUUCACUGUGACUGUUUGAAGAAUUUGCUGAAGCCUUUACGGGAUGACUUUCACGUUAGUUAUUUCUCAUCUGUAUUCUGCGUGCCUGCUCAUUGUGCAAUCCGCUUUCACAUUCUUCACUCUGAAAAACUGCUGUUGUGAAACUUUGCACUUCUUAUCCUUUACUGUUUCCGCUGUAAGUUAGUCAUCAGUGAGGAAUUUCCUCAAAAGGAAUUUCCUCAGUGAUGAAAUUCUAAAAAUCUCCUAUUCACCCCCCUCUAGUCGAUAUAACGCACUUUCACAAUGGUGUUGAUGAAGAAGCCCUCCGUGUCCGAAUCCCCUCCGGCAGGGCACCAGAACGAGGUAUUUUCGUGGCUCUCUUUUGUGGUUUCGGGAUUUUUGGGAAUUUAUAGGCGAAAGAGGUAGGGCAGAGGAGCCACGGGGGGCCCACGAGCCUGUUAGGCGCCCUUCUAGGGCGCGCCUAGGGGGCUCGUGAUCUCCCCGGCGACGUCCUACCUUGGUUCUCAAGUCCUCUGCGUAUCUUCUGUUAUGGAAAAAAUCAUCCCGUAGGUUUUAUUCCGUUUGGGCUCCGUUUAAUAUUCUUUUCUGAAAAAGGUCAAAAACACGAAAAAACAGAAACUGGCACUAGGCACUGAGUUAAUAGGUUAGUAUCAAAAAUGAUAUAAAAUGGCAUAUAAAUGCAUAUAAGAAAUCCCAAGUUGAUAAUAUAAUAGCAUGGAACAAUCAAAAAUUAGAUAGGUUGGAGACGUAUCAAGCAUCCCCAAGCUUAACUCCUGCUCGUCCUCGAGUAGGGAAGUGAUAAAGACCAAAUUUUUGAUGUGGAAUGCUACCUAACAUAUUUGUUCUUUGUAACUUCUUUAUUGUGGCAUGAAUGUUCAGAUCCGUAAGAUUCAAAACAAUAGUUUAAUAUUGACAUGAAAACAAUAAUACUUCAGGCAUACUAGCAAAGUAAUCAUGAACUUUUGAAAUAUAAUAGCAUGGAACAAUCAAAAAUUAUAGAUACGUUGGAGACGUAUGAGGACCCAAAAUCAGUUAGUAAUAGCUUACAAAACUGGACAGAAUAGGCCAAAUUUGUGAGCUUUGACGAGUUCCGCAUAACUAGACCGCGGGGUUCCCCGAAUGCUCAGAGUGUAGCACAACCCAAAAUGAUUGAGUAAUAGCAUAGAAACUUGGCGAGAAUAGGCCGAAACUGCGAGUUUUGACGAGUACCCCGUAGCCGGAUCCCGGGCUUUCCCGAACGUUUGGAUCGCAGUGGGAUCCAAAAUCAGUGAGCAAUAGCAUAGAAAACUAGAGAGAAUACGUCAAAACUGCGAGUUUUGACGACUUCCACAUAACCGGACCGCAGGGUUCUCCGAAAGUUUGGAUCGCAGCGAGACCCAAAAUCAACGAGUAAUGGCAUACAAAACAGGCCAGAAUAGGCCAAAUCUGUUAGUUUUGACGAGUUCCCCAUAACCGGGACCGCGGGGUUCCCCGAACGUUCGGAUUGCAGAGGGACCCAAAAUGAUUGAGUAAUAGCAUAUAAAAUUUGCCAGAAUAGGCCAAAACUGCUAGUUUUGACGAGUACCCCGUAGUCGGACCCCGAGCUUCCCCGAACGCUCGGAUCGUAACGGGACCCAAAAUCAGUGAGUUUUAACGUGUUCCCCGUAACCGGACCUCGGGGUUCCCCAAACAUUUGGAUCACAGCGGGACCCAAAAUCAGUGAGAAAUAGCUGACAAAACUGGCCAAAAUAGGGCAAAACUGUGAGCUUUGACGAGUUCCCCAUAACCGGGCCGUGGGGUUCCCCGAACGUUCGGAGUGCAGCAGGACCNNNNNNNNNNNNNUAAUAGCAUAGAAAAUUGGCCAGAAUAGGCCAAAAUUGCGAAUUUUGACGAUUACCCCGUAGCCGGACCCGAAGCUUCUACGAACGUUCGGAUCGCAGCGGGACCNNNNNNNNNNNNGUAAUAGCAUAGAAAACUGGCCAGAAUAGGCCCGCACUGCGAGUUUUGAUGAGUUCGCCUUAACCGGACCCCGUGGUUCCCCGAACGUUUGGAUCGCAGCGGGACCCAAAAUCAGCGAGUAAUAAUAGCUUACAAAACUAGACACAAUAGGCAAAAUCUGUGAGCUUUGUCGAGUUCCACAUAAUUGGACCGCGGGUUUCCCCGGAUAUUCGGAAUGCGGCAGGACCCAAAAUGAUUGAGCAUAGAAAGUUGGCGAGAAUAGGCCAAAAGUGCAAGUUUUGUCGAGUACCCCGUAGCCGGACCCCGGGCUUCCACGAACGUUCGGAUCUCAGUGGGAUCCAAAAUGAGUGAGUAAUAGCAUAGAAAAGUAGCCUGAAUAGAUGCAAACUGCGUGUUUUGUCGAGUUCCACAUAACCGGACCGCAGAGUUCCCCGGACAUAUGGAUCGCAGCGGGACCCNNNNNNNNNNNGUAAUAGCAUACAAAACUAGCCAGAAUAGGCCAAAUCUGUGAGUUCUGACGAGUUCCCCAUAACCGCGACCGUGGGGUUCCCCGAACGUUCGGAUUGCAGAGGGACCCAAAAUGAUUGAGUAAUAGCAUAUAAAAUUUGCCAGAAUACGCCAAAACUGUUACUUUUGAAGAGUACCCCAUAGUCGGAUCCCAAUCUUCCCCGAACGUUUGAGUCGCAGCGGGACCCAAAACCAGUGAGUAAUAGCAUAGAAAACUAGCCAGAAUAUGCCAAAACUGCGAGUUUUGACGUGUUUCCCGUAACCGGACCCCGGGGUUCCCCGAACAUUUGGAUCUCAGCGGGGCCCAAAAUCAGUGACAAGUAGCUUACAAAACUGGCCAGAAUAGGCCAAAACUACGAGCUUUGACGUGUUUCCCAUAACCGGACCCCGGGGUUCCUUGAACGUUCGGGGUGCAGCAGGACUCAAAAUGAUUGAGUAAUAGCAUGGAAAACUGUCCAGUAUAGGCCAAACCUACGAGUUCUGACGAGUACCCCGUAGCCGGACCUCGUGGUUCUCCGAACAUUUGGAUCGCAGCGAGACCCAAAAUCAGUGAGUAAUAACUUACAAAACUGGACAAAAUAGUGUUGGAAAUAUGCCCUAGAGGCAAUAAUAAAAUGGUUAUUAUCAUAUUUCCUUGUUCAUGAUAAUCGUCUAUUGUUCAUGCUAUAAUUGUAUUAACAGGAAACAGUAAUACAUAUGUGAAUAAAUAUAUCACAAUAUGUCCCUAGCAAGCCUCUAGUUGGCUAGCUCGUUAAUCAAUAGAUGAUCAUGGUUUCCUGAUCAUGGGCAUUAGAUGCCAAUGAUAACGGGAUCACAUCAUUGGGAGAAUGAUGUGAUGGACAUGACCCAAUCCUAAGCAUAGCACUAGAUCGUAUUGUUCGUAUGCUAAAGCUUUUCUAAUGUCAAGUGUCUUUUCCUUCGACCGUGAGAUUGUGCAACUCCCGGAUACCGUAGGAGUGCUUUGGGUGUAUCAAACGUCACAACGUAACUGGGUGACUAUAAAGGUGCACUACCGGUACCUCUCAAGGUGUCUGUUGGGUUGGCAUGAAUCGAGAUCGGGAUUUGUCACUCCGUGUGAAGGAGAGGUAUCUCUGGGCCCACUCGGUAGAUCAUCAUCAUGGGCUCAAUGUGACUAAGGAGUUAGUCACAGGAUGACGUGCUACGGAACGAGUAAAGAGACUUACCGGUAAUGAGAUUGAACAAGGUAUAGGUAUACCGACGAUCGAAUCUCGGGCAAGUCUUAUACCGACAGACAAAGGGAAUUGUAUACGGGAUUGAUUGAAUCCUUGACAUCGUGGUUCAUCCGAUGAGAUCAUCGUGGAAUAUGUGGGAGCCACCAUGGGUAUCCAGAUCCCACUGAUGGUUAUUGGCCGGAGAGCGUCUCGGUCAUGUGUGCAUGUUUCCCGAACCCGUAGGGUCUACACACUUAAGGUUCGAUGACGCUAGGGUUAUAGGGAAAUGUUAUACGAGGUUACCGAAAGUUGUUCGGAGUCCCGGGUGAGAUCCCGGACGUCACGAGGAGCUCCGAAAUGGUCCGGAGGUAAAUAUUGAUAUAUAGGAUGGAUGUUUUUGGACGCCGGAAAUGUUUCGGGCGUCACCGAUAGCGUACCAGGACCACCGGGACCACCGGAAAUGGUCCCGGGGGUCCACCGGGAGGGGCCACCAGCCCCAAGAGGUAGCAUGGGCCAAAAGGUGGAAAGCAACCGGCCCAAAGUGGGCUUGUGCGCCUCCCACAAAGGGGCCCAAGGCGCAGGAGGUGUAGAAGGGGGGAAACCCUAGGCGCUGGUGAGCCUAAGGCCCACCUAGGUGUGCGCCACCCCCUCCCCCUGCCCUGGCCGCCGCACCUCCCAUCUGGGCGGGCUGCCGCACCACCUAGGGUGGGAACCCUAGGGAUGGCACCCCCCUCCCCUCCUCCUAUAUAUACCUAGGGGUUUGGGGCUGUUUUGCACACGGUUUUCUCUCCUCUCGGCGCAGCCCUGCUCCCCUCCUUCCUCCUCCUCCCACGGUGCUUGGCGAAGCCCUGCCGGGAGACCUCGUCUCUCCAUCGACACCAGUUAGCGAUCUUCAAAGGUACGACUCCAUCAACCGCGUUCAAGCAACGCUUUCGCUUAGCGGUCUUCAAGGGUAUGAAGAUGCAUUCACCCCUCUCUCGUUGCUGGUCUCUCCAUGGGAAGAUCUGAAUAUGCGUAGGAAUUUUUUGAAUUUAUGCUACGUUACCUAACAGUGGCAUCCGAGCCAGGUUUUCUAUGCGUAGAUUCUAUGCACGAGUAGAACACAAAAGGUUGUGGGGGAUGAUUUGUCAAUUGCUUGCCGCUACUAGUAUUAUUCUUUUUCGGCGGUAUUGUGGGAUGAAGCGGCCCGGACCGACCUUACACGUACGCUUACGUGAGAUUGGUUCCACCGACAAACAUGCACACCGUGCAUAAAGGUGGCUAGCGGGUGUCUGUCUCUCCCACUCUAGUCGGAUUGGAUUUGAUGAAAAGGGUCCUUAUGAAGGGUAAAUAGCUUUGGCAUAUCAUCGUUGUGGCUAUCACGUAGGUAAGAAGGCGUUCUUGCUAGAAACCCAAAUCAGCCACGUAAAACUUGCAACAACAAUUAGAGGACGUCUAACUUGUUUUUGCAGGGUUUGACAUGUGAUGUGAUAUGGCCAAAGUUUUGAUGUUGCAUGUAUGAUGUAUGAGUUGAUCAUGUUAUUGUAAUAGGUUUCACAACUUGCAUGUCGAUGAGUAUGACAACCGGCAGGAGCCAUAGGAGUUGUCUUAAUUUAUUGUAUGAGAUGCAACGCCAUGUGCUUACUACUUUUACUUCAUUGCUAACGGUUAGCUAUAGCAGUAGUGAUAGUAGUAGUUGGCGUGACGACUUCACGGAGACACGAUGAUGGAGAUCAUGAUGAUGGAGAUCAUGGUGUCACGCCGGUGACAAUGAUGAUCAUGCGAUGCCUGAAGAUGGAGAUCAAAAGAGCAAAGAUGAUAAUGGGCAUAUCAUGUCACUAUAUGAUUGCAUUGUGAUGUUUAUCAUGUUUUUCAUCUUAUUGCUUAGAACGACGGUAGCAUAAUAAGAUGAUCCCUCUUAAAUUUUCGAGAACGUAUUCCCCUAAGUGUGCACCCUUGCGAAGGAUUAUUGUCUCAUAGCACCAUGUGAUGAUCGGGUGUGAUAGAUUCUAACAUUCACAUACAACGGGUGUAAGCCAGAUUUACACACGCGAAACACCUAGGUUGACUCGACGAGCUUAGCAUGUACAGACAUGACCUCGAAUAAAAGAGACCGAAAGGUCGAACAUGAGUCGUAUGGUUGAAUACGAUCAGCAUGAAGUUGCUCACCAUGGUGACUAGUCCGUCUCACGUGAUGAUCGGACACGGGUUAGUCAACAUGGAUCAUGUUUCACUUAGAUGACUAGAGGGAUGUCGAUUUAAGUGGGAGUUCAUACUUAAUUUGAUUAAAUGAACUUAAUUGUCAUGAACUUAGUCUAAAAGUUGUCUUUAUAAGUAUUUUAGAUGGCCAACGUCAACCUCAAUUUCAACGCAUUCCUAGAGAAAAACAAGCUGAAAGAUUAUGGUAGCAACUAUGCGGACUGGGUUCGUAACUUGAAGCUCAUCCUUGAAGCAGCUAAAAAGGCUUAUGUCCUUGAUGCGCCACUAGGUGACCCUCCCGCUCCCACAACAGCCCAGGACAUUCUAAACGUCUGGCAAACGUGGACUGAUGACUACUCUCUGGUUAGGCGUGGCAUGUUAUACAGUUUGGAAACGGGGCUCCAAAGGCGUUUUGAGCAACACGGUGCAUAUGAGAUGUUGCAAGAGCUGAAACUAGUUUUUCAAGCUCAUGCCCGUGUCGAGAGAUAUGAAGUCUCCGACAAGUUCUUUAGCUGUAAGAUGGAGGAGAACAGUUCUGUCAGUGAGCACAUACUCAAAAUGUCUGGGUUACACGGUCGUCUGACUUCACUUGGAGUCGAACUUCCGGAUGAUGCUAUAAUUGACAUAAUCCUCCAGUCUCUCCCACCAAGCUACAAAGGUUUUGUGCUGAACUACAACAUGCAAGGGAUGGAGAAGACCAUUCCCGAGUUGUACUCGAUGUUCAAGUCUGCCGAAGUAGAAAUCAAGAAAGAGCAUCAAGUGUUGAUGGUCAAUAAGACCACCAGUUUCAAGAAGGGCAAGGGUAAGAAGAACUUCAAGAAAGACGGCAAAGCCGUUGCCGUGCCCGGUAAGCCAGAUGCCGGGAAGAAGAAAAAGAAUGGACCCAAGCCUGAUACCGAGUGCUUCUAUUGUAAGGGAAAAGGUCACUGGAAGCAGAACUGCCCCAAGUACUUAGCGGACAAGAAGGCCGGCAACGUUAAAGGUAUAUGUGAUAUACAUGUUAUUGAUGUGUACCUUACCAGCGCUCGUAGUAGCUCUUGGGUAUUUGAUACCGGUGUUGUUGCUCACAUUUGCAACUCAAAGCAGGAACUGCGGAAUAAGCGGAGACUGGCCAAGGACGAGGUGACGAUGCACGUCAGGAAUGGCUCCAAGGUCGAUGUGAUCGCCGUCGGCACGCUACCUCUACAUGUACCGUCGGGAUUAGUUUUAAACCUUAAUAAUUGUUAUUUAGUACAAGCUUUGAGCAUGAAUAUUGUAUCAGAGUCUUGCUUAAUGCGAGACGGCUACUAAUUUAAGUCAGAGAAUAAUGGUUGUUCUAUUUAUAUGAGUGAUAUGUUUUAUGGUCAUGCUCCACUGGUGAAUGGUUUAUUCUUGAUGAAUCUUGAUCGUGAUGUUACACAUAUUCAUAGUGUGAGUACCAAAAGAUGUAAAGUCGAUAAUGAUAGUCCCACAUACUUGUGGCACUGCCGCCUUGGUCAUAUCGGUGUUAAGCGCAUGAAGAAUCUCCAUACUGAUGGACUAUUAGAGUCUCUUGACUUUGAAUCAUUUGACACAUGCGAACUGUGCCUCAUGGGCAAGAUGACUAAGAAUCCAUUCUCGGGAAUAAUGGAGAGAGCGACCGACUUAUUGGAAAUAAUACAUACUAAUGUGUGUGGUCCAAUGAACAUUGAAGCUCGCGGUGGCUAUCGUUAUGUUCUCAUUCUCACCGAUGAUUUGAGUAGGUAUGGGUAUAUCUACUUGAUGAAGCACAAAUCUGAGACGUUUGAAAAGUUCAAGGAAUUUUAGAGUGAGGUCGAGAAUCAACGUGACAGAAAAAUUAAGUGUCUACGAUCUGAUCAUGGAGGAGAAUAUUUGAGUCACGAGUUUGGCACACACCUAAGGAAGUGUGGAAUCGUUUCACAACUGACGCCGCCUGGCACACCACAACGCAACGGAGUGUCUGAACGUCGUAAUCGCACUCUAUUAGAUAUGGUACGAUCUAUGAUGUCUCUUACCGACUUACCGCUAUCAUUUUGGGGAUACGCAUUAGAAACUGCAGCAUUCACUUUAAAUAGGGCACCGUCUAAAUCCGUUGAGACGACACCGUAUGAACUAUGGUUUGGCAAGAAACCUAAGUUGUCGUUUCUUAAAGUUUGGGGUUGUGAUGCUUAUGUGAAGAAACUUCAACCAGAGAAGCUCGAACCCAAAGCGGAGAAAUGCGUAUUCAUAGGAUACCCUAAGGAGACUAUUGGGUAUACCUUCUAUCUUAGAUCCGAAGGUAAAACCUUUGUUGCCAAGAACGGAUCCUUUCUAGAGAAAGAGUUUCUCUUGAAAGAAGUAAGUGGGAGGAAAGUAGAACUUGAUGAGGUAAUUACACCUCCUCUCGAACCGGAAAGUAGCAUAGCGCGGGAAGUUAUUUCUGUGGCGCCUACACCAAAUGAAGAGGAAGUUAAUGAUAUCGAUCAUGAAGCUUCGGAUCAAGUUACUAUUGAACCGCGAAGGUCCACAAGGGCACGCUCCGCACCAGAGUGGUACGACAACCCUGUGAUGGAAAUCAUGUUGUUAGACAACGGUGAACCUUCGAACUAUGAAGAAGCAAUGGCGGGCCCGGAUUCCAACAAAUGGCUUGAGGCUAUGAAAUCCGAGAUAGGAUCCAUGUAUGAGAACAAAGUAUGGACUUUGGUGGACUUGCCCGAUGAUCGGCGAGCCAUAGAAAAUAAAUGGAUCUUCAAGAAGAAGACUGAUGCAAACGGUAAUCUGACCUUUUAUAAAGCUCGACUUGUCGCAAAGGGUUUUCGACAAAUUCAAGGAAUUGACUACGAGGAGACUUUCUCUCCCGUAGCGACGCUGAAAUCAGUCCGAAUCAUGUUAGCAAUUGCCGCCUUUUAUGAUUAUGAAAUUUGGCAAAUGGACGUCAAAACAUCGUUCCUUAACGGGAACCUUAAGGAAGCGUUGUAUAUGAUGCAACCAGAAGGUUUUGUCGACCCUAAGGGUGCUAACAAAGUGUGCAAGCUCCAGCGCUCCAUGUAUGGGCUGGUGCAAGCAUCUCGGAGUUGGAACAUUCACUUUAAUGAGGUGAUUAAAGCGUUUUGAUUCAUACAGGUUUAUGGAGAAGCCUGUCUGUACAAGAAAGUGAGUGGGAGCUCUGUAGCUUUCCUCAUACUGUAUGUGGAUGACAUAUUAUUGAUGGGGAAUAACUUAGAGAUGUUGGAGAGCAUAAAGGCCUAUUUGAACAAGAGUUUUUCAAUGAAGGACCUUGGAAAAGUUGCAUACAUACUAGGCAUCAAGAUCUAUAGAGAUAAAUCGAGACGCCUCAUAGGUCUUUCGCAAAGUGCAUACCUUAACAAGAUAUUGAGGAAGUUCAAUAUGGAAAACUCAAAGAAAGGGUUCUUGCCAAUUUUGCAAGGUAUGACAUUGAGUAAGACUCAGUCACCGACCACGGCAACAGAUAGAGAGAAGAUGAGUAUUGUCCCCUACGCUUCAGCCGUAGGCUCUCUCAUGUAUGCCAUGCUAUGUACCAGACCUGAUAUAAACCUUGCCAUAAGUUUGGUAGGGAGGUACCAAAGUGAUCCCGGAAUGGAACAUUGGACAACGGUCAAGAAUAUCCUUAAGUACCUCAAGAGGACUAAGGAGAUGUUUCUCGUUUAUGGAGGUGAUGAAGAGCUCGUCGUAAAGGGUUACGUCGAUGCUAGCUUCGACACACAUCCGGAUGACUCUAAGUCACAGACCGGAUACGUGUAUGUAUUGAAUGGUGGGGAAGUGAGCUGGCGCGGCAGCAAGCAAGAAGUCAUGGCAGCAUCUACAUGUGAAACGGAGUACAUAGUGCUUCGGAAGCGGCUCAUGAAGGAAUUUGGAUGAAGGAGCUCAUCACCGACCUUGGAGUGGUUCCAAGCGCGUCGGGUCCAAUGACACUCUUCUGUGAUAACACUCGGGCCAUUGCCAUAGCCAAGGAGCCCAGGUUUCAUCGGAAGACCAAUCACAUCAAACGCCACUACAACUCCAUCCAGGACCAUGUCCAGAGUGGAGUAAUAGAGAUUUGUAAAGUACACACGGAUCUGAAUGUUGCAAACCCGUUGACUAAACCUCUUCCUCGAGCAAAACAUGAUCAACACCAUAAUGCUAUGGGUGUUCGAUACAUCACAAUGUAACUAGAUUACUGACUCUAGUGCAAGUGGGAGACUGUUGGAAAUAUGCCCUAGAGGCAAUAAUAAAAUGGUUAUUAUCAUAUUUCCUUGUUCAUGAUAAUCGUCUAUUGUUCAUACUAUAAUUGUAUUAACAGGAAAGAGUAAUACAUGUGUGAAUAAAUAGAUCACAAUGUGUCCCUAGCAAGCCUCUAGUUGGCUAGCUCGUUAAUCAAUAUAUGAUCAUGGUUUCCUGAUCAUGGGCAUUAGAUGUCAUUGAUAACGGGAUCACAUCGUUGGGAGAAUGAUGUGAUGGACAAGACCCAAUCCUAAGCAUAGCACUAGAUCGUAUUGUUCGUAUGCUAAAGCUUUUCUAAUGUCAAGUGUCUUUUCCUUCGAUCGUGAGAUUGUGCAACUCCCGGAUACCGUAGGAGUGCUUUGGGUGUAUCAAACGUCACAACGUAAUUGGGUGACUAUAAAGGUGCACUACGGGUACCUCUGAAGGUGUCUGUUGGGUUGGCACAAAUCGAGAUCGGGAUUUGUCACUCCGUGUGACAGAGAGGUAUCUCUGGGCCCACCCGGUAGAACAUCAUCAUGAUAUCAAUGUGACUAAGGAGUUAGUCACAGGAUGACGUGCUACGAAACGAGUAAAGAGACUUACCGGUAAGGAGAUUGAACAAGGUAUAAGUAUACCAACGAUCGAAUCUCGGUCAAGUUUUAUACCGACAGACAAAGGGAAUUGUACACGGGAUUGAUUGAAUCCUUGACAUCGUGGUUCAUCCGAUGAGAUCGUCAUAGAAUAUGUGGGAGCCACUGUUGGGGAACGUCGCAUGGGAAACAAAAAAUUUCCUACGCGCACGAAUACCUAUCAUGGUGAUGUCCAUCUAUGAGAGGGGAUUUCCGAUCUAGGUACCCUUGUAGAUCGCACAGCAGAAGCGUUAGUGAACGCGGUUGAUGUAGUGGAACGUCCUCACGUCCCUCGAUCUGCCCCACGAACUGUCUCACGAACCAUCCCGCGAUCCGUCCCACGAUCCGCUCCGAUCUAGUGCCGAACGGACGACACCUCCGCGUUCAGCACACGUACAGCUCGACGAUGAUCUCGGCCUUCUUGAUCCAUCAAGAGAGACGGAGAGGUAGAUGAGUUCUCCAGCAGCGUGACGGCGCUCCGGACGUUGGUGGUGAUCUAAUCUCAGCAGGGCUCCGCCCGAGCUCCGCAGAAACGCGAUCUAGAGGAAAAACCGUGGAGGUAUGUGGUCGGGCUGCCGUGGCAAAAGUUGUCUCAAAUCAGCCCUAAUACCUCAGUAUAUAUAGGAGGGAGGGGGAGGGAAGAGGCAGCCUCAAACCCUCAAGGUUUGGCCGAAAUUGGAGGUGGAGGAGUCCUACUCCAAUCCUACUUGGAGUAGGAUUCCACCUUCCCACUUGGAAACUCUUUCCACCUUGUGUUUUUCCUUAUCAAACCUUAUGGGCCUAAGUGGGAACUUAUUCCAGCCCACUAGGGGCUGGUUUAUCUCUUCCCAUAGCCUGUGAGACCCCUUGGGGCGUGACACCCCUCCCGAUGGUCCCCGGCACCCCUCCCGGCACUNNNNNNNNNNNNNNNNNNNNNNNNNNNNNNNNNNNNNNNNNNNNNNNNNNNNNNNNNNNNNNNNNNNNNNNNNNNNNNNNNNNNNNNNNNNNNNNNNNNNNNNNNNNNNNNNNNNNNNNNNNNNNNNNNNNNNNNNNNNNNNNNNNNNNNNNNNNNNNNNNNNNNNNNNNNNNNNNNNNNNNNNNNNNNNNNNNNNNNNNNNNNNNNNNNNNNNNNNNNNNNNNNNNNNNNNNNNNNNNNNNNNNNNNNNNNNNNNNNNNNNNNNNNNNNNNNNNNNNNNNNNNNNNNNNNNNNNNNNNNNNNNNNNNNNNNNNNNNNNNNNNNNNNNNNNNNNNNNNNNNNNNNNNNNNNNNNNNNNNNNNNNNNNNNNNNNNNNNNNNNNAAUACGCAUAAAACAACGUCGAACCUUAAGUGUGCAGACCCUGCGGGUUCGAGAACUAUGUAGACAUGACCCGAGUGACUCCUCGGUCAAUAUCCAAUAGCGGGACCUGGAUGCCCAUAUUGGAUCCCACAUAUUCUACGAAGAUCUUAUCGUUUGAACCUCAGUGCCAGGGAUUCAUAAUCCCGUAUGUCAUUCCCUUUGUCCUUCGGUAUGUUACUUGCCCGAGAUUCGAUCGUCAGUAUCCGCAUACCUAUUUCAAUCUCAUUUACCGGCAAGUCUCUUUACUCGUUCCGUAAUACAAGAUCCCGCAACUUACACUAAGUCACAUUGCUUGCAAGGCUUGUGUGUGAUGUUGUAUUACCGAGUGGGCCCCGAGAUACCUCUCCGUCACACGGAGUGACAAAUCCCAGUCUCGAUCCAUACUAACUCAACGAACACCUUCGGAGAUACCUGUAGAGCAUCUUUAUAGUCACCCAGUUACGUUGUGACGUUUGAUACACACAAAGCAUUCCUCCGGUGUCAGUGAGUUAUAUGAUCUCAUGGUCAUAGGAACAAAUACUUNNNNNNNNNNNNNNNNNNNNNNNNNNNNNNNNNNNNNNNNNNNNNNNNNNNNNNNNNNNNNNNNNNNNNNNNNNNNNNNNNNNNNNNNNNNNNNNNNNNNNNNNNNNNNNNNNNNNNNNNNNNNNNNNNNNNNNNNNNNNNNNNNNNNNNNNNNNNNNNNNNNNNNNNNNNNNNNNNNNNNNNNNNNNNNNNNNNNNNNNNNNNNNNNNNNNNNNNNNNNNNNNNNNNNNNNNNNNNNNNNNNNNNNNNNNNNNNNNNNNNNNNNNNNNNNNNNNNNNNNNNNNNNNNNNNNNNNNNNNNNNNNNNNNNNNNNNNNNNNNNNNNNNNNNNNNNNNNNNNNNNNNNNNNNNNNNNNNNNNNNNNNNNNNNNNNNNNNNNNNNNNNNNNNNNNNNNNNNNNNNNNNNNNNNNNNNNNNNNNNNNNNNNNNNNNNNNNNNNNNNNNNNNNNNNNNNNNNNNNNNNNNNNNNNNNNNNNNNNNNNNNNNNNNNNNNNNNNNNNNNNNNNNNNNNNNNNNNNNNNNNNNNNNNNNNNNNNNNNNNNNNNNNNNNNNNNNNNNNNNNNNNNNNNNNNNNNNNNNNNNNNNNNNNNNNNNNNNNNNNNNNNNNNNNNNNNNNNNNNNNNNNNNNNNNNNNNNNNNNNNNNNNNNNNNNNNNNNNNNNNNNNNNNNNNNNNNNNNNNNNNNNNNNNNNNNNNNNNNNNNNNNNNNNNNNNNNNNNNNNNNNNNNNNNNNNNNNNNNNNNNNNNNNNNNNNNNNNNNNNNNNNNNNNNNNNNNNNNNNNNNNNNNNNNNNNNNNNNNNNNNNNNNNNNNNNNNNNNNNNNNNNNNNNNNNNNNNNNNNNNNNNNNNNNNNNNNNNNNNNNNNNNNNNNNNNNNNNNNNNNNNNNNNNNNNNNNNNNNNNNNNNNNNNNNNNNNNNNNNNNNNNNNNNNNNNNNNNNNNNNNNNNNNNNNNNNNNNNNNNNNNNNNNNNNNNNNNNNNNNNNNNNNNNNNNNNNNNNNNNNNNNNNNNNNNNNNNNNNNNNNNNNNNNNNNNNNNNNNNNNNNNNNNNNNNNNNNNNNNNNNNNNNNNNNNNNNNNNNNNNNNNNNNNNNNNNNNNNNNNNNNNNNNNNNNNNNNNNNNNNNNNNNNNNNNNNNNNNNNNNNNNNNNNNNNNNNNNNNNNNNNNNNNNNNNNNNNNNNNNNNNNNNNNNNNNNNNNNNNNNNNNNNNNNNNNNNNNNNNNNNNNNNNNNNNNNNNNNNNNNNNNNNNNNNNNNNNNNNNNNNNNNNNNNNNNNNNNNNNNNNNNNNNNNNNNNNNNNNNNNNNNNNNNNNNNNNNNNNNNNNNNNNNNNNNNNNNNNNNNNNNNNNNNNNNNNNNNNNNNNNNNNNNNNNNNNNNNNNNNNNNNNNNNNNNNNNNNNNNNNNNNNNNNNNNNNNNNNNNNNNNNNNNNNNNNNNNNNNNNNNNNNNNNNNNNNNNNNNNNNNNNNNNNNNNNNNNNNNNNNNNNNNNNNNNNNNNNNNNNNNNNNNNNNNNNNNNNNNNNNNNNNNNNNNNNNNNNNNNNNNNNNNNNNNNNNNNNNNNNNNNNNNNNNNNNNNNNNNNNNNNNNNNNNNNNNNNNNNNNNNNNNNNNNNNNNNNNNNNNNNNNNNNNNNNNNNNNNNUCAUAGGAACAAAUACUUGACACGCAGAAAACAGUAGCAACAAAAUGACACGAUCAACAUGAUACGUCUAUUAGUUUGGGUCUAGUCCAUCACAUGAUUCUCCUAAUGAUGUGAUCCCCUUAUCAAGUGACAACACUUGCCUAUGGUCAGGAAACCUUGACCAUCUUUGACCAACGAGCUAGUCAACUAGAGGCUUACUAGGGACAGUGUUUUGUCUAUGUAUCCACACAUGCAAUGUGUUUCCAAUCAAUACAAUUAUAGCAUGGAUAAUAAACGAUUAUCAUGAACAAAGAAAUAUAAUAAUAACUAAUUUAUUAUUGCCUCUAGGGCAUAUUUCCAACAGCCACCAUGGGUAUCCAGAUCCCACUGAUGGUUAUUGGCCGGAGAGCGUAACCCACAAAGGGGGACCAUGGCGGAGGAGGUGGAGAAGGGGGGAAACCCUAGGCGCUGGUGUGCCUAAGGCCCACCUAGGGGUGCGCUACCCCCUUCCCCCUUCCCUGGCCGACGCACCUCCCAUCUGGGGGGGGGGGGCUGCCGCACCAUCUAGUGUGGGAACCCUAGGGGUGGCACACCCCCUCCCCUCCUCCUAUAUAUACCUAGGGGUUUGGGGCUGUUUUGCACACGAUUUUCUCUCCUCUUAGCGCAGCCCUGCUCCCCUCCUUCCUCCUCCUCCCAUGGUGCUUGGCGAAGCCCUGUCGGGAGACCUCGUCUCUCCAUCGACAGCACACCGUCAUGCUGCCGGAGAUCUUCCCCAACCUCUCCCUCCUCCUUGCUGGAUCAAGGUGCGAGAGACGUCAUCGGGCUCCACGUGUGUUGAACGCGGAGGUGCCAUGGUUCGGCACUAGAUCGGAGUCACACCGCGAUAUUAAUCGCCGCGAGUACGACUCCAUCAACCGCGUUCUAGCAACGCUUCCGCUUAGCGAUUUUCAAAGGUAUAAAUAUGCACUCACCCCUCUCUCGUUGCUGGUCUCUCCAUAGGAAGAUCUGAAUAUGCGUAGGAAUUUUUUUGAAUUUAUGCUACGUUACCCAACAAAUAGGACAAAUCUGUGAGCUUUGACGAGUUCCACAUAACUGGACCGCGGGGUUCCCCGAAUGUUCGGAGUGGAGCAGGACCCAAAAUGAUUGAGUAACAGCAUAGAAAAUUGGCGAGAAUAGGCCGAAACUACGAGUUUUGAAGAGUACCCCGUAGCCGGACCCCGGGCUUUGUUGGGGAACGUAGUAAAUUCAAAAUUUUCCUACGCCAUACAAGGAUAUAUCUAUGGAGAGACCAGCAAUGAGAAAGGUUGUAGAGCAUCUUCGUACCUUUGAAGGUCGCUAAGCAAAAGCGUUACUAUGAACGCGGUUGAUGAAGUCGUACUCGCAACGAUUCAGAUCGCAGUCGGUUCCGAUCUAUGUGCCGAAUCACGGCACCUCCGCGUUCAACACACGUACAGCCCCGGUGACGUCUCCCACGCCUUGAUACAACAAGGAGGAGGGAGAGUUUGAGGGAGAGCUCUGGCAUCACGAUGGUGUGGUGGCGUGGAGCUACGAGGUCUCCUGGCAGGGCUUCGCCAAGCACCAUGGGUGAGGAGAAAGAGGAGAAGCAGGGCUGCGCCGAGAGAGAGAUUUCAUGUGUCUCAAAUCAGCCAAAACCUCCACUAUAUAUAGGGGGAGAGGUAGGGGGCGCCCCCUUUAGGGUUCCCACCCCCAAAGGGUGCGGCAGCCCCCUCUAGGGCUGGUGGUGGCGGCCACGGCAAGAGAGAGGGGGGUGGCGCACCCCAGAUGGGCCUCCUUCCCUCUCUUGUCGCGACUUCGGCCUAGGUGGGAGGCGCACCAGCCCACUCUGGGCUGGUUCCCUUCCACCUUUUGGGCCAUGCUAGCCUUUGGGGCUGGUGGCCCCUCCCGGUGGACCCCAGAAACCCUUUCGGUGGUCCCGCUACAUUACCGGUGUCGCCCGAAACAAUUCAGGCGACCAAAUCCUCACUUCCUAUAUAUAAUUCUUUACCUCCAGACUAUUCCGGAGCUCCUUGUGACGUCCGGGAUCUCAUCUGGGACUCCGAACAAUUUUCGUUAACCUCGUAUAACAAUUCCCUAUAACCCUAGCGUCAUCGAACCUUAAGUGUGUGGACCCUACGGGUUCGGGAGGCAUGCAGACAUAACUGAGACACCUCUCCGGCCAAUAACCAUCAGCGGGUCUGGAUACCCAUGAUGGCUCUCGCAUGUUCCACGAUGAUCUCAUCGGAUGAACCACGAUGUCAAGGAUUCAAUCAAUCCCGUAUGCAAUUCCCUUUGUCUAUCGGUAUGAUACUUGCCCGAGAUUCGAUCAUCAGUAUCCCUGUACCUUGUUCAAUCUAGUUACCGGCAAGUCUCUUUACUUGUUCCGUAGCACAUCAUCCCGUGACUAACUCCUUAGUCAGAUUGAGCUCAUUAUGAUGAUGUUCUACCGAGUGGGCCCAGAGAUACCUCUCCGUCACACGGAGUGACAAAUCCCGAUCUCGAUUCGUACCAACCCAACAGAUACUUUCGGAGAUACCCGUAGUGCACCUUUAUAGUCACCCAGUUACGUUGUGACGUUUGAUACACCCAAAGCACUCCUACGAUAUCCGGGAGUUGCACAAUCUCACGGUCGAAGGAAAAGAUACUUGACAUUAGAAAAGCUUUAGCAUACGAACAACACGAUCUAGUGCUAUGCUUAGGAUUGGGUCUUGUCCAUCACAUCAUUCUCCUAAUGAUGUGAUCCCGUUAUCAAUGACAUCCAAUGUCCAUGAUCAGGAAACCAUGAUCAUAUAUUGAUCAACAAGCUAGCCAACUAGAGGCUUGCUAGGGACACAUUGUGAUCUAUUUCUUCACACAUGUAUUACUGUUUCCUGUUAAUACAAUUAUCGCAUGAACAAUAGACGAUUAUCAUGAACAAGGAAAUAUGAUAAUAACCAUUUUAUUAUUGCCUCUAGGGCAUAUUUCCAACAGUCUCCCACUUGCACUAGAGUCAAUAAUCUAGUUCACAUCACUAUGUUAGUGCAAUGAAUUCAACACCCAUACAGUUCUGGGGUUCGAUCAUGUCUUGCUUGUGAGAGAGGUUUAUAGUCAACGGGUCUGAACCUUUCAGAUCCGUCUGUGAUUUAAAAAUCUCUAUGUCAUCCUAUAGAUGCUACUACGCCCCAUGUGGAACCAUUCCAAAUGAUUUCUCCACUAUACAAAUCCGGUUUACUACUCAUAGUCCUCCGGAUUAGUGACAAAGCUUGCAUCGACGUAACUCCUUUAAGACGAACUCUUUAAUCACCUCCAUAAUUGAGAAAAAUUCCUUAGUCCUUUAGUUAUUAAGGAUAAAUUCGACGGCUAUCCAGUGAUCCAUUCCUGGAUCACUCUUGUACCCCAUCACUGACUCAUGACAAGGCACGCUUCAGGUGUGGUACACAGCAUAGCAUACUUGUAGAUCCUACGGCUGAUGCAUAGCGGACGACAUUCGUCCUUUCUCUUUCUUCUGCCGUGGUCGGGCUUUGAGUCAUACUCAAAUUUACACCUUACAACAUAGCCAAGAACUCCUACUUUGCUGAUCUAUUUUGAACUCCUUCAAAAACUUGUCAAGGCAUGCAUUUCGUUGAAAGUUCCAUUAAGCACUCUGAUCUAUCUUUAUAGAUCUUGAUGCUCAACUCUCAAGUAACUACAUCUAGGUUUUCCUUUGAAAAAACUCCUUUAAAACAACCCUUUAUGCUUUGCAGAAAUUCUAUAUUAUUUCCGAUCAACAGUAUGUCAACCACAUAUAUUCAUCAGAAAUUCUAUAGUGCUCCCACUCACCUUUUGGAAAUACAAGUUUCUCACAAACUUUGUAUAGAACCAAAAACUUUGAUCAUCUCAUCAAAGUGUAUAUUCCAAAUCCGAGAUGCUUGCUCCAGUCCAUAGAAGGAUCACUGGAGCUUUGCAUACUUGUUAGCAUCCUUUAGGAUCGACAAAAUCUUCUAGUUGUAUCACAUACAACCUUUCCUCAAGGAAUCCGUUGAGGAAACAAUAUUUUGACAUCCUAUCUGCAAUAUUUCAUAAAUGAUGCAGCAACUGCUAACAUAAUUUCAACAGACUUUCAGCAACGCUACGAGUGAGAAAGUCUCAUCGUAGUCCACUCUUUGAACUUUGUCGAAAACACCUCUGCGACAAGUCGAGCUUUCUUAAUGUUGACUUUUCACCAUCAUCGUAUGUCUUCCUUUUAAUGAUCCAUUCAUAGUUAAUAGUCUUAUGACCAUCAAGUGGUUCUUCCAAAGUCUAUACUUUGUUUUCAUACAUGGAUCCUCUCUUGGAUUUCAUGGCCUCCAGCCAUUUAUCGGAAUCCGGGCCCACCAUCGCUUCUCCAUAUCUCGUACGUUCAUUGUUGUCCAACAACAUGACCUCUGAUAUGUCUCCAACGUAUCUAUAAUUUUUUAUGGUUCCAUGCUAUUAUCUUGUCAAACUUUGGAUGUUUUGUAUGCCUUUUAUAUCUUUUUUGGGACUAACUUAUUAACUCAGUGCCAAGUGCCAGUUCUUGUUUUUUCCGUGUUUUUUACCCUUUUUAGAGGAGAAUAUUAAACGGAGUCCAAACGGAAUAAAACUUCCGAAAAGAUUUUUUCCGGAACAGAAGAUACACAGGGGACGUGAGAACCAAGGCAGAGGCCACUAGGGGAGGCCACAAGCCCCCUAGGCACGGCCAGGGGGGCCGCGCCUAGCAGGUUUGUGGGCCCCCUGUGGCUCGUCUGCCCUACCUCUUCCGCCUAUAAAUUCCCAAAAAAUCCAAAACUACGUGAGAGAUCCACGAAAAUAAUUUUCCGCCGCCGCAAGCUUCUGUCUCCGCAAGAUCCCAUCAGGGGAACGUUCUGGUGCCCUGUCGGAGGGGUGGAUUCAGAUAUGGAGGGCUUCUUCAUCAACACCAGGGCCUCUUCGAUGAUGCGUGAGUAGUUCACCAUAGACCUUCGGGUACAUAGCUAGUAGCUAGAUGGAUUCUUCUCUCUCUUGGAUCUUCAAUACAAAGUUCUCCAUGAUCUUCAUGGAGAUCUAUCCGAUGUAAUCUUAUUUUGCGGUGUGUUUGUCGAGAUCCGAUGAAUUGUGGAUUUAUGAUCGGAUUAUCUAUGAAUCUUAUUUGAGUUUCUUCUGAUCUCUUAUAUGCAUGAUUUCAUAUCCUUGUAAUUCUCUUCGAGUUGUGGUUUUUGUUUGGCCAACUUGAUCUAUGAUUCUUGCAAUGGGAGAAGUGCUUGGUUUUGGGUUCAUAUCAUGCGGUGACCUCACCCAGUGAUAGAACGGGUAGUGAGGCACGCAUCAUGUUGUUGCCAUCAAGGGUAAAAAGAUGGGGUUUACAUCAUUGGUUUGAGUUUAUCCCUCUACAUCAUGUCAUCUUGCUUAAGGUGUUACUCUGUUCGUCAUGAACUCAAUACACUAGAUGCAUGCUGGAUAGCGGUCGAUGUGUGGAGUAAUAGUAGUAGAUGCAGACAGUAUCGGUCUACUUGUCUCGGACGUGAUGCCUAUAUGUAUGAUCAUUGCCUUAGAUAUCGUCAUGACUUUGCGUGGUUCUAUCAAUUGCUCGACAAUAAUUUGUUCACCCACCAUAAUAUUUGCUAUUUUGAGAGAAGCAUCUAGUGAACACUAUGGCCCCCGGGUCUACUUCAAACCAUAUUUUCAGCCUUACACUUUUAUUUCGUUGCACUUUCCGCCUUCAGAUCUCACUUUGCAAUCAAUCUUGAAGGGAUUGACAACUCCUUUAUAGCGUUGGGUGCAAGCUUGUUUGUGUUUGCGCAGGUACUCUUGACACUUGGCUUGAUUCUCCUACUAGAUUGAUACCUUGGUUCUCAAAACCGAGGGAAAUACUUACUGCUACUGUGCUGCAUCACCCUUUCCUCUUCAAGGGAAAAACCAACGUAAGCUCAAGAGGUAGCAAGAAGAAUUUCUGGCACCGUUGCCGGGGAGGAUCAAGUCAAGAAUAGUCUCUCGUCAACGUGUCAAUUUCUGGCACCGGGGAUUAUUCUAAGUGAAACUUAUCCAAGUAAGUGUCGCAAACUCAUCUCUUCCAUUUACUUUUUUCCCUCUCGUUUUCCUCUCCCCCACUUCUGAAAAAAAACAAAAAAUUACAAAAAUAUUUGCCUUUUUCAUUUGCCUUUCCUUUCCUUGUGUGCUAUGUGCCUUCAAUAUGCUUGCAUCUUCGCUUGCUGAAAAUCUAUUGAUAUGGAUCCUCAUCCACUUGCUAAUCUCUUUAAGAGAUCCAAUUAUGUUGAACCAUUUGCUAGUGAGUUGAGUGCACUUAACUUUCUCUAUGGAGUUUUGCUUGAGAUGCGUAAAUCUGAAAAUCGUGAUGAAGAAAUUUACGAAGUGAUUCACGAGGGCUCCUUGAAUGAAAAGCAUGAUUGCAAUGUUUUCACUAUGAAUUCUAUUAGUGGCAAUCAUGCUAAAAAUAUGCAAAACCCUAAGCUUGGGGAUGUUAGUUUUGCUAUGUCCACUACUUGUUGCAAUGAUCAUGAUUGGGGUAAUGAUUUUUCUUAUGAUCUUGAAAAUUUGUUUAAGCCUCAUGAUGAUUAUGAUAUUUGCAAUAAUAUUGAAAGUGGGUUUGGAGAAGUCAUGACUUUAGUUGAUGAUAAUCCCACUAUUUUUUAAGAGCGUCAACUUUGCAUGCAUGUGGAUCAUGAAAAGAAUAUCCUUUGUGAUAGAUAUAUUGUUGAAUCUGAAUAUGAUCCCACAUGUAAUUGCUAUGAGAGAGGAAAAUAUUGUGGUAGAAACUUUCAUGUUACUAUUUUACCUCUCGUUAUGUUGAGAUUGCUAUUGUCUCUUUCUUCUUCCUUCCAUAUGGUAACUAUUGGUUGUCUUGACAAUCUGUUUUCCUAUAAAAUGCCUAUGCAUAGGAAGUAUGUUAGACUUAGAUAUGUUUGUCACAUGUUUCAUGAUGCUCUCUUCGUGUCCGAUUGCUAUCUUUUAUGUGAGCAUCAUUGAAUUAUCAAUGCCUAGCUAAGGGCGUUAAACAAUAGCGCUUGUUGGGAGGAAAACCAAUGAAUUUAUCUUUUUCUUUCUGCUUUGUUGCGUCCGCACCAUCAUAAUUCUGUUAUGAUUGUGUCUUUUGUGUUUCUUUUUGUGUUUGAGCCAAGCAAAACCUUUAUGACUAGUUUGGUGUUGGUUGUUUGAUCCUGCUAGAAAAAGACAGAAACUUUUCGCUCACGAUAUUAUUUUUCAUUUUUAUCCAGAAAGAUAUUUUGAGUUGACUCUUUUUGCUUCUGGUUGAUAUGCCUUUUUCCUAGGCUAUCGUAAUUUUUCAGAAUUUUUCAGGUACCAGAAGUAUACGAAGUAUACAGAUUGCUACAGACUGGUCUGUUUUUGACAAAUUCUGUUUUUGUUGUGUUGGUUUCUUGUUUUGAUGAAACUAUGGAUAGUAUCGGGGGGGUACUAGCCAUGGAAAAGUGAGAAUACAGUAAUAUAACACCAGUAUAAAUAGAAAUCAAGAUUGCUACAGUACCUCAAGAGGUGGUAGUUUGUUUUCUUGUGCUAAUGAUAUCACGAGUUUCUGUUUAAGUUUUGUGUUGUGAAGUUUUCAAGUUUUGGGUGAUGUUCUCAUGGAAAAAGGGAUAAAGAGUAAAAAGAGCUCAAGCUUGGGGAUGCCCAAGGCAUCCCAAGCCAAAUUCAAAGACACCAAAAAGCCUAAGCUUGGGGAUGCCCCGGGAAGGCAUCCCCGGGCAUCCCCUCUUUCGUCUUCAAUCCAUCGGUAACAUUACUUGGAGCUAUAUUUUUAUUCACCACAUGAUAUGUGUUUUGCUUGGAGCGUCUUGUAUCGUAGGAGUCUUUUCUUUUUGUUGUGUCACAAUCAUCCUUGCUGCACACCUUUUGAGCGAGACAUGCACUCAUCGUGAAUUUGCUAGAAUACUCAUUGUGCUUCACUUAUAUCUUUUGAGCUAGACAAUUUUGCUCUAUGUGCUUCACUUAAAUCUUUUACAGCACGGCGGUGCGUAACUUGGUAGUUGGCUUGUUCUAUGAAAGUAGUCCCAAAGGUGAUAGGCACCCAAAGAGGAUACAAUAAAACCUCCAUCUUCUUGUGCAUUGAGUAGAAAGAGAAGUUUGAUUCCUCUCAAUUAGUUUUGACAUGUGGAUUCGGUAAUAUUAAGAGUUAUGUUAGUAGGGUGGUGUGAAUCUAGAAAUACUUGUGUUGAAGUUAGUGAUUCCCGUAACAUGCACGUGUGGUGAACCGCUAUGUUAGGAAGUCGGAGCAUAACUGAUCUAUUGAUUGUCAUCCUUUGUGUUGCGGUCGGGAUCGUGCGAUGGUUAACACCUACCAACCCUUCCCCUAGGAGUAUGCGUUUAGCACUUUGUUUUGACUACUAAUAAAACCUUUCGCAACAAGUACGUGAGUUCUUCAUGACUAAUGUGAGUCCAUGGUAUAAAUGCACUUUCACCUUCCACCAUUGCUAGCCUCUCUAGUACCGCGCAAUUUUCAUCGGUGCACAAACCCACCAUAUGCCUUCCUCAAAACAGCCACGAUACCUACCUACUAUGGCAUUUUCAUAGCCAUUCCGAGAUAUAUUGCCAUGCAACUCCCACCGUUCUGUCUCAUGACUUGUGCCGUCACUCUCAUAUUGCCAUUGGAUGAUUGUAAGAUAGCUAGCGGGAUGUUUCAACGUCAUACGCCAAGCUAGAUCGUUGCACAUCCUGGUACACUACCGGAGGCAUUUCCUAUAGGGUCAUCAUCGUUCUAAGCUUGCAUGCNNNNNNNNNNNNNNNNNNNNNNNNNNNNNNNNNNNNNNNNNNNNNNNNNNNNNNNNNNNNNNNNNNNNNNNNNNNNNNNNNNNNNNNNNNNNNNNNNNNNCUUCCCAAUGCCUUCCUCUAGGCCCAAAUAAUGGUGAAGUGUUAUGUAGUCGAUGUUCACAUAACACCACUAGAGGAAAAACAACAUACAACAUAUCAAAUUACCGAACGAAUACCAAAUUCACAUGACUACUAUUAGCAUGACUUAUCCCAUGUCCUCAGGAACAAAAGUAACUACUCACAAAGAAUAAUCAUAUUCAUGACCAGAGAGGUAAUGAGUAGCAUCAAGGAUCUGAACAUAAACUCUUCCACCAAAUAAUCCUCCUAACAUCAACUACGAAGAGUAAUCAACACUACUAGCAACCUUACAAGUACCAAUCGGAGUCGCGAGACGGAGAUUGGCUACAAGAGAUGAACUAGGGUUUGGAGAUGAGAUGGUGCUGAUGAAGAUGUUGAUAGUAACGAGUCCCCUCCGAUGAGAGGAGUGUUGGUGAUGACGAUGGCAACGGUUUCCCCCUCCGGGAGGGACGUUUCCCCGGCAGGAUCGUCGUGCGGGAGCUCUAGAUUGGUUCUGCUCAAGUUACGCCUCGUAGCGGCGGCGAAACCACGAAAAAGCUCCUCCUUGAUUUUUUUUCCUGGAUGAAACCCUCCAUAUAGCAAAAGAGGGGGGCCAGUGGGCCAGUGGGCUGCCCACAAGCCCCCAUAGCGCAGCCUGGGGGGUGGUCGCGCCGUGCAGGCUUGUGGGCACCCCCUGGUGCCCCUCUCGCACAUCUUCGGCCCAGUAUUUUUGAUAAAUCGGGAAAAAAAAUCCCCAUUUAUUUUCACGACGUUUGGAGUUGUGCAGAAUAGGUAUCUCAACUUUGCUCCACUUUCAGGCCAGAAUUCCAGUUGCCAGUAUUCUCCCUCUUCAUGUAAACCUUGCAAAAUAAGAGAGAAAAGGCAUAAGAAUUGUACCGUGAAGUGAAAUAACAUCCAAAGAAGUGAUAAAUAUCAACAUGAAAACAUGAUGCAAAAUGGACGUAUCAACUCCCCCAAGCUUAGACCUUGCUUGUCCUCAAGCGAAAGCCUAGCUCAAUAAAUAUGUCCACAUGUUUAGGGAGAGAGAUGUUGACAAAACAAGAUGCGAACAUGCAUGCAUCAUGAUCAAGAUCAGAACAACAAUACCAACAUAUAAUCCCUCAUGCUAAAGUGAUAAUUCCUUCACAAAGUAAAGCAUGGAUCAAGAACCUUACCGAGAAGUAACAACCGAUAGCCUUUAGUCAUUGAAGCAAUUGCAAUUUAUCACAACAUCAGAAAGAGUCAAAUAAGAGCUUGUAAAGCAAAUCCACAUACUCAAUCAUUCUUUCGUUCUCUACAAUUGGUACAACUCACGUGGUACUCAUGAGAUCAAAGUUUCAGCUGGAUACAAAGAAAAAUAGGGGUUACAGUUUUGCCUGCCAACUGCUUACCUCUAGGGUAAUAUCAACAAUAAUAAUUCAUGAAUGCCUACCUCCAAGUUGACAUAUGAAUAUAGAUCUUUCCCAAGCAUAUGAUGGUAGCCAAGAUAAAGGCAAAAUAAGGAAUUUGUGAAGAUCACCAUGACUCUUUCAAGGGCAAAAAGUAAAGGUACAAGAUAGGCCCUUCGUAGAGGGAAGCAGAGGUUGUCAUGUGCUUUUGAGGUUUGGAUGCGUGUCCUCUUAGUGCGGAGGAACGUCACUUUAUAUUGCCUCCUGUGAUAAAGAACUUUAUUAUGCAGUCUGUCGCUUUUAUGUCUUCCUCAUCACAGGUUCGUACAAAGCUUAUUUUCGACACACUAAUAGAUCAUACAUAUUAGAGAGCAAUUUUUAUUGCUUGCACCGAUGACACCUUACUCGAGGGAUCUUAUUCAAUCCAUAGGUAGGUAUGGUGGACACUCAUGGCAAAACUGGUUUGAAGGUUUAUGGAUGCACAAGUAGUAUCUCUACUUGGUGCGGGAGUUUUGGCUAAUAUGAGGUGGAAGCAAUCGUCACAUGCUAAGGGAUCUAUAAUCAUAUAACAUUGUUCGAAGCCAAGCAAACACAAUUCAUUAUGUUGUCUUCCUUGUCCAACAUCUACUUCUAGGCAUGCAAUAGUUUAGUGAGUAUUCACAAUCAUAGGUGGUGUCAGAGAUGAUAUAUUUAUAUGUGAACCUCUCCUUCUUUAUCACUUCCUAUUAAUUGCAACUAUGACCAAGGUCUACAUUUGUCUACCCUCAACAAGUUUCAAUCAUCAUCCCUUUUAUAUGUGAAGCCAUCACUUCCCAUAAGAUCAUUACAUGAUCUUUCAUGCUUUUGUUCUAUUCUCACUCUUUUGAUCAUGGCAAGAGGCAAAGCCCUUCAACUAAGACAUUCUUUAUUAUAUGGCUCACGAGCAAGAAUACAUCGGGGGUGACACAAAACAAAACUCAAGACUAAAACACUAAGACUUUUAAACUACUAGAGAAAGAGAAAGCUGAAAAGGAAAACUAAAACAAAGGUAAAGGCAAAAGAUGUGAUGGUGAUACGAUGCCGGGGCAACUCCCCCAAGGUCGGCACAAGCCAAGGGGAUUGCCCAUAUCAAUGCUCAAUUGUCUUCCUUUGGUGAUGGUGGUGGAGUUAUUGCAACCUUGGUUUGAUCCUCCGUCUUCCAAGGCAUAGAUGCUCCAUCAUGGAAAUAUGAUCGAGUCUCCAGAAUCCUCAAAUCUACAGCCAACCGUAUUGAUUUAAAUCUAUACUCAUACUCACAGUUUUGGUUCUGCAGGUCAUAGAUCUGGGCUUGGAGGUGAUCAAUUCUGUCAUAGAGCCUGGAGAGGUGUUUCCCGAUGUCAUUGGCAUCGAUCAUGUGCUUGUUGGUGAACUCCGUGAUCAUCAUGUGGUUGGCCUUGAGUCCAAGCUCCACCAUCCCUUGGCAGUUGAAGACUUGUUGCUCCAUUGCUUCGAGCCUUGCCUCCAUGCUUCCGGUCUUCUUGGGCCCCUCAACAUCACGGAUGUGCAACAUCCCCUCACGCAUCUCGACAGAUUGAGGGUGUUGCAGCACUCCCGCGAGGUAGGGAUUGAUGACCUUCUCGAAGAACUUGUCCUUCGGAGCUUUUGGGGACGCCAUAGCGAUCUAGAUCUGUCUGCACAACAGCUCGAAAUGAAAACAGAGGAAAUUUACGUGAUACGAGGGUCAGACCUUUCGGGAGAAUAUAUAAUGUUUUUUUCCGACCAGAAGGAGUACUCCGCAAGAAAACGGAGUCUGGGAGGCACACGAGGUGGUCACAAGUACCAAUCGGAGUCGCGAGACGGAGAUUGGUUACAAGAGAUGAACUAGGGUUUGGAGAUGAGAUGAUGUUGAUGAAGAUGUUGAUGGUGAUGAGUCCCCUCCGAUGAGAGGAGUGUUGGUGAUGACGUUGGCGACGAUUUCCCCCUCCGGGAGGGAAGUUUUCCCGCGAGGACGACCCUGCCGGAGCUCUAGAUUGGUUCUACUCGAGAUCCACCUCGUGUCGGCGGCGAUUCAUCCCGAAAACCUCCUCUUGAUUUUUUAUGGAACGAAACCCUCCUUAUAGCAAAAGAGAGGAGCCAGAGGGUUGAUGACCCACAAGUAUAGGGGAUCAAUCAUAGUCCUUUCGAUAAGUAAGAGUGUCGAACCCAACGAGGAGAAGAAGGCUCUGAUAAACGGUUUUCAGCAAGGUAAUAACUGCAAGCACUGAAAGUAGCGGUAACAAGUAAUGGUGUAGUGAGGUGAAACGUAGCAAGCGAAAAGUAACAAGUAACAAGUAGUAGCAAGGUGCAAAAAAGUGACCCAAUCCCUUUUGUAGCAAGGUACAAGCCUGAGCAAAGUCUUAUAAGAGGAAAAACGCUCCCGAGGACACACGGGAAUUUCUGUCAUGCUAGUUUCAUCAUGUUCAUAUGAUUCGCGUUCGUUACUUUGAUAGUUUGAUAUGUGGGUGGACCGGCGCUUGGGUANNNNNNNNNNNNNNNNNNNNNNNNNNNNNNNNNNNNNNNNNNNNNNNNNNNNNNNNNNNNNNNNNNNNNNNNNNNNNNNNNNNNNNNNNNNNNNNNNNNNUACAAACAAGCAACUCAAAUUAUAAUCUGUUUUUUGGGGGGGGGGGCAAGGGGGUAGGUAAUAAUCGUUUAUUCUGUAUAUUGAUGGAGCUGAUUUUUUGAACCUGGUCUCCGGUAUGUCCAGGUUCUAGAACUUGGUGAAAAUCAUACUCCCUCUCUUCUUAAAUAUAAGUAUUUCUAGAGAUUUUAAUAUGGACUACAUACGGAGAAAAAGGAGUGAACGUACACUCUAAAAUAUGUCUACACACAUCCGUAUAUAGUCCAUGUAGGAACCUCUACAAAGAUCUAUAUUUAGGAAUCGAGGGAGUAUUUCUAGUUCUCAACUUAAGAAAAACAAAUAAUGCUACGAGUUUUUUGAUAAAACGAAUCACCUCAUUAACUCCCAUCAAAGCAUCCGCCAAUCGAACUUGCAAGAGUUUGAACCAACAUGAAUCUAAAACAUUACAUAGGAACCGUAAAUUUCCUAUUGCAUGCACCAGAAAGCGAGAUACCGGAACAACGACUCAAGGAAGCAACUUUCGCACACUCAACUUUCACGUUUCAAUCUUGAGCACAAUCGGGCUCCAACCAUCGCAUACUUCACAUGUAUUGCAAGAAAGUCGUAGGUGUUCAACCCUAGCAUCAAACAUAUUUAAAUUACCACAUAAUUGUGUAUUGUUUCUUUUUUAACCUAAUCAUCUAUUGUUUUAGAACAAGGGGAAAAGAACCGAAAUUUUGAUUUGUUGUGAGAAAUACGAGACAUCAUAACCAAAAAAGCAUAUGAGAUCAUAUCAGUGUGAUAAAAAAAUGGUAUUGUCAAUUAUUUGGAAGGAAGAAAUGCAUUCAAUGUUUACAUACACACACCGGCCUGACAUAUGCUCCAUUAAUUUUACAGCUUAUGAUGCAUGUCUAGAAACUUAACUAAUUCCUUGGUUUAUGCACUAAUCUUCCGGGUAAUCACCCAAUGCCUGACUUAGUUUUGGUUGUUCUCCCAGAACUGAGCCUGGAGCCAAUCUAUUGUAUUCUUUUCCACCUGAAACGCCUUGGCAAGAACAUCAUCUGAUAUUNNNNNNNNNNCGGGCCCGCUGCUGGCGGGUGUAGUCCCAGAUGGCGAUGGCGGCGCUGACACGGACGUUGAGCGACCGGACGACGCCCAGCUGCGGGAUCUCGNNNNNNNNNNNNNNNNNNNNNNNNNNNNNNNNNNNNNNNNNNNNNNNNNNNNNNNNNNNNNNNNNNNNNNNNNNNNNNNNNNNNNNNNNNNNNNNNNNNNCGCAGUCAACGUUCCUUGCUUUAGUUAGAUGGUCCUCUUCGACAUCCAUUGGCUGGCGAUGGCGCGAUGAAGUCCAGCAUUUUCCUCCAACUGGCGCGUGGUUGAAUGUCGCCAGUGGUGCUAGUUGAAUCUUCAGUUGGUCCAACCUCUCAUGUUCUUCCUCUCGAUGGCAUGUUGGAGGCAUCUAAUUGUGCACUUCAUGUGCUUGUUAGCAUGUUUGGCUUGUUUUGCCAAGCUUUCUUCCAUCAUCGUGUAUGAUGAUUUCCUCCACACCUUGUAAGCAUUGGACUUUAUGUAUGGGAAGCAGGCCGAAGUACGUUUUAGGGAUAAAAUACUUCUAUGACAAGCUUGUUACAAACAAGCAACUCAAAUUAUAAUCUGUUUUUUUUGGGGGNNNNNNNNNNCACAUCACCUUUGUUGAGCACCUUGGAGAGGAACUUGUUUCUGUUGGGGGCGGGCAGGUUGGACGUGACAAAUCCGACAUACAGUGUCCCCUCGAGUACCGUGAGGAUCUCAGUGGCACGAGGGUGCGUGUGUGGUGGGUUCUGACCCAAAGGAGCAUAGUCGAUGCGUGCAAUUGAGAUGCCGAGGGUGUUGAGUCCAGCAAUCUGCAUGACGUUGAUCAAGGUAACGUUGGACCCAACCUUGUUGGUCACCCUAGGCUUGUCGAGGGCGGCUGCCUUGNNNN
rnacentral:lncRNA from 1 species